AAAAAAAAAAAAAGAAAACACAAUUUUUCUGAAAAACUUAUUUAAAUUCCUGAAUAUAAAUAUGUUACGAGAAACUCAAAUGUAUAGCUAUCCAAAAACAUAUAUUUACAGCAAAAAUGGAGAAAGGAGGUGACAAAUUGGAGGAGGAUAAAAUUUGAAUUUUUGAAAAAUACCGGGGUGGGAGAUAAGUUGUGGAGGCAUAAAAAAAUUCUAACAAAUACGCAUAAGUGUUGGAUUACCCUUGAAAAUGAACCAAGGGUUGAAUCUCGAAAAUUGCUGUUGACACAUCACUUCAUAGAUGAAAUUGAACUUCAGCAAUUAACUACCGCCAGUAAACUUCCACGGGCAUUUGAGUAAUUUACUGGUAUUUUUCAGUCAAAGGUGAUGUGUCAACAGCAAUUUUCUUGAAUCUCCACAUACGUGGGCUUUUCAACCAAAAAGAACAAAUGUGGGCUUUGCAUUUUUUGGUUGUAACUUCUGUUAGUAGUUUGAUUUGUCCACCCAUUGCUUAAUCGAGGUAGUCAACUAGGUAUAAUGUGAUAUUUGAACAAUUAAAAUUUGACGAUUAUUGGAACAUAGUAUAAAAGUACACCUAAAACAAGUGUUACUUUAAUUAAAGAAAAGAAAAAUUAUUAUUAAAAUGAUAACAGUAUAAAAAUACGGUGUCAAACAAUUUUUAGGUUGUCAAAAUAACUUUUCCUUAAAAGAAAAGCGUCAAAAUCCGUAUAAAAAUACGGUGUCGAACAACUUUUAGGUUUUUCCUUUAAAAAAAAGCGUUAAAAUAACUUUUCUCAUACUAAUUAUUCUCUGACAUGCACAUGGAAUAAUUUCUGAAGAAUUUUACACAGUAAAUUGAUGGAUUCAACAAAGCAUUUUCAAAUGCCAAAAACAAUCCAUCUAAAAAAUAAUGGCCGCAAAAAAGCAGAACUUCUGCAUUAUGGAUUUAUAUUUUAUGGUAUUCUACAAAUCAUAGUAUCCUAAUGUUGUUUGAACUAGCCUAUUUUGUAUUAAAAGUCUUAACUAAAUAAAUUUUUAGAAAAAUUACUUAGAACAUGCACACUCCUUGGGAAAAAAAAUGUCACUAAUUGAAAUUUAAAAAUAAAAAUAAACUACCUAAAAAUUAAUCAGAACUAUAAACAUGCAAUCCUUAAGAGAAAUCAGCAAUGUCAUCAUCAUCACCACCAAGGUGGAUCAAAAACAAAAAACUGACCUCAACAUGUUCAGUUGGAAAAGACAACAAUGAACAAUCUAAUCAGAAGUCCUUUUUUUAAAAACAUUGCCAAAAUUACCAAACAAGUCACUGUACAAGCAAACUAACUGAAAUUCCUAAUGGCUGUACAAAAGCACAUACAAAUCAAACUAAUGAAAAAUAUCCUAAACUCACACUGUGAACGAAGGAAAGAAUCUUCAAAAUUUCCAUAUCAUCCUUCCUGCAUACCUGCACCAAUAUAGACAAAUGGGAAAAAAAAUUAGUUACAGCAAUCUCUAUACAAUUACGUCACAACAUAUACAUAAAUUUUCCCAUUGCACAGCUUUGGAAAAGAAUUAUAUAAUAGAAUACACACUUGGAAAGCGAGAGCCAGGUUCAUCUCCAUUACUGGUGUUGAAGUUCGUAGGAUACUGAACUGAAAUUAAACCUUCGUCUGAUGCAACCGCUGACUCAGGGGAAGCUGUUAACCCAACAGACGCACUACUCGCAGAUUUGAUUCCUGAAAGGAAAGUCUUAGCUAAAUCAGUAUUUCAUUAAGAAAAAACUUUGAAAAGAGAUGCAUCUAAAACUUUAGAGUUUGAUGAUUAUUAGAAGACAGAUACCAAUUGAGUUCGAAUGAACUAAAGUUUGUUGUUAAAAGCAAGAUGCUUUUGUGAGAGCAAUGUCAGAUGAGUUUGAUAGGAAACUAUUUAACAAUACUGAUCCUAGACAUCCAAUUAUCCUCUAUGAAACACAGACAUAGACACCUGACACGACGACACGACGACACAUCGGCACCGAUAAUAAUUUGAAAAAACAAAAGUGAUUGAAUGUAACAUGUGUCGGUGUCGGACAUUUACACGUGUUAGGCACACCUUCAACCAAAAGUGUAGGUGCUACAUGGUUUAUCGUUCUAGUUGCACUUCAACAAAGCAGUACGAUCAUAGAUUAGUGUUCUUUAUGCCAUAACUUCAGGCCCUUUCAAAGCAGAAAGGCAGUAACCACAACGAAAAUUUAGAAAGGAAUGGGUCAUUUUCUAACACAUUGAAAGAAUAUCAACAAGUCCUUGGCCCUAUAGUAAGUUUCUGAUGUCUCAAGAUGUUCAAUCAAGAUUGAAGAAGGUACGAAAAUCAAAUUCGCAAUUACAGAAGUGGAAAUAAUGUAAUUUAUGUUUGGACAUAGUAGUUUCCUUAUGACAUAAUGUACAUUUGUUACCACAAAAUCCACUCUGUAUACUGUGAAAUGGUUAUUCAGUAUCAGGGUACACCCUCAUACCUGUAAAACAACUAAUAUAAAAUCCUUUGCAGAUUCAAGACGAAUGUGAGCAUGAAAUGAAUAUAUUGACUCAGAUAUGAGACUUCUUUGCAAAAUACAUACAUUAAACAAAAUAACAUUCAUAAGUUGUGUCAUCUUUGUAUGAAUCCUAUGCAAAUUUGAUUUCAAAAUAGAGCUUGUUAUUGUUACAAUGACCUUAUAAGAGUUGAAAAAGCAAAAAGUUAUAGGACAUCAAUAGAAGUAAUUCAAACCCCAGGUGAUAUCCCAUAUAUGAUCCAAGUGAUGACUAGGUUACACAACAACAACAACCAAGCCUUAUCCCACUAAGUGGGGUCGGCUACAUGGAACAAAUUACGCCAUAGUGUUCUAUCAUAAACCAUAUUUGGAUCCAACUCGUUGACCUCUAAAUCCUUUCUAAUGGUUUCUCUUAUAGUUUUCUUAGGUCUUCCCCUAGCUCUUUUGAUCUGACUCUCCUCCAUCUGGUCUACUCUUCUUACGACGGCAUCUAAGGGUCUUCUCUUUACAUGCCUAAACCAUCUAAGUCUAUUUUCUACCAACUUUUCUACUAUAGGUGCUACCCCCAUUCUCUCUCUCUCUAAUGGUGUCAUUUCUAAUUCUAUCCCGUCUGGUCUUACCACUAUCCAACACAACAUCCUCAUAUCCGCCACGCUUACUUAAUUCUCGUGCUCUUAACCUCCCAACACUCUGUACCGUACAACAUCGCCGGUCGGACUACUCUUUACACAGUACACAUAAUUUGAAAAUGUUUUAUCUCAAUUAAGAUAGAUAUUAGUUGUGGUAGUCAGAAAAACUGACCAUAUUUUGAGAUGUAGCAGAACUGAAGCAACUAAAACUAAUUACAAAUACAAUUGAAUUCUAGGACACCUUGCAACUUAACACAAGAAUCAAAUAUGAUAAAGAACACAAGAAUCAGGUGAGAAAUGCAUGCGUUAAACCAAAUGUUAGAAGAGCCGCAAGUGAAAUGCAUAUGAACCAAGCCAAUGUACUGAUGCAGGCAGCUCUAUGCUCAAUUGAUUUAUUUUUUUUAAAAAUUGACAAUUUAGAAUUUAUAGAGAGAUUAUUUAGCUGUUCUGAUCAUAUAUGGCACAACACCAAUUUGAGAUGUAAGCAUAUAUGUAACUAGAGAGAUGCUUGAAAGUAAAUAAUCUAAAAUUUAAUCGAAACCAAAUGAGCAUUGAUUACAGCAUAUGGAAAUAGACCCAGCAAAGGAACAUGUAAUUUACCGUGAAAUAUGAUGACGAGGAAGAAAAAAAUAGUGAUGACCAUAGCAGAAAGAUUUGUAUAUGUUGAAGACGACGGCAACUUGCUUGCUUUCAUCUUUUUAACUGCAUUCAUUUUCUUAAUCCUCGCACGCUUCCUCAACGCAAGCUCAGCUAAUUCCUUCACAAACUUAUGAUCACCAGCAUCCAAAGAUGGACCUCUAGGAGGCAAAGGUGGCUUUUGAGGCUUUCUUGGAUUAGUAAACUUAAUUUUCUGUUUUCCAUGAUUUCCAUUAACAUGUUCUAAACCUUUAUCCACCAACAAUUCUAAAUUACAUUCAUCUACACCAACAACAUCACAAAAAUUUGAAGAACUGCUACAUGAUGCUUCAAUUCCAUUUUUACCCUUUUCUGAUCCAUCUAAAUUCAUAACCCCAUUCCAUGACCAAGGAAAACCGUUUUUUGAAUUUGAAUCUCUCUCAUCAUUGCUUGUAUCCUCUUCGCUUGUGUUCUCACCACUUUCAAUGUCAAAUUCAACCUCUUUUUCCUUUUCUCUUUGAAUAGCACGACCCAUCUAAUUAAAUCAAUUUCAAUCAACAAUUAAAACAAAACCCAUCUAAUAAUCAUGCUAAAGAUAUGAUUUUUAAUAAUGAAAAGCUUGAACCAAUUACUCAAAAACAAAACCCAUUUCACAAUCAUGCCAAAGAUUCAAUUUUUAAUAAUGAAAAGCUUAAACAAAUAGCUCAAAAACAAUGCUUUCAAAAAUUAAGAACAUAAUCAAGAUAACAAAUAAAAAUUGAAAAGAAGAUGAAGAAAAAAAGGAGGGUCAAGGAGGUACCUUAAGUCAAAGGGUAGAACCCUAGAAACGAUGUUAUUGUUGAAACAUUCUUAACUAGGAAUGUAAUGAUGCACGCAGGCGCACUCAUACAAAGACAAAACAUUUUAAAAAACGAAAUAAUAAUAAAAAAAAGACAAGAAUUUAAGGUUUUUCGGUUUUAUUAAUGGCCAGUUGUUUUUCUCUCUUUUUGUCAUUAAUUUAUUUAAUUUAAAAGACAAGAAUAUAAGGUUUUUCUUUUGUCAAUGGUUGAAACUUGAAAAGUUGUUUUUAUUCGGAAAAGAGUCAACAAACACACACUACCCUCCCAAUUCUCCACAAGAAGACAACAACGGUUAUUUCCAUGAUAUAUCCAUAUCCAUUAUCUAUCGCUUUAUCAAUUGGGUCCUUUUCAAAAAAAAAUAUUGCUCUUCUCUCAUCAAGAUUUGUCCACUCUCAUACAAACCGACCAAAAUAUCUCCAACAUGACUUAGGUCAUAUUGAACUCAACGUGAGAGUUAAUUCACGUUCAUUGCAUGCCAGCGUGGAUUAAUUCACGCUGUGCACUGAUAUAGCAGCAGACAUCAUUGAAUGUCAUUAACAAAGUCGGUAAUGAUUUCUAAUCUUUACACACUUAUAAUUGAUUUGAAUUACACCAGUUUAACAACAUAAUCACACAUAAUCGAUCCAAAUUUCACAAAUUCGUCGUUAAUCACACAAUCACACAUAAACGAUCCAAAUUACACAAAUUUGUCGUUAAUGACGCAUAAUCACUUAAUCACACUUAAUGACACAUAAACGAUUCAAAUUACACAAAUUUAUCGUUAAAUUACACAUAACACAAAUUCAUUAAAAUUCAACAUUGCAGGCACAAAUUCGAACACAUUACACUAUUACAUGUUACUCAAUAUUACACUUCAAUGGAUCGGACAUAAAGUGUUAUUUUGAACCAUUAACCUAAACAUGUAAUCAAUGUUGCUAUCGUUUUUGAUACGUUAUGGAAAAUACACGGUCUUCUAAAAGUUAUAUUCCUUGUGCUCCCCAAAUCUACGCAUAUGAGAUGUUCUUUGAUUUUCACCAAUAUGGAUAAAGUAUAUGUUAAGUUGUGCUUUCAACUCGUCAACCUUGUCGGUGGGGGUUAAAAAGACCUUAAUAUUCUUUUUCACGGCGACGUAUCGGACAUGAGCUUCAAUUGGAACUUGUGCAUCUUCAGACAUGUUUCACUUCACACAAUAUAAUGAAAUAACAAGUAUGAGAAUAAAACCAAAUGAAAGAUAAAAUCAAUAGUUGAAUAAUUAUAGAUAAAAAAAUGCGAGCAAUAAUUGGCGUGACACAACCGACCACCAAAAAAAUAUUUCACUUUAUAUAUAUAUAAUGUUAGUUACAUGUUGGUCACAAAUAUCGGCGUUACAUAACCGACCACUAAAAAUAAGUCGGUGUUAUAUCGACAAAAAAUAAGACGAACAUCGACAAAAAAAAGUGUCAAUGCUAUCUAACUAACCUAUUAGAUAGGCUAGUUAGGAGAACAAUGUUAAGAGAUUGUUUCUUAGUGUAAUAUUUUCAAAAUAUUCAACAUUUGUUUCUUAACUAGUUUAGUGCGAUACCAACAGUAUUUUACAAAUGUAAGAAUCAACAUGAGCCUCAAAUAUUCAAUAUCAAACAAAAACAUAAACAUAAUGACAACAUUAAAGAAUGUUCAUAAAGAUAAUAAAUAUCGAGACACAAAAAACAUAAAAAUAAAUUUCAGAAAUCAAAUAAGUGCAGUAUUACCAUAUUGAUUAACGGUUUAUAUCGUUGUUGAUUUCAAAGUCAAUAAAUCAACAUUGACUUCAAAUUACCAAGACAAUUGUAAUGAUCCAGCAGCUCUGAUUAAUAAUAAUGGUGUAAAUUAGAGACUCCAAAUAAAGGAUGAGAUAAGAUUUUAUAUAUUAUAUUAAAUUGGAGAAAUAUUGAUGAAACAAUAAUGCUUUAGUAGUAAAAGGAGGGGCAAAAUAGUAAAAGAGGAAAGGGUUAAAUGUGAUUAAUAAGAGGAAUGAAAAUCAGAAUUUUUCAUCAUAUCUCUCUUAUUUUCUCAGACGCCCAUCCUCUCUUCUUCACCUUGGCCAUCACCUUCGAAAUUCCUUCCUCACCAAUCCCUCAAAAUCAAGCACGUGCAUGAAUGAAAAUCAUAAACCCAUCAUCAAAGAAACCUAUUUCCGGUAAUAUUUUGCUCAAAUUCUCCAUUUUCCCUCCUGUUUAGAAUCAACCCAAAAACCCCCACAUUUCUAUUCUUCAAACCCUCCUACUGCAUGUACGAAAUUCUCAUGAGAAUCAAGCUUUGGAUGUCUAGAAACUGAGGUAAGAUGAAUUAAACCUUCUCUCUUUAUUCUUUUCUUUCUCUUUCAUGCCAAACCCUGAGACCCUAAAAGAUGGAAAAUAAAGGGAUUUUAUAAGUUAAAUGGACUGGUUUUGGCUAUUAUUGGGUUGUAUAUGUUUGGUUUGCAAGUUCAUAUAAAAGAAGAGCUGUUUGUGUGAAAUUCCUGUAGACAUACCUGUGGUAAAAUUAGCAUAACUCUCUGAAUAUAGGUCAUAUGCUAAUGAUUGUUAAUCCACUGCAAAGAAGACAAAAUUUCCUACAGUUUAGACACAAGAGUUGUUAAAUUUCAUUAAGUAUAGUAGGAGAAAAGCUCCCUACAAGUUUGAGAAAGUUUCGGUCAUGUUUCUGUACAAAUACCCACUCUUUUGUUAAACUGAACCAAUUGAAUGGUUAACCCUCAAAACAAAAAUUAUAUUUGUAAUCCUGACACCCUACGCUUUCCAAUGAGUGGUCGUUUGCUCAAAACGGAUAUCAUUUGGUAUUUUAAUUAAAUUGUGAAAGUUAAGGUACUGAUGCUGGAAUUUGCAGGGUGGACCCUGCGGGUUUGACAUAUGUGAGCCAUACAAACCGGUAAGUGAGAUGUUCGGAACAUGAGGAUAGUCUUUUCAUGUCACUCUGAUUCCCUGGAGGCUUAGGAGCACUUAAAGAAACUGAUUUUAAACAUUUAGUUUGAAGUAGGAAAGCUUGGAAAGAAAUUGAAGAAUAAGCAUAAGCUGAAGCAAGAAUGUAGGAGCUUGAGACUUAAAGUUUGGAGAUAAGCUAAUGAAAGCAAGGUCUCUAUGAUGUUUAUGCAUAUUGGGCUGACAAGAACAAGUAGGAUUUUUGUUUAUAUUUAAAAACGGAGGGACAUUAAAAAAAAUAUUUGUGUUUUAUUAUAACUCACUACACACUAUCAGUACAUCAUUAAUGAUUUUUUAACAAGGAAUAAUUUUAUAAAAUUACUAUGUGAAAAUGUCGGAUCGACUUAUAAUAAAAGGGUUUGUUUAACAUGUGCAACAUUGUACAUGUUAAAACAACUAAUAGUAGUAACUUUUUCUUAGAAAACAACAAUUAUUUAUUCAAAAGUUUUAUAUUUAAUAUUAAAUGUACAAGUUUCAAUAUAAAAUUUCUAUUUUGAACUUCUUAACAUGUGCAAAUUUGCACAUGAUAGAAAAACCCAUAAUAAAAUACAUAGAAGUAUGAUUUUAAACUCAUAAGUCACUUUUAGUUAAUAAUUGUGUGCGCCAAAAAAACCACUGAUACUAGGCCUAUGUAAUAUUGUUUUUUUUUAUUACUCCGUUCAUUCCAAAUUAUAAGUCCUUUUUUUUCUAUUAGAUUAAUGGUUGGAACUCACACGUUUUAAAUGUGAAGAAGUGGGGUGUUCGGGGUUUGAAACCCGACCUCUACAUAUAUUAUGUAAUAUUCAUAUCUACCGAGUUAAGUUCACGUGGGCCUAAAUUAUAAGUCCUUCUAUAAUAUCAAUGAAACAUUAGUGUUUUUUUUUACCAUACAUUUAACUAAGAAAAUAUUUCCUUGGUUAGCAUUUUCCUUGAACUAUUUAUUACGCUUUCUUCUUUUAAUUAUCUAAUUUAAUGACAAUUUCAUAAUAUUUCGUUCACGUACAUACGUAUGGUCAAAACGACUUAUAAUUUAGGAUCAAGGAAGUAUCUCGGAGCUUCUCUUUAGUCGAGAAACUCAUUGUGUAAGACAUUAGUAAUGUGAGCUUCUCUAUUUUAUUUUGGAGGGACCAAGAUUUUUCUCAUAAACAAUGUAAAAGUUAUUUUUUUCUUCUCAACUAAAAAAAUAUAAAUCUCGGAUUUAGGAUGGUAGGGUAGCAUCUGAAAAUAUUGAUGGUAUUUAAUUUCACAUGUUACCAAUAUCUGUUCUCCUAUUUCCUUCCUAUGUUCUCAAGCUUACUGCAAUUAAACUUCACCAUGCCUUUCCAGAUUCUACUCUCGAUUACUAUGCCUUUUCAGCUUACCGCAAGUUAUAUGCCUAUAAAUAGUCCUUGUCUCUCUAUCACUUGCAAUGCUUUAUUGAAUUGCCACCUUACAAACUUCUUCAGCACACAUGGGUUAUGUGGGAUCGUUUGAGCUGAAUGGAGUACACAUCAAGACCAGAGCAACAUCCGAUGAGCAAAAGAUUGAGAAUCAUAUAAGAUCGUUCUUGCAUCGUUCUAACAAUCAUCGAACCAAAGUUAUCGGGCUUGAUGCUGAAUGGCUUCUGUUACAUGGCACGGAGCCAGGAACAGUUACCAAAUCCAAAUGUGCAACACUGCAGUUCUGUGAUGGACACUCGUGUCUUAUCAUUCACCUAAAUGGUUUCAAUUGCUUUGAGAGUUGGGCAUAUGAUUCUGUCCACAAAUCACUGCUUAAUUUUCUUCGUCUCCCAAAUGUUACAUUUGUUGGAGUUGGAAUCAAAGAGAAUUUGGCUAAGUUGGAGAAGCAGUAUGGAUUUGGAUGUAGAAAUGCUGUUGAACUUGGACCCUUUGCUGCAAGUGUUAUGAAGAGGCCUCAUUUGAGUUUUUGUGGUGUUGAUGAAUUAGCUUUUGUGGUAUGUAAACUUGAUUUACGGAAGUACAGGCCUUUAAAAACGGUGUAUGACUGGGGUUGCCUAAGCAAAGAACUUGCCAAACUUGCUACUGUUAAUGUUUAUUCUUAUUACAAGAUUGGGAGCAAAUUGCUUCAAUGUGAUGUUGCAGGUGGGCGUAAUGCUGCAAAUGGAUCCUCUCAAGCGGUUGCAAGAAAGAGAAACAAAAAUAAGAAGGUUGUUAAUGGUACCUCUCAAACAGGUGCAAGAAAGAAAAGCAAAGAUAAAGAGAAGAAAGAUGUAAGUGGCAACUCUCAAGCAGUCGCGAGAAAGAGAAAGAGAAAAGGUAAUGGAGAGAAGGAUUAAUGAGAAAGAUAAGAGCCUAAAGAGGAAGAAUUAGAGGCCCGGGUUGGAUAACGACAAAGAAUUAUUUGAGCCCCAAAUCAGUAAUCCUGUUAUGCUUCUCGUUUGUUUUUGUUUAAUAGUACUAAUUAACUCGAUGGUUUAGUUUAUCAGUAUUGUAUAUGCCGUAUUUUUACUGUAACUGCUGUACUCUGUUAACUUAAUUCAACAUAGCAGAGGCAAACUUUGUUUGGAUAUUAUUAAGGCUCUGUUUGGUAGCUGAAAAGCUAACUGAUAGCUUAUAAUUGAAAAGCUUGCUUAUUAAAAAUAAUGUAUUUGAUAAAUUAGUUGUUGAAGCAGCUGAUAAAUAUAAAAUGACAUAAAAGAACAUGUGUGUGUUUAUAUGUAUAUCAAAAUAUGUAUAUUAAACAAAAGAGUGGAUUUAAUAUACAUAUAUUUAACCCUAUAAAUAUUCAAACUUUUGGUCUUAGUCUCCAUAAAAAAAUUCUUCGACCUUUAAUCUUAAAAAAAUAUUCACCGAUAAUUUUGAUCUCUGCUUUAUGAAUUCCAAAAAUAAGAGAAAGGUGGAAAUAAAAUAUGAGUUAGAAUAUAUAAAAUUUUACAACGUACAAUAGACUAAUUAUUUUUUCCUUUAAAAAAAAUAGACUAGUUAUUUUUGUGUGGUGUACGGCAGGUUAGUUAUAGUAAAAUAUAAAACAUUUUCUUAAAAAAAAUACAUACAUAUAUAUAUAAAGUGCUCCUUAAAAAAAAAACAACGUGACAUUUUUUUUAAAAGGACAAAAUGGGGCGGUUAUAAAGAUGAACAUGAGUAGUUGUUUAAUUAAAAAAAUAAUUAAUUUAAAUUAAUAAGGUUAAAGUUGGAAGAAAAUAUAAAAAGCUACUUGAAAUAGCUUUUCAAAAAAACGCUAUAAGCUCAUGAAAAAAGCUUGUUACCAAACACGCCACAUUUUCAUCUAACGAGCUUAUAAGCUAAUCCAACAAGCUAUAAGCUAGCUUUUUUGUGUUACCAAAUACAGCCUAAGUUUAUUGUUCAGUUUAAAUCCUUGCAUUAUUAUAAUAAAGCGUAUGUCAUCUCAUUUAAAUGUGAAGUUGUGAACAAAGUUUACUCCAAAUAAAGCAGUUGUUGCUGUAGAAUGAAGCCCUUGAAGCUUCCAUGACAACGAUCCAACAACACGAACAAGAACAUGAUGACCGCCAUCAAGAUGUGGACAAACCCAAUCCCGAUCGUUUUUUGAGACAACCAGAAGGUUGUUAAGGUUUUAAAUGCAGUAUAGGUUAGUUUUGUUGAGGUCUCACGGUGGACAUCAAAUGUACUUGCAGUGAGUACAAUAUCGAUGACUAUGAUUUAGUAUAUGUUUAAGUCAUGCCUUGAUAAUGGUCUCAAGUGGGAUAUUUAUAGCCUUAUUAAGUCUCUUAGUUCGUGACUCAGGCCCUGAGUUACUUUUGGUUAGUAACUGAAGCCCUAAGUCACUUUUGAUAUAGAAAGUGUGCAUGCUUAGGUCAAUCUGGGUAUCUUGGCCGAAUAUUUAACCCCAAAAUAUAGGAAAUGCGGUUUCAGGGACAAUAACGAAGGGUACAUCUUUUUCUAGAGCUUUGGCGACGCUCUUGUAGAUGGUCAGUGAACUCUUGUAGAGGGCAGUGAGCCCUUUGUGGAAUAAUAGCGGUCCAAAAUCUAUUUUUUUCAAAGCUGAAACAAACGCACCCUACAUAUUAUAAUUUUUCGUCAAUUAAUUAAACAUAUAUUUUCUAUAUCAUUUUGUAUUUAUAGAUUAGUUUAACCGUUAAUUUUGUCAAACAUUAUAAAUUCAAUUAGUUAACUUAUUCAAUAUUAAUUAUUCGUUAACAUAUGUUUACCAGACCUAGUCUUAACAAUGUGUCCUUGAAGUACUUGUUAGUAGUCUCUUAGUCUAAAAAUACACUUCAUUCUAACAAAAAAAAAAAAUCUUAUUUUAUAUGUCAUUUUACUAUAUCUAUAAAAUAAUGCAAUUUUUAUUAUUUAUUAUUCUAUCUUUUUUAAUUCUUUCAAUUUAACUUUUUUUUUAUACCGCUAAUAAAAUUAAUUCUCUUAAAUAAUAGUAUAAUUUCUCUUUAGAAAAUGUUAACAUAGGUGCACAUGUUAAUGUACUAAAAUAGAAAUUUUAUAUUGGAAAUUGUGCUAAUUUAUUUCUCAACAAGUUAAAUAAUUCAUGUGAAUUAAUUCUUUUCAAUAUAUACUACUCCAUCCGUCUCAAAUUGUAUGUCACUUUAGAAAAAAUAUUUGUCCCAAAUUGUAUGUCGGUUUACAAUACCAAUGAAAAAUUAAUGUUACUUUUCCUAUUAUAUCCUUAACUAUUUAUUACUCUCUCUUCUUUCAAUUUCUUUAUUUAUCUUUCUCAUAUCAUUUAUUGAGGACAAUUUUGUAAAACAACUCAUAAUAUCUCUUUCCCACACAAUAUUAAUUACAUUUUUUAAUAUGUGUGAAAUGUCCAAAACGUCAUACAAUUUGGGACGGAGGGAGUACUUGCUACUUUUAAAAUCUUUAACUUGUGCCUUAAAAACACAAGUUUUUUUUUUUUUUUUUUUUUUGUCUUAGAUAAAAUGGUAAACAAUUAAAAUUAAAUUCACACACAAUUGUGAGGUCUCGGGUUCGAACUCGGAUCACGACGUCCGGUCUUUCAAUAUCGACAUUUGUCAGAUGAACUAUGUCUUCUAGAUGAAACACAAAUUAACAAGACUCUUUCUCUUCAUGGUGUACAUUUUUUAAUUUGGGUACAAUUGUUAAAGAGACCGUUUCUUAAAAAAAAAAAAAAUUGUUAAAAGACCAUGUUAUUAUGGAUUAAGAUAGUAGGAGAACAUAUUGAACUUUAGUAGCAAGAGGUAAAUCCGAGUUUUGGAAGUUGGAGAAAUUGUUUUUUUUUUUUGAAAGGUUUUUAAUUUCACAUAUUCCCGUAAUUAAGUUGGAGAAAUAUGUAAACAAAUUAAUUUAAAGCCAAUUUUUAUUUUUAUUUUAUAAAUAUGUAGAAUUUUUUAUUUUUAUUUUUUUUAUAAAUAUGUACUAAAACCCGAAUUUUGGAAGUAAGAGUAUAAGAAAUGAUUGAACGUCCCAAAUAUUCUACUAUGCAUAUCGAGAUUCCACCCAACAAAUUAAAUUCUAAGACGAUACUUCCCUCUGUCCCUCAAUACUUGAUCUAUUUGAAAAAAAUAUUUGUCCCAUAAUAUUUGACUUUCUCAAAUUUCUAAGCAAAAUUUGAUAAAUUUACCCCUUAUAAAUACUUUUUGUGGUCCCCAUGUAAAAGUUUGUAGUGAAACAAAGAAAGUAAUAAUUACUUAAAAUGAAGGUUUCAAAAUAAUAACAAGGACAAUUCAAUAAAAAUAUAAUAAUGUAUACUUUUACUAUAACAGCCUUAUUCAUUUAAUAUAUUAUUUCACAUAUUUCUCUCUCCGUAAUAAAUAACUAAGGGUAAUGUUGCUAAAACAACAUUUAUUGUUGCAUUGAAUUUUAAAAGUGACAGUUAAAUAGAAAUAAAAAAUUUCUCGAAACACUUAAAAACGAACGGAGUGAGUACCAUCUUGUUUCUACAAUUAUGGAUUACGAGGAGACGUCUGAGCUGAACCGAAAGCAUAUUAAGACCACAGUUACAUCCGAUGAGAAAGAGAUUGAGAAGCAUACAUCGUCUUUCUUACACCCUUCUAACAGAGACAAUAUUAGAACGAAAGUUAUCGGCUUUGAUGCAGAGUGGUAUAUGGUUACUGGUAGUUACAUUCAAUCUCAAGGAAUCUUUGCGUAGUCCAAAUGCGCAACUGUACUUCUCUGUGAUGAACAAUCUUGUCUUAUCAUUCAGCUUAAUCAUCUACGAUAUUUUAAGAGUUGGAAUUAUGAUUUGGCGUACAGUUCACUACUUAACUUUCUUCGUAUGCCAAAUGUUACCUUUGUUGGAGUUGGAAUCAAAGACAAUGUGGCCAAGUUGGAAACAUACUAUGGGAUUGGAUGUAGAAAUGCUGUGGAACUUGGCCCGUUAGCUGCUACUGUCAUGAGGAAGCCUCGUUUGAGUUUUUGUGGUGUUGAUGAAUUGGUUAUUUUGGUCUUUGGACUUGAUCUUCGAGAGCAUAGGCCUGUAUCAUCUGCUUAUGACUAUGUUUGCAUUCCUCUUAGCAAAGAACUUGCUAAACUUGCUACUGUUAAUGUUUACUCUUAUUACAUGAUCGGAAACUCACUGAUUAGGAAAAUGUGAUACGUGCUGGCCUUGUUCGUCUUUGGUUGCUGGAUUUAUUUUAGUGAUUUAAAUGUUUGUCUUGAUUCUGUCCGUUUUCUUCAAUCUUUUGGUAGUAAAUGUUGGCCUAUCUCCCAGUAAGAUGUGAUUUUUGUAGCAACAAUGGUUGUUAUCAGAUAACAUUCCUCUUUUGUUUCACUUGUACUUGAUUCUCACGAGUCCCAUUAUUCUUGAGAUUGUUAUUUUGCUGUUGCUUUCUUUUUUUUCUAGCAAAAUGGUAGACUAAAUUUUACAAAUAAGUAACUUAUGGUAGACUAAAUUUUAAACCGCAUGCAUCAACUUUUUGAACGACCUUUUUGCUUGUACAUUUUAGAGUAGUAUUGUAUUUGGAAAGAAAAAAAAAUGUAGAGGAGCACAAACAUGAGAGAGAGACUCCUUAAGUCCUUAUGGAUUAAUUCAUCAAAAUUUAAAUGUUUGUACAUCCAUUUUCAAAAAUCUUGAUUAUCCCUAUUUUAUUUAUGAAAAUCUUCAUUGUUCCUAUUGAAUAUUCGCAAAAUUUUACAGGCUUACUCCAAUUGAAUACAAAAAAAUAAGAACAAUCCUAAGUUUUAGCAUUGACAAUGAGUCGAGCUAAGGCAAAUUUGGUCCAACUCGACUCAAUAAAAUUGAAUCCGUUUGAAAUUAGACUCGAGUUCAUGACAACUUUUGUUAGUUAGAAUUUAAGUUCAGUUUGACUCGAUAUGUUUAACUUAAUAGCUCAAAUCAAAUGAACCAAAGACAAAAAUAAUGUUUGCCUACAACGGUAAUCUCAAAAAUCAAUCAUAAAAUUACUAAGGGCCAAAUAAUUCAAACCAGACAAAAAUUAUCAAUUUCUUAGAUCCUAAUUUUUUUCAAUAUAAGGGACAAGAGGUUAUUUUAGAAGGAAAAAAAGCCUAGAAAAGAGAAGUAGAGUGAGUCACGUGAGUUUCAAACAUCAAAUUAAAUCUAAAUAUUGAUAUUUUAUCUUUUAAUUCAUUUGAAAUCAUGGUCUUACAAGAUAUAUCCAGUUUAAUACGUAGAGUUUGCUCAUUAAUCAAACGAGUUGAACUAUAUAUAGUUUAAAUUCAUCUCGAUUAUUUAACGGGCUUAAUUUUUAAAUCAAGUUCAACUCAUUUACUUGACGAAUCAAGUUCGAAGAACAAAUUACCAAAUCAAGUUUUUAACUAUUUUUGAGUUGAUUUUGUUUAUUUUUUUUUUUUUUGAAGGAGAGUUGAUUUUGUUUAUUGUUAACCAUACAUUUUCCAAUUAGAUGCAGUGUUGUAUAAAAAAAAAUUAAAAUGACGCUUAAGACUUUCGAAAUGGCAAGUUUCUUGGGCAGCCUUUUGACUACCAAAAAUAAAUCCAAAUUCAGCUUCAAUUUUAGAAUUAAUUGACGUAUUUUGCUUCACCUAUUUUCGAAACUUGAAAGAAUGCAAUUUAUUUUUAUCAAAAAGAAUAAAAUGCAAUUUUCUAGAUGAAACCCUCCAGUUUUGUAACUGAAACCCUUCGGGACUUUUCAGAUUCUAUUUAAAGGUCACAAAUUCACAAGACUACUCCACACACGCUCAAAGCCUCCUCCUCCUACUCAUAUUCUAUCAUCUAAAACUAACACUCAUGGGUUUCGUGGAGAAGUUUCAGCUGAACGGAGUCCUUAUAGAGACCACUGUAACAAAUAAACAGAAAGUGAUCGACGACAUUCUAUGGUCUUUCUUACAUCCUGAAAAUUAUAAAGGACCUAAGGUUAUCGGGUUUGAUAUCGAGUUGUCGAUGUGUGAAAAUAAAGUAUCAGAAGAAGAAACCAAUUUUGAGACCGAAUGUGCAAUCUUGAAUCUAUGCAAUGGUCAUUCGUGUCUUAUUAUUCAGCUAUGUCAUUUAGAUUCAUUUCCCACAUCAUUGCUUAAUUUUCUUCGUCUUCCAGAUUAUACCUUUGUUGGUGUUGGUAUCAAUCAUAAUUUGGCUAAACUUGAGAAGGAAUAUGGGGUUAGAUGCAGAAAUGCUGUGGAACUUGGACCCUUGGCUGCUAGUGUUAGGAAGAUGCCUAGUUUGAGUUUUUGCGGCGUUGAUGAACUUGCUGUUGCUGUCAAUAAGCUUGAUCUUCGAAAUCAGAGACCUUUAACCACGCUGUUUAAGGAUUGGGGUCAAAGUAAUCUUGGCAAAAAACUUGCUAAACUUGCCACUGUUAACGUUUACUCUUAUUAUAUGAUUGUGAACACAUUGCUUAAUGGUAAUUGUUAGUUAAUCAAGUUCCCCACUACUUUCCGUUGGUUUGUUUCUGUAGUUGGAUUUGAUUUUGGUUGUGGAUUCUAAUAUUAAUUAAUCCAUGGUGAUUAAGCUUGUUUCUAGGUUCACUCGGCCAUCUUUAUUGUAUUUUAAAAUCAAUUAGAAUUGGAUUUGCAACUUAUCAGAUUAUAUUUUUUGCAAAAAAAAUAAUUAAACACUUUAGUUGGAUUACUGAAAUUAAAUCUCUUGAUCAAAUAUUGAACAGAUAUUGCAACAUCUUCUCUUGGUUACCGGGUGGUUAUUAGGUAUUAGUAUGAUGGUGUUCACUAUCCAGCAGUCGACCAUGGCUCCACAAAUCUCUGUUCUAAGUUCUGAUUUGGAACCUCCCAAUUGGUUUUAUUUUUUUCUUUUCAAAGUUACCGUGUUAGAAUAGUAGUGUUUGAACAUAAAAUAUUUACACCUUAUAGAACCACUAGAAAUGUACCUAAGACAGCGUUAUUUGAUUUAAUGUAAGAUAAGUUAUUAUUACUAUUUUAUUGCACUAAUGACUAUAAAUUACAAACAAUAAUUUUAUUUAUUCUUAUUUGCUAUGAUUGGAACCUGCGUCAAGUAGAGUAUGCCUUAAGACAAUUAACAAGAUGAUAAGUUAACCUAGCACAAACGAUAGUUUUAUGAAAUUUUGAUUAAAAUUAUAGGUAUAAAUAAUGAAUAUUUUUCACUUUCAAAUUGUAACAAAUUAUACUUCUAUUUUUCAAUGAUACCAACAGUAUAACAAAUAUAAUAUCUUUCAAAAAACAUAAUAAAUAUAAUAUAAAUUCUUAUAUUUUUAUGGUAUAGAUGGCAACAAUAGAAAAAUAUUGUGUCUAACAUCUUUUUGGAUAUUAAAGUAAUUUCUUUUACCAUGGUUUGAAGUUCCACCGCCGAUUAGGGUGACUAAUCUCCAUCGAGAAAUCUAUUGGGCACACAAAGUGCGUUCUCUCAUCUCAACCAAAUUUUCUUCGUGCACGAAAAUGUAUGAGAUCAAAUACUUGAUAACCUGUUUAACAAGUUCCAAUCUCGUACCACAUAUAUUAAUCUAUUACUCCCACCAUUCUUAAUUAUAACAAACUUUUUAUAUUUUAGGUUUAUUGAAUAAAUGAUGUUGUGGUCCACCACAUCUAUCAUUUAUUAAAUGAAAAUGAUCACAUGAUCACUCAAAAGACUUACAUGAUCACUCUUGUAUGUGUUAUGUAGGGUGUAAAUAGGUUAUACCGACUAGGUUAGAUUUUUUUUAACUAGACUUGGCAGAAAUUUUCUUAAAAGUCUAAUUAGCUAAAAUAACCAUACUUUAGACCCUAAUCAAAACUUUAUAGGUUUAUUUAAAUGAAUAUGAAAAGACUUUUUAUUUUUUAUGGAAAUUAUUUUCAUUAAUUGAAGCAUAUUAACUUACAUAAAUUUUUGACAUCCAAUUUUCUGUGUCGGAUGACUUGCAAAAUGAAUGUCAUUUUCGGUUCAGAUGCGCCAAUCUGAACUUUUGUGUUGGACAUUCGUGUCUUAUUAUUCUGCUAAUUGGUAAUUGUUUUCAUAGAUUUUUACCUCUUCCAUUGAUGCAUAAUUUUCUCUCUAUGCCAGAUUAUACCUUUGUAGGCGUUGGUAUCAAAGAUAAAUUGGUUAAGUUAGAGAAGCAGUGUGGGAUUGGAUACAUAAUAAAUGCAUUUGAACUUGGACCACUUGCUGCUACUGUUAUGGAUAUGCCUCGCUUGAGUUUUUGUGGUCUUGAUGAAUUAGCUUUUGUUGUGAAUGGGAUUGAUUUAAGGGAGCACAGACCUCUGAGCCUGGACUUUAAUUGGGGUAGUAAAUCCCUUAGCAUAUAACUUCUUAAACUUGCUACUGUUAAUGUUUACUCUUACUACAAGAUUGGGAGUACAUUGCUUGGAAGGUAUGCAUUAAUCCCACCACAACCGCCAUUCGAAAAGAAAAUCAAACCUGAACCCCUCUUUGAUGAUUAAGUUGGCAAGUUGAGUUUUUGCUGCUUAUAUUAUAAUGAGCUAAGGAAGACUUGCUUUAAUGUGCCUAAGUUUAUUAAAUUUUUCUAAAAUAGAUAUUUUAAUGUUAUUAUUGUAAUUUUGUCGCUUGAGUUUACUCGUUAUUAGACUUGAAUAUUUUUCUGGAAAAUUCUAUGGUGAAGUCAUGAGAAUGACUUUUCUGGUUAAGUUAACACUAUAGCAUCAAAAUUGUUGCGAGUAACACCCCACUAUUUGUACAGUGUCAUCAAAAGUUCAAUCCCCAUAGUAUCAUCAAUUCAUCAGAUUAACAAGAAUACACUUAAUCUAAUUUUAUCCUACUUUAUUUUAAGUGUAACACCCAACAAAGUGUAACACUUAAGACUAUCACAUGAUAUCAGCAACUCUGUUUGCAUGUUAGAGAUGCCAACGAUAAAAUAAUACCUGUAAGUCUAAAAUGUUGCAAGCAUUACUAGAUGAAUUACUAUUGAUCAUUAAUCAGUAAUCAACAAUUUAAAAAUGAAACAAAUAUUAAGAUUAAAAUUAACUUUUUUAAAAAAGUCAGUUUCAUGACUGCACCGUAGAAACUUUCUUUCUUUUCUAGUGAUAGAAUUUGUCUCCAGCACCAAAUUUACAUUUUCCAAUUUUUAUGAGCUGCAUGGACCUAUCUGAAACCUUAGAAACUUAAAGGACCUAUCCGAAACAAACUCUAAACUUAAAGGACCUAUCUGAAACUUUGGAAACUUAAAGGAUCUAUCUGAAACAAACAUAAAACUUAAAGGACCCGGGGAGGUAUUUGACCUAAAAUAAAAGAAGCAACCCGCCAUAAGUUUGCUUGGACACACAUUUUAAAAUGCAAUAUCCAUUGAGCUAAGCUCACGGUGAUUAAUUAAAUAUGUUUGGUUUAGUUGUUGGCUAUAAUGCACACUUUUGCCCUUAAGAACAUAAAACAAGUACAAGUUCAUAAUCCAUGUGAUUUCCCUAACAUCCUCACAACCCCCUCCCCCACCCAAAACAUAUCAUUUAUUUAUUAAUAAAUUUAAUAGAUGGGAUGAUAUUUGAGGGCGUUUUGAAAAAGGAAAGUAAGUAGACCAAAAGUGAUGACAUGAUAUAUCUAAGAAGAACCAAACGACACCCAAACACAAGUCUCUGCUCUUCCACCACGAUAAUCUCUUUUUAAUAUGGCCAACCAAUGGCUGUGAUACAUAAUUAACGAUGGCCGGACGAAUUUGAAAGAAGCAAUUACUCCAUCCGUUUUUAAAUAUAAGCAAAUUUUAUUUUUUAUGUUCAUUCAAUUAAUGAUGUAUGUGGUUCAUAAUAUAGACCACAUACAUCAUUAAUUGAAUGAAUCUAAAACGUAAAAUUUGUUUAUAUUUAGAAACGGAGGGAGUACAAGGGAAAGAACUAGAGUUACAACAUAAACCAAUAAACUUUAGAGAUAAUUGAGAAGAGAUGAGUUAUUUUGAUAGAAAAAAAAAGUCUUAAAUUUUAUUAUCAUAAUCCAAUGCAUCAUACAUCUCAUUCUCCAAUUAGUGGAAAAAAAAAAUAUGACACCUAGAGUAUGGAUGAAGAAUUUUGGAAGGAAGGAGAGUAUUAUUAUUUUUUAAUCACGAACACUUAAAAAUAUUUUUGUUAAGGAGAAAAUGUUUUUUAAAAAUGAAUCAAAUGUAAUUGAUAUAUUAUCUGAUUAUAUAUCUUACAAGAGAUUAAUCAAAUGCUCUAGCAGGAUACCCCUGCAUAGAACGGGUGAGCGUGCUGUACUAUUGUUUGGAAGUAAGUCGCAGUUGCGUAGAAAUUAAAAUCUUGGUAUUAAUAUAUGAAUAAAAAUAUAAACAUAUGUACAAGUAAAAAUAUAUAGUGAACUGAUAAAAAAAAUUGGACCUAGGCUGGUGUGGCAUUUGCCACACCCGGCCUUGGUCAGAUCCGUCCCAGAUUGACAAACUAAAAUUGAGGUAUUUGGUUCAUAAUGUAAAGCAAAGUUGAUCAAAUAUAUUUUAAAAAAAUAAACCUAACAUUCUAAAAUCCUCCAAAAGCCUUCGUUAUUCAGAUUUCCAAAAUGCAAGUUGCUCGGACAACCUUUUAACUAGGCAUGACAACAAAAUCUAUAACAACAAUUACCCGCCUAAACACACCAUGAUUGGACAGGUUUUUUCAGCUUUGAAUGAGUUUGUGUAUGAGUUUCUGUUUUCAACGAUUUUAAAACAUGUGUACUGGAUGAGUAACAUGCAUAUAAUACCACCCUGUGUAGUAAAUUAGUCAAGAUAAUUUUCUCUAAAUAAUAAUCAACAUAUAUAAAUAUAAGCAUCAAUAAAACAUAGGUAAAAGAGAGAACAAUAAAUUUAUCUGUUCUUAAAAUUGCGGUGAUUUGCAGACGGCAGAAUUAACGUAAACAAAUAAGAAAUCAUGACUGCAAAAUAGUAAGCCAUUACAUAGCUUGAGGUGUGACGAAGUCACUGUCCUUAAGGAUUUUAUCCUCCUCAUAAACGCAUAUCCUCCCAGGAUACAACAAGUUCUUCUCUGCUAUGAAUCAUAUCAAAGGUGGCAGAACAACUUGAAUUUAUCUCAAAGAUAACAGAAGAUGUAACCCGAAAAUUCAAUAUUUAGGAGGAGAGAAAACUAUAUUUAGGAGGUGAGUAGAGCUGUUGAUGUUGUUGCUACUGAUCAAAGGCUAGAAAAAAAGAAAAACCUUAACUCCAUUUAUUUCACGUAAAAUAAUAUUUUCCAAGUAAGUUAAAAUUAGCUUUGUAAUCCAAAAAUAAAGCCUUAAUAAAAGCUACUAAAUUGUGAACGUUGGAAAAGAAAUGUAACUGCGCCUUUGACUCUGUAAACAACUAAAUGUGCUUAAAUGAUAAUAGUUAAUUGCAUUAACUUUUGAAAUAAAAUAAAACUUUAAAAUUACAACAAUCCCCCACAUAUUUCAAAAGUUAAAAUAAGAGGUUAUAAAGAGUUUUCUUGGGUAAACAUCGUAGAUGUAAUGCAUCGAAACGAUGUAGCAAGCUAUGGAACCCGUCCUAGAUAAAUGAGACUUAACACACAUUGAAUUGGUUUAGCAAGCUAUGGAACCCAAGACACUUGUUGUAUGCAAGAGGUCUCACAAUCACAUUACACCCCCACAAUUCUUGUUACGCGGUUGUGUGCUAAUAGACCGUGCGCGUACUUGGUAUUCAUGAGUGCUCUAGAGACCAGCCACAAUCUCAUGCAAGCGGCCCCACUUGACACUCACAUAAGUGAUUUUAUCUAGCGUAUGCUACGACCAUACACCACCCAUAAGGGCUUAUGGUAAUCAUUAAAGUCUUUAAAACUUAUCCCUCAAUUUUAUAUUAUUUAGCACAUCUCAUCCAUUAUCAUACACUAUAGGAAACAUACAACAUUAUUUUAGUGCUAAUAGAACUAACAAGUAACUUGUUUUUACCCAUUGAACGUUCUUCAUGGGAUCUCCAAUUACAAAGGUUGGGUUCCCAUUACUUGUCGUUUUCGAAUGGCGUAGUCUCAUUUCCCAAAUUUCUUCCCAAUAGGUUGUAUAUAUACGGAUCCACUUAAUUCACAAAUAUUGACCAAGACGUCUCUAAGUCAAUUAACCUCAUAUUUCAUCAAGUUUAUAAAAAUAAACUCGAAUUACACAAUAAACUAAUACAAGUCAUUGUCUACUAAAUGACAAUAUGUUCAUCAAUAAGAUAAAUCUACCUAUAGAUUUAUUCUCAUUGGAUUCAUAUCUAUUUGACAUCUUUGUAUUAUUUUAAUACAAAGGUUUAUCCAUUCUGUCAACAAUAUCUCAUAUAUUAUCAAACUAAUUUCCAUAAUAUAUUUCAACAGGUAUACUUAGAUAAAUACUAUGCGACAACAUCUUCACAAAGGGGAAAAAUAAAUUUAUGAUUAAUUUUAUUAUAUUUGUCUACUUGAAAAACUUUCAGACGACAAUACCCCCACAUUGUAUAAAAUAAAUAUAUUUUUAUUCAGGUCUACUUGAAUGAUUUUCAAGUGACAACAUCUCUAUUGCGCUUAUUUUACUCAUGUAUAUCAUAAAUGUUCUCCACAAAUUUCUCAAUAUCAUAUACUUGUCAAAAACAUUAUACUACCACAUUUCCUUAUGAACUUACAUCUAGUAUGAUGCAGACAAGAACAAUUCCGAUAAACAAUUUUGAUUAAUACAAACAUAAUUAGAUCAUACAGCCAAGCUCAAAGUAAAAAAAUCACAUAAGCCCAUAAACUAGAAAAGUAAGCCUCAUAAAACCAAUAAUUGUCUAACUACGUCACGGUUAACAUCAAGAAAUAUUGUGGUAAUGGAGUGGGAUAAAGAAAUAUAAGGAUAAAAGCCAUGGUAUCUCUACCAAGAAAUAAGAUGAACCAGUACUCACAACAAAUCCAAAGAUUACUCCCAAUUUUUCUUUUAAAAGAAACUAUUAAAAACUGACUUGAAAAUUCGAUAAAAUAUAAACAUGACAUAUUCACAAAGUUUCACCAAUUUAGUCAUUGAUGUCUUUGUCAUAUAUACAAUUUUCUUGAUCAAUUAGCUCAUCAUAUCAAACAUUGAUCUUAAAAAAAUAGAAAUAAAUUAGGCCACAUGAACUAUCAAUUACACAUUCUCAGAAACAUUUUGCAUUUAUAAAAGUCAUAUACGCAAUACAAAUACAUACACAAUCAUUACAAAGUUCACACAAUGCAUGCUUAUGACAUCCCACCAUUAAGGUUCAUAUAUAUGACAUUUUAUGUACAUCAAAUUAAUAAAUCCUAAACCCAUAUAUAUGACAUGCACACAUAGAUGAAUUGAUUUACAUUAUAGAGAAAUUGGAUUUCGUUCUUAAAAUCAAUUUCACAAAUAUGUUUUAAAAAGACAAAUAGUAACAUAAACAUAUAGCACGUGACAAAGUUCAUUUUGUAACCGAUAGAUUAACCCGGCUAACAUAACAGCUCAAACAACAUACUAGAUUAUCUGAGUGGAGACGAUUUAAUAACCAAAUAACUAAUAAGAAAAUCUUAACGUAAAAGUAAUAGAAAAUUCUAUUAAUCACAAUAAUAAUAUUAUUAUCCAAAAAACCCCGUAGAAAAUACUUUUCAAAGAGUACUAUGCAUAUAAUAAUAUUUGAUUCCUCGAUAAAAACAUGAAUUUUAGGAUUGCAACCAUGUUAGCAAUUUAAAAGAAUAUCAUCAGAGCACUUAAAAUAGAAAAAACAAAGAAUAUGAACAAAAGGAACCUGUUUGGUGGAAUCGUUGAUUUAAGGACCAAUACCAUAGUCCAUUGAUGAUAAUCCAAACAAGUAGCAACCACCGCCGUACUUCUUAACAGGAGUGACAUCAAGACUCUCUCUUUGUUGGAUCAGUUUCGUCAUUCGCAAUUUUUAGCUUUCGUUUCUCAAAAUUGACAGUCCAUUCCUUAGACAUAACAAUACCCGCAUAAAUAAAUAAAAUAUAAUUAGGGAUUAGUUUUAUGAUAUCAAAAAGUAAAAUCCUUAAGAUUGUAGUAAAAUUAGUCAAGAUAAUUUUCACUGAAUAAUAAUCAACUUAUAUAAAUAUAAGCAUCAAUAAAAUAUAGGUAAAAGAGAACAAUAAACUUAUCUGUUCUUAAAAUUGCGGUGAUUUGCAGAAGGCAGAAUUGACGUAAACAAACAAGAAAUCAUGAUUGCAAAAUAGUAAGCCGUUACAUAACUUGAGGCGUGACGAAGUCACUAUCCUUAAGGAUUUUAUCCGCCUUAUAAGCUCAUAUCUUCCCAGGAUAAAACAAGUUCUUCCCUACUAUGAAUCAUAUCAGAGUUGGCAGAACAACUUGAAUUUAUCUAAAAGAUAAGAGAAGAUGUAACCCAAAAAUUCAAUAUUUAAGAGGAAAGAAAACUAUAUUUAGGAGGUGAGUAGAGUUGUUGAUGUUGUUGCCACUAAUCAAAGGCUAGAAAAAAGAAAAAGCUUAACUCCUUUUGUUUCACGUAAAAUAAUAUUUUCCAAGCAAGUAAAAAUUAGCUUUGUAAUCCAAAAAUAAAGCCUUAAUAAUAGCUACUAAAUUGCAACCGCCUUUGACUCAGUAAACAAUUAAGGCUCUGUUUGGAUUGGCUUAUUUUGAGCUUAUGUCGGCUUAUCUACUUCCAUAAGCCUUUUUAAAGGUGUUUGGGUAAAUAAAUAAAAAUAGCUUAUCAUAGUUUCAUAAGCUGCUUGUGCCAUAUUUUAAUAAGCCUAAAUUUUCAGCUUACCCUCCGGCUUAACAAGGAGCUUAUGAAUUUAUGUAACCUCCAUCGAUUCUCUCUGGAUCCACUUUUUCAAAACAUAUAUUUUUUUUGUUAGUUAUCUUUGCGUAGUAACAAAAUUGUUAUACUUAUCUUACUAAAGUAUAACAUGUAACUAAGAUUUUUAUUAUUUUUUUUAAGGAAGAAUUUUAUUAUUUUUUUGUUACGUAAUAAAUUGAACUAAAUAAAAAAAACAAACUUAACUUGUCUUUUUUUGGUAACAAACUGUACACUGAUAUCUAUUUUAUUUUAUUUUUGUUUUUAACUAUUAUUUAUAAAGAUUUUUUCAACAAUGGUGUAAGACUAUUAAAAUUUUACAUACGUGAUUAUUUCUUACUAUUAUAUUUAUAUUAUUAUUAUUUUUUUUUAAAAAAGAAAGCUUAUCAUAUAUUAUUAUAUUCGUGUAUGAUGAUGUUUAGACUAUAUGAAUAUUGAUAUUUUUUAAGGACGAAUAUGGAUUAUACCAUAUAUAUAAUUAUAAUUAAUAUAUUAUAAUAUUUUUUUUACAUCUUGAUUAAUUUUAUCAAAAAAAAAUUGAUAAUUGUGGUUCAAUUGUUUGAUUUUUUUGUUAAAUUAAAAAUAUUUAAAAUUUCGAGAAUGGCUUAUGUAAUGUCACAUCCAAACACUUCAAUUUAUUUAAGUACUUUUCAGUGUACAUAUCUAAACAUAAAUAGCUUAUCAAGUAUAAGAGCUUAUGAUGUAAACUCUAAUGGUAUAAGCUCUAAUGCUAUAAGCAUCUAUAUAAGUUGUUUAUCCAAACGGGGCCUAAAUGUGCUUAAAUGAUAAUAGUUAAUUGCAUUAACUUUUUGAAAUAAAAUAAAACCUUAAAAUUACAACACCCUGAACUCAUACUCAAAUUCAUCUCUAUUUAUCAUGUUAUAAAAAAUGUCAUUGAUAUGUAAAUGAGUAACCAAAUCAUUCGGUAAAGAAAAUGUUAAAAAGGGAGCAUAUUACUAGAUACAUCACAACAUUGUCCUCGAGCUUGAAAAAAAAAAAAGUAUUUUUUUUUAAAAUGAUUCAUUUUGGGGACGAGGUUGCAGCGGGAUACUAAAACCAAUUGGAGAUGGCGAAAUGAUUUAAUUCCUCAUCCUCAUUAGAUAUGAGUAUGAUAACAUGUAGUCGAGGAUAGGGACAUAAAAAGUUAAAUUUGUCCUUACUCCGUCCCAUUGUUAAGCCUACUAUUUUUUUUUUUUUUUUGAUAUAAGCCAUGCGUGCUUACCAAAAGUAAAUACUACCUCCGGUCCUAUUUACAAGAGACAAUUUACUUUUUAGAUACAUUGAAUAAUUUAUGUAUUUGGUUUAGGUUCUUGACUAGAUACAUAUAUUAUUCAAUGUAUUUAAAAAGUCAACUGUCUCUUGUAAAUAGGACCGGAGGGAGUAGUAUAAAUUUAAGUUCACAUAUUUUCGAAACAUUGAAAGAAUGAAAUUAUAGAGGUCAGAGGAGAUAAACCUUCCAGCUUUCUACAUCAAAUCCUUCAUGACUUCCGAGAUUCUAUUCAAACGUCACAGCAGAUUCACAACGCCACUCUACAAAUACCCGUCCUCUUGUUACAUAAAUUUUUCAUAACUCAUUCUUCUAUUAUUAUACAGUACUAAUUAUGGGUUUUCUUGAGUCGUUUCUGCUGAACGGAGUUCAUAUCAAGACCACCGUAACAAACAAGCAGCAAGAGGUUGACAACCUACUAUGGUCCUUCUUACGUCCUGCAAAUUAUAAUGGACCAAAGGUAAUCGGGUUCGAUGUCGAGUUGUCAAUGUUUGAAAAUAAGGUAUCAGAGGAAGAAAUCUACGACAAUUCCGAAUGUGCAACUCUGCACCUAUGUAAUGGCCAGUUGUGUCUUAUUAUUCAGCUAUGUCAUUUAGAUUCAGUUCCCACAUCAUUGCUUAACUUUCUUCGACUGCCAGAUUAUACCUUUGUCAGUGUUGGUAUUAAAGAUGAUUUGGCUAAGCUUAAGAAGGAAUAUGGGAUUAGAUGCAGAAAUGCUGUGGAACUUGGACCUCUUGCUGCUAGUGUCUUGAAAGUGCCUCGUUUGGCUUUCUGUGGUGUUGAUGAACUAACUGUUGCUGUCAAUAAGCUUGAUCUUGGAAAGCAUAGGCCUUUAAAUACGCUGUAUAAGGAUUGGGGUCAAUCUAACCUUUGAAAAAAACUUGCUAAACUUGCUACUAUUAAUGUUUACUCUUACUACAUGAUCGGGAGCACAUUGCUUAAUUAGUUGUUAAAUCAAGAUAAUUACUUGUACUUUGCAUUGUUUUGCUUCUUAAGUUGGAAUUUAGUUCUACUAUUUACUAAUCAAGUAUGUUUGUUUGUUUCUAUAUCCUACUUAGCCCUGUUUAUUUAAUUUAAUUUUUGUUUAAUGGUAUUCUCUACUCAUCGGUUGACUGUUCUAAGUUAAGAAGUGAGCUUCUGAUAAUUGAAUUGACCAGCUGCUAAGGGGUAAGGCAGAACCGCACGAUUGAAAUUUUUUCAUUUCUGAGUCAAUUCUGUCGUUAGUCUCUAAUAUACCGAGUUCAGAACUUCAGAUAAGCCACCUAGAAGAAAAAUGAUCCAUUUUUAGUUGAUUAUUAAAAUAAAGAUAUUGCUAACGAGUGUCACAUGAGCAUUGUAUAAAAAUUCCUGUAAAAUAAAUUUUCUCUUAAAAAUACAAAUUGUUACUUUUAUCUAAGUAAUAAUUACACAAUUUUUUAACAUAAAUUUACUACUUUUAGUUUACUCUAACCAAUGUCACCAGGGCACUCGUUAAAUAUUGUUCUUGAAAUAAACCAUCUAUGUCCGAUCAUAUCAUGGUAAAAUACAAUAUAACGAGAACGAUAACUAGAAUAUUUUAAAAGUAUAUUAUAAAAAUGAGCGGUGCUAUUUCUCUAAACAAGGUUUAUCCCGAGCCAAUCACGAAAUGCUUGUUGGCCAAUUAAAAUUGCUUUUUGCCGGAAAUCAGGGAGGGAGAGUUGUUAAGUUAGGAAAGGUACAGAGAAAAUACACGCUCGUGAAAUUCUCCUAUAAAAAUGCACCAGGCCAAUAUCAUCAUCGAAUUAAUGUCUUUGAUUGUAUUGUUGGUCUCUCAAACGAUAACGAGAAUGGUUAGCUUAUUGAUAUGGCAUUAAAAUGUGCCCUAACAAAAUACUUUCAUUGAUCUUGUAUAUAUAUAUAAGCAAAAAGUUAGUGCUUUUAUUUAAAUUUGGAUUAAAUACAUAUAAACAUGAGAGAAGUAUAAGCAUGGUUUUAAAAAUUGAAUCAGACCGGUCGGCUGGACUAGUCCAACCAGGAAUCAUUUGGGUGAUCGGUUCGAUUUGAUAGUCAGAUCGGCCAUGUUUUUAAAUUGGCGCGAACCGGUAUGACUCAAUCUAAACCGAUGAACCAACAGUUGUAACAAACCGGAUCGGCUUAAGUUAACCAUAACAUCAAAGAAUAACUAUACAAUACAAUUGAUAUAGAUAUUUUACUUGGUCACAACUAUUUUUUAGCACAUUUAUUUUUAUUAAUUUAAACAUGUACCUAGUAAGAAUAUAUAUCUCAUGUACUAUUAAUUUGAUCCAAGCCCGGUGGGACAGACGGCGUCGUCGUGGUGCAUGAAAUAUAUAUAUAUAUAUAUAUAUGGGCUGCUAACUUACUCCCACCUAAAAACAUGAAGGAGUAAGUUAGCAAGCCUACUCCCACUUACUUUUUAUCAAAAACUACCUUGCAUCUUUAAUAAACAACAUUUUCAUAGAUGGGCAUUAUUGUAAUUUGCUUUUUGUAACUUUUUUUUGAAACAUUGUUUACUUUUUUUUUUUUUUUGAUGAAAGGGAGGGCCGAAGCUCGGAAGAAAUUACAUCUUAAUCAAGCGCGGAAAAGUAACCCCCGCUUGAUCAGCAGCUAACAAAUGGUUAAUUUGAGUCGGACACGACUCAUAAAACAUCAUCUCAUUCCCCAUGAUACAUCCAAUAUUAGCUAACGCAUCAGCGCACCUAGUUGCUUCACGAUACGAAUGUUUAACCUUCACUUCCCAUUCCAUUUGAAGAAGUUUUCUAAUUUUUUGAACAAAACUCCUACCACUCGCAUUGCUUUCCUUCCCACUCGUAAUAAUAUUCACAACCACCAAAGAAUCCACAUUUAAUUCUACUGCAGUGAACCCCAUACGUUUUGCACACCGGAGACCUUCCAAAACUCCCCAUAGCUCUGCAAUAAAAGCAUCACACUUCCCUAAAAAUUUGGAGAACCCCGCUAACCACUCGCCUUCCGAACCUCUAAUAAGAGCAUGUUUGACCCUACUUAUUUUCCACUUCUCUUCUACUUCUAAGAAGAAGUGGGGCCAAACACAUAAAGCUCUUAAUAAAAUAACAAAACUUCAAUUACCCCCCUGAAAUUUCAAAACGUUAGUCAAUUUACCCCCUCCGUCAAAUUUUUCUGUUAGUGAACAUGACGUUUUGCAAAUACCCCCCCUGAAGAUUUGCACUUAUGUGUAAAAUGCCCCCUAAACUUUAAAAUUUAUAUUAUUUUUUUCUUAAAAACAAACAAUUAAUAGUUAAAUAUUAAAACUAACUAUUAAUUUUGGAAUUUGGGAAAACUACGUGCAUAUAUAUACAUCAAAAUAGGCUCCAAAAUGGGAAAAAUAUGUAUUUUUUAAAGUGACAAUAAUGGGAUGAUUUGUGGAUUAAUAUUGGGGGUUGUGUAGUUUAAAUUGUUUGAGCAAAUUGUUGAAGGAGUUGGAGGAGCUAAAAGACUAAGAUGGUGAAGGAGAAAAUAUAAAUUUAAAUCUGAUUAUUAAUUUGUUUAUAAACCUCUAAAAAUAAUAAUUUGUCUAUUAGAAAUAACCAUUAUUGCCACUUUAAAAAUAACAAUUUUUCCCUAUUUUGAUGUAUAUAUGUAUGUAGUUUUUCCAAACUCCAAAAUUAAUAGUUAGCUUUAAUAUUUAACUAUUAAUUGUUUGUUUUUAAGAAAAAAAUAAUAUAAAUUUUUAAGUUUCGGGGCAUUUUGCACAUAUGUGCAAAACUUCAGUGGGGUAUUUGCAAAACGUCAUGUUCACUAACAGAAAAAUUUGACGGAGGGGGUAAAUUGACUAACGUUGUGAAAUUUCAGGGGGUAAUUGAAGUUUUGUUAAUUUCAAAGGAUAAUUGAUGAAUCUUACAAUUUCAUGGGGGAAAUUGACUAUUUACUCAUAAAAUAAAUGUCUUUUUUACAAAGAAGGAAAUCCAAUAAAAGUCAGUUUGAAAAUAAGUUGUGAAAGGGAACUUUAGGACAACUUUUCGGAGGUAAAAUUUACUUCUGCACAUUCAACACAGGCCAACAUAUUCCUAUUUUUUAUUAAUUUUUGGUAAAAUCCCGCCAAUCCUUUUUUUCCCUUUUCAAGAAACCGCCAAAAGUGCAUAAAACCUAGUCAUAUACUCCCUCCGGUCACUAUUAUAAGCAAAAAUUUAUUUUUUAGAUUCAUUAAAUAAAUGAUGUAUAUAGUCUAUAUAAAUGACCAUAUACAUCAUUUAUUGAAUGAAUCUAAAAAGUAAACUUUUGGAGUAUAUCUCUUCCAUUUCAGUGCUUUCUGCCACACCUAUGCUUGCUGCCGCCGCUGACCAUUGGUGCAGGUACAUUUUUAUAUUUUAUUCUUUUGAUUUAAAUAUAUCUUGUUUAAUUUUUGUCCUUUUGUUGCUUAUCUUUCCUUAUGCCUUUUAUAUGAUAUAUUACUGUACAUAGUUAUUAUAUUUUGGUUGCUUUCUCCUGUCAUCAACAUAUUCAAAAUAUGUAAUUUUAUUCUUUAGUGAUAAUCUUGUUAAAAAGCCCAUAUUAAAUUCAGUUAUGUGUUUUGUCUAUCAGUACUAGCUUGCUUUUUGUUUAUUAUAUUGUUUGAUUACCUUUGAUCUUAUAUGGAUCUUUAUCUCGGUAAGUCUAUUCAGUUUCUUACCUAUUAGUUUUCUUAGAUCUCUUUUUCAUCCAUUUAGAAUAAAUGAAUUGCAACUAUGGCUACUAAUGUCAUUUUUUUGAAAUUGUUUAUAGAUUUCUUCUAAUCAGAUCAAUGAGCAUUCAAGAAAAGUUAAAAAAAGAAAAUGCAUGUUUUAUAAAAUAUGUUAUGGGGCAGCGAUGAUUGCAUAUGAAUAUCAUAUAAAGUACUUACUAAAGCAAGGUAAUAGAUUUCUUUAUUCUCAUGGAUGGACUUGGAUUCGAGAAACUCUUAACACCGAGAUGAAAGUUAUAAUAUGUUUAGAAUGGAAACUCAUGCUGUAUAAUGGAAGCUACAUGGACAGAGCUAGAAAUCAAAUAGCCACUAAGUUGUUGGAAAACAAAAAUCGUUCAAGUUUAUGAUGUGUUAUGUUUCUAAUAUUGGAUUACCAAACGCUUUCAAUUUAAUUUAUGAUAAUGUUUUAUAUAAUAAUUUAUACAUUUUCAUUUGGUCUAAAAAAAAUCAGGCCUUUACAAAAUUUAAUUUUUUAUAAAAGAAAAAAAAAAUCUUUUAUUUUAUUUAUGAUAAUUUGUAAUAAAAUCUCAAAGCUCUUUUAAAAAUAUUUUGCCAAACAAAUUUGAACUUAAAAGUACUAAUUAAGUUGAAAAAAACAACAAAUACCAAACAACUUUAACUUCAACUUCAAAGUUUUAAUUUUCAACUUUAUUCUAAAAGUGACCUUUAGACCUAAAAAAAAGUAGGGUCAAACGAACCCUAAGUCCUCCACACCCCGCGAUACUACCAUCCUUACAAGCUUCGUUAGUAUUGAUCUUGACCCACGCAAUCAGUGGUUCCUUCCAUCCCACUUCCUCCAAAUGUCUCGGCUGAGAUAUCACAAUAACAGACUUUGCUAAUACAUUGUGAUAAUAAUUAACAUAACUCAUAAUAAUAUUUUUAGCAUGUAAAGGUCUUUGGUAGUUGUCAUUAUGAGUUUCCUUGUUUCUCCAAUUCCAUAUAGCGUGACAAGCGGUGGCCCAAAAGUCUCUCCACUCCACAUUAUGAUUCCAAUAGACAUUAGUAAACAAAUUAAAUAUAAUCCAACUAGAUAAAUCACCUUCAAAGAAACUUGUUCUUGCAGCAUUGUCCACUGCACACAAUCAAAGUGCCGUGGCUUUUGGACAGUCCCUCAAAACAUGAAUUUCAGACUCAAUCUCAUCAUGACAGAACCUACACAUAGGAUUACCAAUCCCCAUCUUAUGCUUCCUCAAAUUUGUUAACAAUCUUCCAUGGUAGAGCAUUCACAUAAAAUGUUUUAUACGUAUUCUUCCACAACUUUAAUCAAAUCUCAUCUUGUGCAGCAUUGUCAAAAUUUGACAGUAUAUGAUAAGCUGAUGCAAUUGUUUACUUUUAUUUGUUAACAUCAACGUUGUUUUUUAACGUAAUAAUGGCGACAACCUUUUUUUUUUACGUAACGGCAACAACUUGUUUUUUUUUUUUUUUUUACAUUGUGAUUUUUGUAUAAACAUUUUUGUAUUGACGUGGCUUCAUAGGAAUUUUAGUUUUUUUAAACUGAUGCUAUUGCCAUGAUGUGAUCAAACAUAGAACAACGUUGCAAUUCAUUCAAAUAAAAGAUGAAUCGAAGAAGAAGUACUUUGCAAUUUUCUGUCAAAAAAAAAAGAAGAACAUAAGCUUAUUGAAAAUACUGAUGAAUAUCCUGAAUUUUCAUCACAAAUAAAUCGUGGUGGAAUGACAAGAGUUAAUGAAGUCAAUCCAAUUCCAGAGGAUACAACUCCUAAGAGCAAGAAAAACCAACAACCAUCGUGGAACACUGAACAAAAUUUAGUAUUAAUUAGUGGGUGGAUAAAAUAUGGAAUAUGCAGUGUUGUCGGGAGAAACCAGACAAGUGAACCAUAUUGGUGUAAAAUUGCUGAGUAUUGUAAUGAGCAUUGCUCAUUCAAUUCUCCGCGCGAUGCAGCUGCAUGCCAAAACCGUUUUAAUUAUAUGAGCAAAUUAAUAAAUAAAUGGGUUGGUGCUUAUGAUGGCGCUAAGCGUUUGCAAGGAAGCGGUUCGUCAGAAGAUGAUGUUUUGGCAAAAGCCCAGGAAUUAUAUGCAUGUGGGAAGAAUGUUCAAUUUACUUUAAAGGAAGAAUGCCGCGCUCUCCGUGAUCAACCACGUCAUGGUAGUCAAAUGGGAGGAAAUGUUGGGUCAGGAAAUAGUGGAUCUAAGAGAUCUCACGGGGACUCAGUAGGAUCUAGUGCUCGUCCAAUGGGUAGGGAGGCAGCUAAAAAAAAAGGUAAAAAGAAAAGCAAGGACGCUGCUUCCUUGGAGGAAGUGAAAAAGGAGUGGGUUGAAUUCAAAGAAAUCAAAGUACAAGAGAUUGAACAAUUGAAAUAGUUCACCUUGGUGCAACAGGAGAAAAACAGAUUGAAGAAAAUGAAACUGUAUGUAAAGUUAAAUUCCGAAGAGCAUCUCGAUGACCGGAAAAAAGAGUUGUUGGAAAAGUUGGAGCGUGAGCUGUUUUGAAAAUUGCAAUCCAAUAUUUGUUUGUAUUCGGUCAAAAUUGUCGGUGUUGUCAAGACCUCAGUGUUUGCUUUAAUAAUUGUCAGUGUUGUCAAGUUCUCAGUGAUAGUCCCUAGUGUUGUCUAGUCCCUCGUGACUUAUUUCACCUACUAUUUGCUUUAAUAAUUAUGGCAACUGUGUGCCCAUUAUUUCACCUACUAUUUGCUUUAAUAAUUAUGCUCACUGUAUGCCCAUUAUUUCACCUACUAUUUGCUUUAAUAAUUAUGCCCACUGUGUACCCAUUAUUUCACCUACAAUAACUUAUUUCAAAUCUGUCACUGUCCACCACACAAUGUACUUAUAUAUAGGGACUCAUAUCUAUCAAAACCAUUACUACAGAUAAGCAGAAUGUGGUGGAUGACCAUAUUUUUUCUUUUGGUUCAACAAGUAAUUCCAAUCAUAAGACAAAGGUUAUUGGGUUUGACACCGAGUGGCUUGCACCUAAUCCUGUUAAAAUGAAAUUAAAAUACCCCCCUCUGAUCUGUUUGACAUUGGCUAAGUAGCGAUAGCGAGCAUGCCAAGAACAGGUGAGAAAUCAAACUAUCACCAUCAGCCUUAAUCCAUUCAUGCAUAUCAGAAGUAGACAAAAAAUAAGUAUGCUGCCAACAAAUUGUUUUGCCAUUAUGAGGCAGAAUAGCAACAAUCCCUUCUAAAUUAUUUAAGCAAAAUUAUUUAACAGUUGUGAAUUAUUUGCGAAAGUCAAAAGUAUUGAACUGUUAUUUGAUAUUGCUGCUAUCACAUGUCUUAUACUGAAAACAACCUUGAUCCAAUUUUAUCUUCUUCGAGUUAUAUUUACUACAUUUAAAGUAAUUGCUUGUAAAAAGGUGUCUCUGACAGUGAACCUUGAUCCAAACUUUAAAAUAUAACUUCUUCGAGUUAAUAUUGUAAAAAGUUGAAGUUUGGAUCAAGGUUCAAAUUAUUUGAAGUUAUACUGAAAUUUGAGGUUUUAUCUUCUUCGAGUUAUAUUUAAUUACUACAGAAAUUUCGAGCAAAUAUUUUGAACCAAAGUGAGAUUGAGUUAUUUAGUUUCAAAUUUCUCCCUUUACCAAAGGUUCUAUUUGGAGUAGGUAAACUAGUGACUGCCCCAGAAUGGUUCGCACCCAUUUAAAUUGGACUUGCUUGGUGAAGAACCAAAAAAAAAAAAAAAAAAACACAAGUUGUAGUUAAUUUUCUUUUGAAUAUGGAUAUGUGCAGAGUAUCCUGAGGCAGCUAGUUAUACAAAGACCCACAUUUGAUGUCCAGAGAUGAUGUAGACCUAGCGUAUUCUUAGUAUCUAGAUCAAUCAUGUGUUAGGAGAGGAGGAUUGAGGCGUUUGUGUCGUCAACCUAUGGGAUACUGCACUUAGAUAUAUGCCUUGGUAUUUCAAAUACAUUAUUUCACUUAUUUAUUGGAGGGCCUGGGUUACACAUGAGAGAAAAAAACUGGAGACAAUCUCCUCCCUUACCUAUUAUCCAUACUUGAAGGAGGGCAAAUGAAGCCAUCUGAAGAAGGUUGCAGUGGCAGCACCACAUGAGCAUAGAGGUACUCCCGCAGACUUGAUCCCAAGAUAUAGAUGUAUGAUACACUUAGCCUUUAUGAUGCUUUUGCUGGGAGUGGGGGGUGAGGGGAACAAGAGGUCACUCCUGCUUGGGAUUCUAUGCAUUAUAUUCUCAUGGAAGCAAGUGAUGUCUUCCACUACCAAGGAAGCAUGAGGAGAGGUGUGCAUAAGUCAAAGUAGAAUACAUUAUGGGUGUAUUUUUAUUUUUUUUUGACAUAUUUGGUCAUGAGAUACAUGUAUUUUGUAACUUCUGACUUCUAUGAUUUUGGUAAAGAUAUUUGGUUGGUCGUAUUUUAAAUCUCAUUUAAUUUAAAAUAAACGAGAUGGAGAAGUUUGAUGAUCCUUGAGAUUAAAAUGCUAAGUGACUGUAAAAAAAUCUUUUUGGUGAGACCUACAUUACCCCUUGAUGAACUGACGGUAAUUAACUCCUAAUGAAAAGUAGGAUUCGAUUGUGGAACGAAGAAGAUCAAGAUCACAUGUCGAAUGAAGAAGAUGAAGAGGUUUGAUGUUCUUGAGAUGAAAAUUAACUAAUUGUAAGAAUAAAGAUGAAAAAAAUUAGAUUUUUCUUUGAUAGAAAUAAAUUAUCCCCAAUUAAACAAAGGAUAAUGUAUAAAAAACCUAAUGUUACACUCUCUAAAUUGAAGAGCCAACUUAAUGGUCAUCUCAAAUUUGGUGAUACUAGAUUGGCAUGUGUUGAGUAUUGUUCCCCAUCAAUUGGUUCAUAUGGAUGUGUUCUGUUCAAAGAAAAUAACAUUUCAAAAAGACAACAAUGUGAGAAUCAUGUUCUCUAUACGCGCACAAUAUCAUUCAAAGACAUCAACCAAAUUAUACAUUACAUUGGUUAUAUUUGUUUCAUGCUUUUGAAUCUUCCUCGGUUCGACCUAGGACAAUCGAAGAAAUCAUUCCAUGCGUUAUUUAACCCGAUUGAAAAACCACAUCAUCUUGCAAGAGGAGUGCUACAAACUUAACUCAUGUAUGAUCUUUUUGUGUCUAAUUCAUGUCUUAAAUUUGGUAAGGAACAAAAAAAAUCCAAGAGCCUAUAUAAGAGGAGAAAUUCACUUGAUUUAAUAUUUUAUUAUGGCCCAAGCCCAUAAUAAAACACACGCUUAACCCUAAAUCAACUAUUUAUCAUUAUAGAAGCUGCGCCGUAUCUUUCUUCCAAGUUCCAUCUGCUUCAUUUUCCCAUUCUUCUUCUUCCAUCAUGACAUGGAAAACAUGAAUUAUGUUAGUGUUGAGUCGUUCAAUCUGAACGGUGUUUCCAUCAAUACCACUGUUGUAUAUGAUCAUGAUGUAUAUGGGGAUGAGCCGCAUGAGGUUGAUGACUAUAUCUCGCGUUUCUUGAGCCCAGCUUAUGACACGACAAAGGUUUUUUGGGUCUGGUGCCGAGUGGCAUGUGCCUCCUUAUUCACCAUCGUCUAAAUGCAGCUCUGUGCACCUCUGCGAUGGAGUUUCGUAUCUCAUUAUUAUGUUUAGUGGUGCUUAUGAAAGGGUUCCCCAAUCACCGGUUAGUUUUCUUAAUCUUCCAAAUUACACCUUCGUUGGUUUUGGUAUCAAAGAUAAUGUGGCUAAGUUGGAGUCAAAUUAUGGUUGUGGAAUCAUAAAUGCUGUUGAACUUGGACCCUUGGCUGCUACUGCCAUGAAGAAACCUCGUUUGGCUUAUAUCGGUGUUGAUGAGCUGCUUUCUGUGGUCACUGGGCUUUCUCUUCGAAACCAAAGGCCUGUACGCAUCUUCUAUGAUUGGGAAAACCGUAAACAUUUCACAGAACUUGUUAAAACCGCUACUAUUAAUGUUUACUCUUAUCAAAAGAUUGGGAGAAAAUUGCUUGCUUAUGAUUGGGAGUAGUAGUGGUUUUCUAGAGGAGCUUAUGAUUGUUUUUUUGUUUGUAAAGCUCAUGGUAUUUUUUCUCUUUGUUUGCUGGUUUACUUGCACAUCAAGGUAUUAUUAGGGUAUUCAUAAUUCACCAAUAAAUCAUUGCUCCACAACUAUGUUUUAGGUUAUUUAUUAAUCAAAUUUCUUUUAAUGGAAUUUCUAUAGCUGCUGAUAGAUCUUCUUUUAUUCUAGUAAUCGUUUCAUUACUGUUUCAAGAAGUUGAAAACCUUUUUACCUUUCUAGAUCUUUUCUUUUAUUCUAAUUGGUUCAUAAUUGUUUUGAAAAUUGUUCUGUAGCCCCGUUGAAUUUACCAAGCCCAAAUUCUGAUUCAUUAAUGAAAAUCUAAGUUAUCUUACUUGUAGUGAAGUCUAGACAUGGCUAUAAACAAAAAGUAGAGGAAACUACUUGCUUAAGGCUUUACCAUAAUAAAAAUAAAAAUAUAUGAAUGUAAUUUAAGGGUUUGUUUGAGGAUUUCUAAUUUAAGAGAGAUAAUAAUGGAAUUUUGAUACAAGCAAGGCGGGAUCGGAGAUAGGUAUUAGUGUCCCUAGUUUCCCCCAACUCCCGUCUUUUGAAAUCGGGGAAAACCCAAAUCCAAUCAAUUUGUGUUUUGCCCGUCAAAGACAGGGUGGAUUCGGGAGGGUACCUGCGAGUAGCCGUGUACAAGUUCCGAUGUCAUGUCUGAUGAGGUCCCACAUAUUACAUAUGGUCACGAUCUGAUGGCAUGUUCCAGUUUUCUGUACUAAUUACACUUUAGUAAACUUAUGUCAGAAUGUGCAAGUAAAAUUAAUUAAAAGACGAUUUAUUAUGUUAACUAUUUGUACUGGUUUUGUUCCCUUCGAUGUUUAGUAUAUCAAUUAAAAACCAUUAGUAAUUUCCCUCAUUUUUUUCCCAUAGUGAACAAUUAGAAACUUCUAUGUUUAAGAGAAAUGAGUAAAUGUCCAACUCAUCCCCUCAUUUUAUAGGGUGUAUCAAUUUCAGAAUCAUAUUGGUGUCUUAGAAACGUUGUCAUGACAUAUUGGUCCCUUAAAUUGGUGUCUGAAAUUACAUGGUAUCAAUGAGGUACCAUGAUUAACAAAUACAUGAUGAAAGGACUAACUUGACAAGCUUUAUGCAAAAUGAGGUACUAACUUAACAUUUUUUAAUUGAAGGGGGACCAAUGUGAGGGUUGGGUAUUUACUUUUAAAGAAACAGAUUUAAGUUUUCACAUCGAAAAUGUUGAAACUAUAAAACAAUUAGAAUAAUUGGACUUUUUGUAAUUAUUAUAGUAAGUUUGUGCAUUGAGGAUGUUUAUGUUUUGCCACUUCUUGCAAAUGAUCAGUUUUUGCUUCUUGAGCCUUGCUUAAAGUAUGACUCUAUCACACUCUAUCACUUUUUUUAUAAACAAAAUGUAAAAUCUAAUUUAAUUUUAUAUAUGGUUUAUCCAAUGUAAAAGUAUUUAUAUAUCAAUGAUUAAUUACACAUGAAUAGAAAGCAAGUGGGCAACAAACUACUACGUCGUUAGGCCUUUUUAGGUAGCAAAAUCAAUCCUCGUAACCACAACAUUCAUUGACUUAUGAGCUUAACAUGAUGCAACUAUACAGGAAAUGAGGAAACAAAUCUUGUUCAUGGCCACGGGCUGUCAAAAACAAAUCAUGUUGUUUUGACAAAAGACAAGUUUAGUUUUGACAAAACAAAUCUGUUGGUCUUAUGAAAUUCCAAAUUGUUUACAAUUACUAUCAUUGAAGUUAAGACCUUCUAAAUUGCUACUGAAUUAGUCUGAUAAUAGUUUAUUAUGUUUAUUGCAUUGCUUUACUUCCUUUCAGAAGACUACUCUGCCACCAACUGAGUGAGAAAAAAACUCAAAUUUGAUUUUUGUGGUGAUAAUUUAUUUUUAAAUGGUAAUGUUAAUAGUUUUUUUUUAAAAGACAAACUAAUCCAUUAAAAAUGGUAUCGGCGAGAAUCACUUAGACCUUCUCCAAAGUUUUAAACCAACAUCAUCAGACCAACCCAAAUAAGCUGAUAAAUAUUAAUAGUUAACUAUAUUUUUACUCCAUCAUCCAGGUUUAAACUCAAAAUCUCUAAAUUCUUUUUAAUUAGUUCAAACAAGUUGAGCCUCUGUUUGGUUUGGCUUUUGCAAAGCCAGAAUCAAUUCUGGAGCAUUUCAAAAGCAAUUCUGCAAUAUUUAACAUGUUUGGUUUGGCUUUUCAAAAUAGCUUUUAUCCUCCAAAAGCAAUUCUAGUUGAAGCUACAAUUCCUAGCUUCUUACUUUCCUAGAAUCAAUUCUACACCCUCAAUUCUAUUAAUUCCAUCCCUGCCCUCAUUAAUUUUUCUAACCCUUCUCCAACCGAAUUUUUUCUUUCUGCAGUCUUAUUAAAAUAAAUGUUGGUGAAGAGAAUAACAUUUAUUUUCUGCAGUCUUAACUCUCAAUUCUAUUAAUUCCAUUCCCCCUUCACAGUCCACUUUUCUCAACCAUAAUUCAACCACCCUUCCCAAAUUUAAUCCAAAAAUUUAUUACCAUCAGCUUAUAUAACAACAUCAUCUCCUACAAGGAAAAAUUGUGGUGAAGAGAACAACAAGAAGAAAAAAUUCUGCAAUGAAAUUAUUGAGCACAGGCAAAAUAAUUAGUAUUGUACUUUAAAUUAUUAUAUCAAUAUUUUAGUACUAUAAUACACAUUAUGUUAGUUUUGUAAUAAUAUUUUAAUACUCUAUUGCACUUUAAAUUCUAUUAUCUAUUUGUAAUUUUUAUUUUCAUGAUGUUAGUAUUGUAAUACCUUAUAUUUUAGGACUAUAUUGCACUUAAUUAUCUUAAUUUAGUAAUUUCUAUUUAUUUGUAUUUAACUAUGUCUAUUUUGGUAAUUAUACAUUCAAAAGUAAUUUUGAUCAAAACUAUCCGAACAACAAUCAUUCUGUUUAAUCAAUUCUGCAUUAUUGCAUCCAAACAUAAAUCAAUUCUGUCAGAAUCAAUUCUACACACCUCAGAACCAAACACACACUGAAUUACUCGACCCUUUUAUGGUAAUAUUUAGAUAACCAGGUUUUUGUUUUUGGUGCAGGGUUCUGCUCUAUUGAGGAUUCACCCUUUUAGUCAUGACGUGUGUAACGUAAAUCACUCCUUACUUUUCAAUUUGGCGUUUAGUGUGUGGAAUUUUCUUAGGAAUCAUGGCUUGUGAGAAUCAUGGUUCAAUGUAUCUUUGAUUUUCACCCUUUUGUGGAUAUUUUUGCUAGAAAAUCCAAUCAUAAAAUUCUUGUAAAAUGUUACCUUUUUAGGAUUUUUAAAAAUUCAUAUCAAACAUCAAACAUACUUAAAAUUUCUAAAUCAAGAUUUCUGUGAAACUUAAAAUAUACUACAAGACAUGAUAAAAAAAACUAUAUGGAAUUUUUUAGGCACUAUACAACUUUUUCACAUAUUUUUGUCUAUUAAUUUUUUAAAUGAACUAGUUACAAACCCGUGUUUCGUACGGGUUCAAUAACGUAUUCGAUAAAAAAAUUCUUCGAAAGAAGAGAUGUUAAAAUGAUGGAACAUUGUGAUUCAUCAUAAAAUAUGUAUGGGCUGAUUAAGAGAGCAUAUAAUCAGUUUAUGAGAUUAGGAAUUGACAUAAUAUUUAGGAUGAAAACAAUUGGAACCAAUAAAGGAACCAAUGAUCUGUGAAUUUACGUAUUAUCCAAAAUUAUAAAAAAAAAAAAAAAAAGUGUUGUUGUUAUAGAGUUACCAAAAAAAUGAUUGAUACCCAUAUUUACAUCAAAUGAAAUCAAGCAAAGAAGUAGAAUCGGUGACUGAAGAUAAUCUAGUCUAGGAUUAGAGUUAAGGUGAUCUGUUGAAAGUGCGGAUCAUGAACACCAAAUCUUUAUUUGAAAACGACUUGAACGUGCAUAUUUUUAGGUGGCUUCUCUAGAUCAAAAAUUAAAUUAUCACCUACCUCAAACAUAUGUUCUCGGAAAAAUUUGAACCAUUGGCCGCCUAAGUAUUUUUUGUAACUUGCUCUCUGUGCCGUUAUCAAGCGACACUUAUACCUUUUUUGAGCUUGUUUGUCGAUGAGUGUGAUCGUUUUCCGUGUUCCUUUUAGAAAUGUCAUUGAUAUCUCAUUUGAGAAGUGCUAGGUAUAAAACAAAUUGCAUUGUUAAUUAGAAGUUAUAUAUAUAUAUAUAUAUAUAUAUAUAUAUAUAUAUAUAUAUAUAUAUAUACAUUUUUAAAAUAUUUACCAAAGCAUUAUAAAGAUUUACUGUAGGAAAAGAGCAUGUUUUAUUUUGUUCAAGAUAUUAGGAAAACAAUAGUACAAUUAACAUGAUACUAAUUGGAACUAACAAUCAGAUUAACGUUACAUAAUAGUUAGGUUUAUAAAAGAGAUUGCAAGCUUCAUAGACUAACCAAAAAGGGAUUUUUGCCAAUAUUUACACCUGACAAAAUGAAAAGAACAAAUGACAUCCCAAAAUCAAGAUGGUUUGUCCAAAGCGAUACGUCAAAAUAGUAGAAGUUCAAAUAGUUCAACAACAAAGAUCUACUUUGGAAUAACUCGAAUUUGCAAGUUCUUCUGUGACUUUUCGAGAUCAGAGAUGAGCUUACCACCUUCUUCCAUCACUCGCUAUCUGCAGAAAUUGAACCACUUCCCACCCAAGUAAUUUUUAUAGCUUGCUCUAUCGGCGGUAAUGAGGUGACAGUUAUACAGUCUCUGUGUCUGGUCAUCAAUGAGAGUGAUUGUUUUGCGCUUUCCUUUCAGAAUUAUUCUUGACACCUCGUUUGGGAAAUGCUAAACAGGAAAAUAACUGCAAUAUUAGUCUAAUGCAUAUUUACAUGGAUAAGAUGUAUUUGAAUAUAUUUACAUAUAAUUUAUAAAAUAAAGGUAGCAUGACUGAUUUUAAGCUAAAGAAAAUGUAGCAUGACUUCUAAUUUAUCUUCCUAUUAUCUUCCUAUAAAGUCUAGAUAAACGCAUGCAUGUACAUUAUAUGUACCCCGUUGACCAAUUAACAUUGUUGAAACAAAUGAAAAUUAAGCAUCACUUCCGCACGUGCAUAUAUAGCUAGCACCAUUUGACAUUGAUGUCUUCGAACAUUUGGUGCAACUCUCAUAAUACAAUCCAAACUGGUUAGGGUUGAAUUUAGUUGUUUUCCAAAUAGUGAUGCAGUAUGUUUCCUAACACAAAUUAUGCACAUGAAAUAAAGAAUAAUGCAAUAUGUAUUUUUAAUUUGUGCGUAAAAAAACUCAAAGCAUGUUUGUGCAUAAAAAAAGCAGACAUUGACUAAGUUUAUAAAUUCAGCAAUUGGCCUAACCUGAGACAGUUUGAAAAAUCGUUGUACGAAGUACGUUGAGAAGAAGUCAAACUCUGACUUAAGUUCUAACUGAAGCUUUGACUCUGAGCUUAAGAAGUGUUAAGGUCACAACAACAAUUCAAGAAACAUGGUCAAAAAACAAUCAAAUCGGAUUGUGAAAUAAUAAGUUACUCUAACACUGUAUUGUGAAAUCAUAAUGCAAACUUACUAAGUCUUAAACUUCUCAACAACCGGAUGAUGUAGGUUGAUGAGAAGCCUCGAACCUGACCAAUUGUUACAUAUAUUUGGAUUGCCGUUGACUACAAAAUGGAAGCAAAGAACUCAAGGUAUCUAGAUGGUAAAUGAUAAAGCUACAUAGUAUUUUUCCCAUAGUGUUACAUCAACUAUAUUCCCACUACAUAAAGAAAGACAUCUUUCGGGUCAUUAUCAAACUUAUACAAAAUUCUAUCGUCUAAUGCUGACAAAAUAGAAAAUAAUACAUUUUAUAUUUAGCAAUGUUUAGUUUUUUUGAAUAAGAAAAAGAUAUGCAUAAUUUAUAUGCCUUUUUUUUGAAGAAAAGACAUCUACAAUUUUACUUUUAAUUAAAAUCAAAAUUUUAUAAAAAUUAUAUGCAUUAACAAAAAAACAGACAUACAUGAAGUAUUACUCUAAAUGCUAAUAUGUGUGACUGUAUAUUUGCGAGGUUGAAGAAAGAAAAUAAAAAUAUUUUGUAUCAUUAAAUGAUAGCGUGAAUAAAAAUAUAUGUGAGGUUGUUAUGAUUAAACGAUAUUUAAAUUAAAUAUAUAAGUGAUAAAAAGAUAAUCAAAUUUCUUUGAAAAAAAUGUAUUAAAAUUAAAUGGAACCUCCUUAAAAAAUUUAAAUGAAACGGCUAAAAAAAAAUUAAAUGGAAGAAAAAAACAUAUUGAAAUAUAAUAUUAUAAAAUAAAAUAAAAGGUUCCCAACGUGAUCAUAGAUGCUUGUGAAAUAAAUUGUCGAGAAGUAGUUUUUUGAAGUACUCCCUCCGUUUUUAAAUAUAAGCAAAAAUAAUUUUUUAAGUUCAUUCAUUUAAUGAUGUAUGUGGUCUAUAUUAUAAACCACAUACAUCAUUAAAUGAAUGAACCUAAAAAGUCAAUUUUGCUUAUAUUUAAAAACGGAGAGAGUAGCAUUCAACAAUGUUUGGCCAAAGCUCAUUCCAUUCAAUUUUAUGCAUUAAAAAAAGUACAUUUUUUAGUAAGUACUUAAUUGAUAUUGUACUUGGUUUAACUUCUCCUUAAAAAUGUAGAAAAGUUGAAAAAGAACCGGGUCAAACGGUAUCUUAAUCUCCCACAACGGCAGUGUAGAAGCAACUGAAUUUGGGAGGAAAAAUUAGAAUAUAGUUAAAAAUAAAAAAAUUGGAAAAUAGUCAAAAGUUAUAUGCAUUAGCGUAACAAAAACACAGACAAAUGGACAUAAAAUAUUACUCUAAACGUUAAUGUGUAUGUGUAAAUAUUUGCGAGGUUGAAGAAAGGAAAUAAAAGUAUUUGGUAUCAUUAAAUGACAUUGUGAAUAAAAAUAUUUAUGAGGUUAUGAUGAUUAAACAAUAUUGAAAUUAAAAUAAUUGAUAGUGUGUUUGACCUAACUUCUCCUUAAAAAUGUAGAGAAGUUGGAAAAAAGUCGGGUCAAAUGAUACCUUAAUCUCCCACAACGGCAAUGUAGAAGCAACUGAAUUUGGGUGAAAAAAUUGAAAAAUAGUUAAAAGUUAUUAAAAAUAUAAAAAUUAUAAAAGUUAUUAAAAAUAUUAAAAUUAUAAAAUAAUUAAAAAAAAUGGCGAGGGGCAAAAUGAGAAAUGCACCCUAAAAAUGAUGAGGUGGCACUAAGCACACCUCAUCAAUAGGAAAUUAUUAAAAUGCCCCUUCUAAAGAUAAAAUGGUAAAAUCAUAGGCAUUUAUCUUUAUAAUAUAGUAAGAAGAUGCACUUAAUUUCAAGUUUGAUACAUUGGUGUAUUAAAAAAAUAAGUUUGAUAUAUAUUGCUUAGUUAGUACUUGAUCAAGUGAGCAGGUUUGUAACAGGGGCAGCAUUUACUUGCCACUGACCACGUACAGAGGAAUAGAAGAAUAUUGACAAAUUUUAAAACACAAUUUUGGCAUUGGAACAAAAACAACUAGGUUACUGAUUGUUCUCUGCUUUAUGCUAAACAAGUGAAUGAUUUUUAUUCGAUACAAUGUAUCUGCCAUUUACCAUUUAAGAGAAAUAAAACCAAAGCGUAUAAUAAAAGAAUGAAAGAGACCAAGCCAAAGUGGUCCUUCUUAACGGUGGCGUGUCGUAUAUAAUAUAACCUCUACCAAUGUGUUAACUUAGCAUAUACCUAUCCGUGAACGACCAUAUAAUUUGAAUUAUUUCAAUUAUAUUCUUUCACAAAGAUAUACUCUCACACACAUGUUCAAAUAAAACCAAAAUUAUAAACAAGCACGGGUUGUCUUUAUUCCUUCAUAAAGAAAGAUACAUGUGUCCUUUAUCAGAUCUAUUACAUCAUAUAUAUGACCAUAUCACACAUAUCCUUAUAGCUUGUAUAGCUUUUUCUCCUUUUGUUUAUGUUCUUCUUUUAUCAAUGGAUUGCAAUUGCAUAGCGUGCAGGAUAUAAAGAAGCAUUUAAACUUCUAACUCAAAAUAGAUAGGAGUGGUUGAAUUGUUCUUCCCUAUUUAUAACCUUGCUUCCAUAUUACAAAACUUUCACCAAAAAUUCUUCUAAUUGAAACUAUAAUUUGUUUUACAAGAACAAAAUUGAAACUAUAAUUUGUUUUACAAGAACAAAACAUAGUAAGACUUCUACACCAGUGGUUCCCUUUUUAAAAACCUUAACCUAACAACUAUACAUCAGUGAAAUCAAUGCACAUUCCUUCAUCAAAAAGAAACAAAAAUACAAGACAAAUGAGAAGUCAAAAUCAUAUGGUUAAAAAUAGAUAUAGAAGAAAACUCUUCACUAUUUUUUUACCAUUUCAAUUUCCCUCACGGCACAACCCCACCAAUGACAUAACUUUGUUCCUUUUUUCUUUCAAUUCUAUACUAAGAUACUAAUAUUAAAGUAGAACAACAACCAGACCCUGCAUUGGAUCAUGAUCCAUCAUGGUACAGUACAAUAAUCAUGAUUAUGUGGGCUACAUGGAAAAAGAUAAAGUGGACUUUACAAGUAUGAUCAUCACCAAUAUCACCACCUAUCAGUCAUAUUAGGAAGAAAAAUUACAUAGUUGUUACCUAAGUCUUAUAGAAAAAGUCAGCAACAAAAUAUACUACUAAAAAAAGAAAUAAAUAACAUAGAAAGCAAUAAUGAAGUUAUUUAUCAAAUCAUAUAUAGUUAUCUACUUUUCUUUCAACAUAUGUGAAGGAACAACAUCUUGAAGUAACCCAUUAUCCCUAAGAAAUGCAGUUGUUCCUGGAUUACAAAGCUGUACUCUCUCUUGAGUAGUAAAAGGUGAAUUCUUGAAUGAUGAAGAAUUGUUAUAAGGGUGACUCAAAGAGGACAAUGUAUUAACAAGUAGUUGUUGAUGUUGAUAGGGUUGUUGAUGAUAUUGUGAUAAGUAGUUCCCUUGCAAAACUGAACCAAAGUUAGUGGUUGAAAAUCCACCCGAGACUACACCGGCGGGUUGUGGUAUUUGAACUCCGGCAAAGGCGGAACGGGACAUAGUUGGACUUGGAUGUGUAUGUUGGCCUUCAUAAGUUGUGACUACAAUGCUUGGAUCAGUAUAAGAACGUUCCACACGUUUCUUGACAUUACAUGAAGCAGUGGUGCAACGAUAGUAGCUCCUACACAAACAUAAACACAUAGCAUAUUCCAAAUGUUACUAGUUUACUAAAUGUUUUUGGGUCUAAAAUCUAAAUUAAUUAAACCAAAAAGAGUGUGAACUCAAAGAAUUUUUAUGAGUGGUACCUUGGAAAAGGGCUAUUUUUGACAGCUUUUUGACCGUACUUUCUCCAUCGGUAUCCAUCUUCCAGAUGAUCAACCUCGCUUUUCGUCAUGAAAGCAAAUCUUGGUUCUCUCUGUCUCUUUAGAUUUGUCUUCUUCGUUUUCAACCUAAUCACAUAUAUACAACCAGAUCCCAUAAUCCAUCAAAUCUUGAUUAGAACCAUCCUAAUUUAAUUAAUCAAUCUGAUCAAAACAAAAUCAAAAAGCAAGUCCGCACCAACAUAUUCAUUUGCUAAUUAAUCUAAUCUAAUUAGAUUAUAUAAAAGCACAUACGUACUUUAUACCAUACCACCUCAAAUUAUAAAUGUUUGAAGUGAGAUUCCAACAACCAUUCACUUUUUUUGAAGUUAUUUGUACUAACAAAAAAAACACUAGAGAGAAAUGAAAUGAAACUCAAGAAAACCAUAACCCCACCAAAAAAAAAAAAUGUUUAAAUAUUUGUCUUCUUCAACACAGCUGAAAUAAAAAUGUUCACGAGUAAACACCAAAAAAAAGAGAAAAUUAGAAGAAGAAAAAAACCCACUGUUUAUUUGUCUUUUGCUUUUCUUCUUCUUCAUCUUCUUCUGCUUGGUCAACAAGAGUUUUAUUAUCAUUGACUGCUUCACUAGAUGCUGAUGAAAUCGAACAAGAAUUAGGAGUUGCAGGUUGUUGCUGGUUCAAAACCUCAGAACACUCUUUUCCAGUGGUGUCAGAUGAAGCCUUAACAGUAGACAUGGUUGAUAGUUGUGGUACAUCAAGGAGAGGACUAUAGUCAUGACCACCAAGUAACUCCAUAAACCCUAAAGAAGAACUCCUUUCAACCUCACAGAAAUCAAACACGCUUGAAAAUUGAUAACCAUUAUUUAGCAAAGAUGAGGAGGAAUCAACAACAUCCUCACUCUUCACACUUAGACCCAUGUCUUUCUUCUCCAUAUGAUAUCUCAAAUGCACAAAUCCAAAUCCUUCAUUUGUAGACAACACGCUCUUGUGGUAAUAGUAAGUAGUAAAAGUUGAAGAGAGAGAAAAAAGAGAGUUUUGGGUUUGCAAGAAAAAAGAGUGAGAGAGGUGUGUGAAAGGAACAAAGGUAUAGAAAAUGAAAGGGGAUAGUUGACCGGCAAUUGUAGGUCACCAAAUUGUACUCCCUCCUCUCAAUUUAAUUGUCACAUUUGGAUUGUUGGCAGCUCUAGAAGAAAGAAAUUGUUAGUUUAGUUGAUUUUAAUGUGAAAUGAAAUUUGAUAAAUAAAAAUAUACUAUGAAUAGAAAAAUAUAAUAAUUGUUUCAUUAGUAUUUUAAAGAUACAUUUAUUUUGAGAAAGAGAAAAAAUACAAAAUAACAAAAAAGGAUUUGUUAACUCUCUUGUUAACAUGAAAAAUAGGUAAUCUGAAGUUCCACAAGUACCAAGUAACUACGUACCAUUCAUCUACUUGCGCCGUGAGAAUAGCUCAGUUGGUAGGACAAUGCAUUAUUAUAUGUAGGUGUCGGGGUUCAAAUCCCAGACACCUCACUUGUUCACCUUAUAAAGUCAAUUCUAACCACUAAGCUACCUGAUAAAAACAAAAUUGUUCCAUCCAAAGAUUAAACUCUUGUUAUUCUAAUCAAUUUUUCUCUUUCAUAAAGCUUCUCAAUCAUUUAAGUUCAAUUAGUUGGUUUAAAAGUGACAAUUAUUAUGAGAGGAAUGAAGUAUAUACUCUCUAUCCUAAAUUAUAAGUCAUGAUUUUUUUUCCCCCAAAUUAUAAGUCAUUGUAUAGUACUAAUGAGACAUUAAUGCUUUUUUUUGUCAAGUAGCCUAGUGGCUAGAACUCACACAAUUAAAUGUGGAGAAGUGAGUGUUUGGGGUUCGAAUAUCGGCUCCUGCAUAAAAUAUCCAUUGUCUCUACCAAUAAUGAAGCUAAAUUUAUGGGGACUUAAUGUUGUUUUUUCUAAUAUAUCAUUAACUAUUUAUUAAUUUUUUUUAUUAUCUUGAAUGGAGAAUAAUUUUGUAAUACAACUCCUAUUUUUUUUUCAUACAAAAUUUAUUGUACCUUUUUAAUUUGUGUGAUAUAAUUUGUCAAUAAAAUUUUGUGUGAUAUAAUAUGGGACUAAUGAAAUAAAAGGUUAUCAUGUACUCGAAUCGGCAUCUAAUAUCGCAUUUCCUGAUCUUUCAAAACAAAAACAAAAAACAUAGUAUUUCUUGUAUUUUAAAGUGCAUUUUUAUUGAAAUAAAAUUAUAUUUUUGCUUCUUAAAGAAAAAUGAAAUAAAAGAAAAGGUUGAGCCGGUGGCAUUCAUUGAAUGCAUAAGGAGGGAGAGAGUUGAGUCGAUGCAUUCAUACGUGAUGUUUGACUGCUUAACAGGUUUUGUGUGUGAACGGGGUUCCGCAUACACUGCCACGUUCUGGAUUCUAACGCCGUUUAAUCAAUUUUUCUUAUUCAAAUCAAUAUUUUAAUUUAUUUUAUAUUCUCAAAAUGGCUUAUUGAAAUAGUUUUCGGUCGUGUGCAUGUGAACCACAAAAUCUGAUCAAUCCUUGGUCCACUUUCUUUUGUUUUCUUUCAUUUUUUUGUUUUGUUUUUGUACUCGAAACUUUUGCAGCACGUAUCAAUUCGGUAUUUCACCAUGUUUUUUAAAUAGAGAAAUGCUGAUAAGAAGUUUUUAAAAAAAAUAAAAAAUUAGAAAAUGGUGCAUUUGUUAUCUUUAAAUUUUAGAAAGUGAUUUUUUUUUUACGUUGAUUUUAUCAUUUAUUUUCAUUUUUAGUUUCUUUUUUGACAAGUGACAUUAGGGCACUUGUCAAUAAGAUUUUUUUUGUUCUACGCGUGGCAAAAUGGGUUACGUUGGUCGGAUUGAUCCGUUUAAUGCAUACCGGUUAAAUUGAAAUUUUAAAUUCAGCCUUGUAAGUUAAUGUCUCUUUUAAUCCGUCGAAGAAAUGGGAUCACGGGGCAGUUCUCAAGUUGGUUUUAAAAAUAAAUUGUCGUUUUUAUUGAGAAAUUAUGUGAAUUCACAUAAUUUCUCUAAUGAGAUCUCACCACUCAAAAUGUUGUUUCUCAACUCAAGAAUCUCACUCAAAGAAGUUUCCAAUUUUCAUAAUAGUUUCCUCAUUUGGUUUUCAAGAUUACCCAAAGAAAUGAUGAAUGAAAAGCUUAUAUGGUACACAAAUGCCGAAGAAAACGUGUUGUGUUUGCCCUGAAUUGUAUCGCGAUUUGCAGUAAGUACACAAUAUGGUUGUUGCCGACUUGCUCAAUCGCACCGCCUUAUCCAAUCGUGUCGCAAUUUUUAUGAAUCAAAACAUCAUCCAGGCACCACCAAUCUUGUCGCAAUUCAGAACCUUCAUAGCAAAGUAAUUUUGGGAUGAUGGUUUGAGGUUCUCAUGUAUACGGUAGUGAUUUUCACCUUUGGAUAUACAACAUAUAUACGACACCUUGUAUUUAUCAUUUAAAAAAUUUAAAUAGAACACUGUUCUUUUAAAAAAAAAAUACAUUUUUAUUUUAUUAUGUGCCUCAUUUCACUUAUAGAGCCGAGUCUCUGAUUUCGUAGAAACGACCCUGCAUAAAUGUAUUAAAAAAUAAAUCAUUUUACGAUUAACUCACUUUUCACAAUCGAACCAAACAUACACAAUAUUAUUUCAUUAAUAUUUUCAAAACUACUUGGUGCAGAAGUUAUUGGUGUACGUCCUUUUUAUGUGUCACCUAUAUAUACGUACUAGGUCGAUUAUUUCCCAGAGCAUUUUUUGUAAUGAUACAAAGCUUCUAGAGUUUCUUAUUUACAAGAUAAGAUGAAAGACAAUGCUCUGCAACCGCAUUCACAGCCAAGAAGAAGCUUUUAAAAUGUUUUGGCACUUGUACAUCACAAGUCACAACCAAUAUUUGGCCUGGCAUCGACUUUAUUCGGACAUUUUUUUUUCGAAAAAAUGUAGCAGAAAAUCUCACAUACAAGUAGGUAUUAAAAAAUUCGUGAAUUAUGAGUUAGAAAUGUUCAUAUCGUUAACAUCUUAGUUGUACUUACAAAUUCUUCAUACAUGCGUUUCUACAUUUUUGAAGAAACUUAAAGGAAAAUAUAUAGUGAUACUGAAACAACCAAAAGAAAAUCCAAAGUUUUGAAAUAAAAUUGUAUGACGUACCAUAACUGUUCUUAUAAGAAAUCUACAUUUUAGAUUCACGAAAAGUUAAGUUGUCGGUAAAACAAAAGGCAAGUUAAUCUGCAUGUGUGUUUGUUCACAUUAUAAAUCACAAAAGGAGAAAAAGUGAUGGGAUUCAUUCAACAAAAGCAAAGGAUGUUCACAACACAAGCAUGCAAAAGAAUUUGGGAAUCCUUUUACGUUCGUGCGUUUCUAUUUGCAAAGAACUGAUCCAAUUUUAGAUUGCCGCAAAAGGAUUGAUGUACACUUUUUAUUGGUGAGUGAGUGUGUUGAAGUUUUUUUUUUUUAACCGUAUCCUUUACAUGCGCAAUUACGGAAACUAAUCAGUCAAGCCUGAGAUUCAAAUGGAUUACAAACACACGCUUAAGAGUUUUAAAGUUGCUGCAUCUUAAAGUUGAAUUUAAACUGAGUACAGUUAGAAGAAAUUUGUGUCAUCUUAUCUAAAUGUUUUUGUUACGUUGAAAUGAAGUCUGAUCCAAACAUUUAGGAUUUUAUUUAUUUUUUGACCAAGCAUUUACGGAAUAAAAGGUCCUCUACAAAUUUUUUAUUUUAAAAUUAAGAUGAAAAAUGAACAAUUUUGACCUGACACGUUUUUUUUUUUGGUAGUGUACUUGACACGUUUGCUUUUGUGGUCUAUUUUAAAAUUUUCAGUUUUACGGGAUUUAGGGAUGUUUUACAUAAAAUACUUAAUAGAUUAUUGCUAAUAUGUACAUAGGGAUAUAAAAGUAUCAAUUUGUUGCUGUGAUUGGGGGUUGCUUAACUUGCUUGUCAGAUACGUUUGGGGAGCUCAAUAAAUAGACAAAAUAAAAUAACUCAUCAAACAAAUAAAAUAAGAUAAAGUUAUUAAUAAUACAAAUAAUAUUUUAUCUUGUCGUCUACAUAAAAUAGUUUUCAACUAAUUACUGCAUCACUAAAUUUGUAAAUAUGUACACCUCAUAUUUUUCUAACUUAUUCAAUAUUUCAUUCUAUAUUACUUUGUAAAAAAUAUAUUAAUUUGGAUUUGUGUAUACGGUAACAAAGUAACCGCGUACGCAUGUAUUAUUGCCGGCCUAUAAAAUGAAAAUGAAUGGUUUAAUUGGCAGCAUUAGAUGUUUUCCAUUGCCUCAUGAAUCAUGAUUUCAUGUAUAUUUGAUCCUAGAUUUCUUACCCCACCUAACCGUUACUUUUGAUCACUAAUGACCCACUUGGUGUGUUGAGCUUUAUCCUUUUCACGAUCAACUUAAAUAAUCAUAUCUUCUCUCUCAAUCUGUGGGAAGACCUUCUAGAAGAUUGACAUAAUUUAAGGCAUCAUUUAGCUAAAUCCAAUUUGUGAUGGUGUUGUGAAGCUUCUCGUUGUAGAUUUUUUUUAAAAGUUCACUGUAGUAAUCAACAGUGGUAUAUCAUUAUUUUAAAUUAAGAAUCUAUUCAGCGUUUGAAUGAGUUUGCGUGCGUAAUAUAAGGUCAAUGUCUCCGGUCUUCAGCGCACAGAGAUGGAUUGGUACAAAAAUAUUGGUUGAGUUUCAUACUAAGACAAUUCUCAUAAUUAAUUCUUUUUGAAUAAAAAUACUCUAUAAAAGUUCUGUCCUUGCAAGCACACUUUAAUUUGUAUGAACAAUGCAUAUAUACUCCCUCGGUUUUAUAUAUAAUGUUGCUUGUUGGUUUUGCAUAUUAUAUAUUGCACAAAUUUAAUCUACAUUAUUUCUUACUUUAUAUGUUUCAAAAAUAAUUGAUUAUUUUCAUAUUGUAAUUUUAAUUUUUUUAAUAUAUUUUACAUGAAACCUAUUAUUUUACUGUGUUUGCGUAAUAUUAAUAUUAAUAAAAAUAUUAUAUUCUUAAAAAAGUAAUUAAAAAAUAUAUAUUUUACAUUUUGGUAUCCAAAAACCGAUCAAAAUUAAACCGUAUAUAAUUGAAUCGGAUCAGUUUAAAAUUUUUAAUAUAGUCAUCCAAAUCGAAUUGAACCACAUGUGAUUAUCCAAUCAAACCGCACCGCGAGCACCCCUAUUUACUUAGUACUAUGUAUUCUCUUUAAUCUCAAAUAUAAGCAACAUAGGUGUGUUUGUUGAUAUUAAAUAUAAACAAAAAACAUUAUUCUUUAAAAAUGCAUUACUUUUUUUUUUAUCAAUUAUAAAACAUUAAAUGAUAUAUAUAUUUCUCACUCAUAUUCCCCCCCUCUCUCUAUCAUAUUUCCCCUCGCUCCAUCAUUUCCCUCUCUCUUCUCUUUUCGCCCUGCCUUCUAUAUAUUUUGGAGUUUCGGAGAAUUGGAUGCGACAAUAUGUCAAUGUUCUACGGCCGUAAAAGAGGACGACACAACAUCUCCAUCUAAAAAUUUAAGACGUUAAGAUACAAAUCGACUCUUUUAUAUUUACCUUUUUACAAACCAAAUGAAAGCUAAGACAUAUUUAUACCAUAAAUUUUGCUUCUACAUAUAUUUAUCAAAGAAAACUAAUAAUAGGAUAUAUGUGGAGUCAGUGUACACUUUUUCGAUUUUUCAAUCAUCAUUAAACAACACCAACAUAUAUAUAUACAUAAAAUAAUAUUUUCCUGAAUAAAUUAUUGUUAUUUUCUCUUUCAAAAAAUAUUAUUUUUUUCAUCCCCGAAUUUUAUAUAUUCAUGUAACUAUUUAGUAUGUGGAAUCCAACCAACAUAGCCCCACCGUUAACUGUCUCCUUCCAACAAGGGUGGGGGGAAAGUUUUUGUGUGCACGCAAAAUUUCUGACAAAUUUCAUAAUUUUUAAAAAACGUUACAUGAAAUAAUUGAUUGAGUAAUUAUUUCGGUGGUACCCUUGUCAUACAUAUACCUUUCAAGCAUUCAGAUUUUGCUACAAGAAGCUGCAAACAUGGAAAAAAUAGUACAUAGCAUAAAUGGUGAAAGAGGAGGAGCAACGCCAACCCAUGACUUGGUGUUGGUGUAGUACUAUAUGAUUGAUGAUCGACUAGAAACUUUUUCUCUCUGUUUAUCCCAUCCUGUACUUUGUGAUAAUGCUGACAUUUGUCCACAACUUUGUUGAUUAUGAUUAGUAUAUUCGCCGAUUAAGAUAGAGAAAUUAAUAUAUGUGUACGUACUACUCCAUCAUCACCCACAUCAAUUAAUGAACUACUAUGACAUUUCAUUGAGAAAAUGCUCUAGGUGGUGUGAUUUUACAGAUCUAUAACUCACAAAUAUUGAUAAAUCAUUUUCAUUGACUACGUACAUGUUAUUUUUAUUUUUUUUACUAAUUUACUUGUUAUCAUUUCAUGCGAUUCUCAUCAAAACAAUUAAACUUAAGUGGUUGAUGAGUUUUAUCAAUAAAGAAUUAUUCAAGAGAAAUUUAACUUUGAUUUUUGGAUGGAGUAGAUUCUGGCUAUAUUUAACCUAUCUUCGAGCUGAUUCUCCUGACUAUCGGAGAAUUAACAUAAAAAAAUAAAUGUGAUUUCCUCAAAAUACAUAUAGAAAUUAAAACCGUCUUUUUUUUGUUUUCCUAAACAAAAAUCAUAUAGAAAUCCUUUUUUUUUCCUACAAGGAAGACAAGUAUUGGCCUAAUUUGUAGAAGAUUACUGUUUCGUUUUUCUAAGGCUUGGUUUAGAUGGAGGGGAAAAGAUAGUUUUGUUGGGUGGAAAAUAUCGAGAGAAAUUGAGAAAUCAUUCAUAUUUUUUGAAAGAAUGUUUUUUUUAGAGAAUGAUAAACUAAUGAUAAUGAUUCAUAUAUUUUUAAUAUUAAGAAUAUUAUAACAAUAUGAAUUAAAUUUAAAAAAUUCACAUAAACCCUCCAAAAAUCUCAUUCAAUACAACUUUUAGUUCCACAAAUGAGGAGAGUUUUGUACUUAUAUAUGAAGAAAAAUUAACCCCCCAAAGCUCUCCUCUCUCAAUGUCCUCUUUUCUUCCACUUGCUUAUUCCUGUUUUUCAAAACAUUCAUUCCAUUCCGUUUUAAACUCGCAAACAAAGCCUAAUGGUUUUAUAGUAUUUUUUCUCUCUCUAAAUAAAAGUAGGGUAAUGCUAUCUAGGUGCCCCCGGGGCACUGGUUAAGAAGCAAUAAAUUCAUAGAUUCUACUUAUCUACCUUAAUAAAUUGAGAAAUAAUAAGUAACUAAUUAAAAUUAAUAAAAGUUGUGAUCAAUAUUCUCUAAAGGAUGCAGUUUUGUUUUGAAGAGGAUUUAAUUACACAUUUAAUGAAUUUGUAUUUGAUAUCUUAUUUGAAUGUGUUUUAUCUUUGGAAUUGCUAAUUUAUUUUGGACUUUAAAAUAUCUUGUCUUUGUUUAAUUAUUUCAACAACUUUUAAUUAAAAAAAUGAAAGAAGACAAUAUGCUGAGUAAAAUUCAAAGGAUGAAAAAAAAUGGUGCAAAAAAAAAUUCACAGGAAAAAACAAUACUGUUGUGAGGAUGAGGAAAAUUUAUAAGAAGAAUUAAAAUAAUAUUAUGUUUCUAUUUUACAGGAUAUAAAUUGGUCAACUCUCAAAAUUAUAUAAUAGUUGUGCAACAUGAAGAAUGACAGACAUAGGAAUAUUGAUAGAGGUAAAAAUCAUGUGGUGAUUAAAUGAGCUAGUGCUAUUUAAUUGUUUGACCAACUAUUUUUUUAUUUUAUUUUUUUGGUAAAUAACCUAUUAGUAGUAUUUUUGUUAGGCGUUAUAUUAUACUCCAUUCGGUCCUUUUUAUAAGAAACAAAAUAAUCAAAUUUUUUAAUCCUUUUUAUAAGAAACUUUGACCAAUUUUCAAAUGUAUUAGAAGUUAAAUGUCAUGUGUGUCCUUAUUUAAGAGAAUAUUAAAAGUAAGUAAAUUGUUGUAAUCAAAAUAAUUAAUAUAGGGGCAUUCAUGCAACGGUACUCGUUUGUGAAAAUAAUGAUUUUUUUUUUUGUUUUUGCACCGGUUUUCGACCCAUCAAAGGUGGGCGAUUAAUCUGACUCGUGCGUAGAGGCAUGUGCAUUGACCAAACAUUGUUACCCCUGGGAAUCGAACCCGAACUCGAUGAUGAUUGAUAAUAGUGACACUAAUUUUAAUACUAUUUCCAGUUGCUAUUAUAAAUUAUUAUUUUUUUAGAUUUAUUCAAUAAUGUAUUUAAUUUAUAUUAUAGUUUAAAUGUAUUAGUAAUUCAAUAAACCUAAAAAAAACUAUUCUUUUUUGUUUAUAAUAAUGCUUAGAAGAAGAGGAAAUCCCUAUUUUAAAUAUCCGUUUUAGAGGAAUCACUUUUAGUGGUGUGACCCUACCAAUUCUUACAUGUUUUGAAAAUUCAAAUAUUAAGAAAUUAAUUAAUCUAAUCUCAAACAAAAUUCACAACCUUAUUAUUAGGAUAUGCAAUGAAAAUUACUCUUCUGUUCUCUAAAUAAGGCAUUUGAAUGUUACGUAGCGAUUAGUUCAGGAGAUAACUCAUAUCUAAGAGGUAAUUUAUGAAUAAAUAGUAUGUGAAUAGGAGCCCGGUCCCUAACAUUUAUUUUCCUUUAUAUAAUUAUAUCAUAUAUUUUUUAUAAAUGAUGGAUAACACAUGCAUUAAUUAUGACGAUUGACAUCUCAGCUAUCGCCGCCUCAGUCACCAUAAUAUUAUAAUCAGUGGCGGAGUCAGGAUUAUUGUAAAGCCCGGGCAAAAAAAAAAUCAACACAUUUAUAGGGGUUUACAUAAGAAAUUGCAAGCAAAUAAUAAAAAAAUCUAAAAAAAUUGCCCAAUUUAUAGGGGUUUAUAUAAGAAAUUCAUAGGAAUUUACAUAAGAAAUUGAAAAAAAUUUGGGCCGGAGCCCGGGCGAGUGCCCGGGGUCGCCGGGCCAUAGAACCGCCCAUGAUCAUAAUAGUAUAAAAUACACUUCCCUCAAUAGAAUGAUAUGUUACUUAUAAAAAAUCACACAAGAUCAAAUUUGAUGUCGCAAGUAUGAAACUUUCAUGAUGACAAUCAUAUUAUAUUAUGAAAUCUAAAUACAAAUUAAGAUUAGCUUUAAUUUAAAACACCAAAAAGCAUCCUAAAAAAAAAUAAUAAUAAAUAGUCUCUUGCAAAGGAGUAGAGAUUUUGUUUUUUACGUGUUGCUUCUCUGAUUUACAUUUUAAUUAUAAGUUUAGCAUUUUGGCCAAUGUUGGGGGUGGGAAAAUGAAAGCACUUGGCUAUGAAAAAGAAAUGUUGUUGAGUUAUAAAAUAAAGAGAGUUACUUUUCCCACCCUAUUUCCUUCUCGCACGCCCUGCAAAAUUUCCAAAAAUACCCCUUGUUCGGAUUAUAUAAUCCGGACCCGAUUGUUAGUGUUUCCGGAAAACGAAAUCCGGACCAGAUGUUAUGUGAUUUUUUGUGUCUUUCUUAGAUGUCAAGGGUCUCUGUUGACCGUUAUAUGAACCUCACACAAGCUGCAAUGCAAUUGCAGGAUUCAUAUGAACGGUCAACAAUGACGAUGACACCACCGACACCUCUAAAAAACUAAAAACAUUUGAAGAAAACGGAAGAAAAGAGGUGAAGUGAAGAAUGAAGGUAUUUGUUGAAGAUGAAAGCCUAUUUAUAGCCUAAAACAAGUCAUAGAUCAUUAAUACAUUCAAUGAAAACGUGUUAGUGGUAGUAACCGUCCAAACCCACAUUAAUGGCUCUCUUUCAAAAGAAUCCAAUGUUGAAGCUUUCCGGAUUUUACAUUCUGGAACGUCCUUAGCCCUACAAGAAGUACCAACUUUUCCCUCGUUCACUAUUAUCGCAUUAAUCCGGAAAAUAUACUCCGGAAAACAGAUGUGCAUUCCGGAUUUUAUAUUCCGGAAUGCAUCAGUCAUGGCCGGAAUGCACCACACGUUUUUGUCGGUGGUCAAGUCAAAAAAACGCGUUUUACCACGUUUUUUGACUGCAUUUAUGAUCUCCUAACCGUUUUUGACUCACCCCUCCCUAUAAAUAGCCUUCCAAACCCCACCAUUUCUCACACCAUCCCCUCCCACCCUCUCCUCCUAUUCUUCCUUCUACAACGAUGGUUUUCCAUCGUUGGCCUUUCAUAGAUAAGGGCCUCGUGGAAAACUUUCAGGGUUUGUAUGAACGGUCAAUGAGGAUGGAACUGCGCUGCAAUGAAGUGCGGCUCAUAUGAGGGUCAUGCGGGUUAGUGUGGUUCUUAGCUUGGCCUGUCUGGGCGUAAGUUUGAGCACCCCUACCUCCUUCAGGGGCAUUGUUCUCUUCUUCCCGCCCUCCUCUUCCCUCCUCCUCCGGUUGACCUCCAAUAGGGAAACUACUGAUAUGUCCUAUCACAUAGCAGUGGUUAGACUCUUAGGAGAUUAGAAUUAGGCUCUUAGGAGAUUAGAAAUAGAUUUAGGAUCUUAUGUAAUAAGCUUAAAAAGCUUGAAAAUUAUUGUAAUGUAUUUUUCAUAUAUUAAUAAAAUGAGUUGUUUUAUGUUUGUGUCUUUUUAUUUCUGUUUUUUAUUUUAUUUGCAUUUUAUUUUACGAUUUGUAAAGCUUAAAAUUGUAAAAGUUAUGGAAAAACACUAUUUCAGAUACAUCUACAAAAUUCUAACAAUGCAAUCCGGAAAGCAAAAUCCGGACCAGGGAUAAAAUUGGAAAAACAAUAGGGCGCGCGAGGAAAGAUAUAGGGUGGAAAAAGUAAAUCUCUAAAAUAAAAAGGAUGAAAGGCUGAUGGGCUGAAGUCUUACAAAUAGUUGAGCCCUCUUUGCGAUUUGUACUAUAUAUACUUUCUAGAAAACAAAGGUUUCUAUAUACACCUCCACAUAUAAAACAAAAUUUUGGACUCCCUACGAACAUGGGCUCUAGGCCGCCGCAUCCCAACCUAUGCCUUGGGACAUCCCUGGUGAAUAGCCUCAUGAACAAUAACACUUCAAAUUGACAAACACAAACAGUUUUUUUUUUUUUUUUUUUUAACAUUAAAGAUAGAACAUAAUUCAACAAUUAUAGUAUGUAGUCAAAUCCCUAUGGACAAUGCAUAAAAUAUGCAAGGUCUGGGGUUCGAACUCUGACUACCACAAAAAAUGCAAAUUCUAUGGUACACCUAAAAAUUUGAGUGUACCAGUACACUAAUUGGCUAAAUUAAUAAUUAAAUAAGUUGUUUUUUUUUAAGAAAAAUAAUUACUGUUUAUCAUUGACAAUUAUAAUAAUUAAAUCUUAUUUAUCAAAAGCUUCAACGAAAUAAAAUUUAUUUUUUUUUUAAUUUUUAUUACUCAUAAUAAAGAAUAUUGAUUAUUUUUUAUGAGAAAAUGUUUAAAAUUCAAUAUGAUUCUUAUAAACAAUGAAAUGAUGUUUUCUAAAAUAUAAAUAUUGACAAAUAACUUUUUAUUUCAUAAAAUGAUCGUUAAUUUAUAAAUUUAUUGAACGAGAGCACCUUUAUGAGGUGUACUGUAAAAGUUUAAAAAAAAAAAAUCCCUUCAACCUCAAAGAUUUGCUUAAAACAAUCGCACAUACUUAAAACAAUUAAACUAUAGUUUGUUAAACACUUCUGGCCUAGUAUGGUCAACCCUUUUGAGAACUCACGCCACUACCGGGCAGAUUACAGUUUUUACAAAGUUCUUUAAAAUAGUGUUUACUUGGUCUUUCUAAAACAAUUCUUCUAACAAUGGUCAUUCAAAUGUUUUUUAUUAGAUUUUUUUCUUUGUUUUUAAAUCAACUCAUGCGUACAUUUUAAAUUUUUAAAUGACUUUUCGCAAGCAUGUUUAUAACAUAUAAAGUAUCUCUUCCACGAAAAUUAAGAAUUUUUUUUAUUAUCACAAGAUGAAUUAAAUAUGAAUUUUUAAGAACCAAAAUCAUAAAAGUUCAUAUCUAAUUCACCUCUUGUUAAAAAAAAAAUUAUGGGAGAAAUUUUUAUAAUGUACUAAACAUAAUUCCAAAAAAAAGUUCAGAAUUUUGAAGGAUACCCAUGUCGUAAAAGCAAGGACACAAAAUGUUGGUCGAAAACAUUUGAAUGACCAUUAUUUGAAGAACUUUUUUAAAGGAACUAAAAAACAAAAUAUGUAUAUUUAUUGGGAUAAACAUUUUGAUUAACCCUUUAAAAUACAAAGGUUUACUCUCAAAGAGAGGAUAUAAAAAUAAUUUCAAAUACAAUUGGAAAUAACUUUCAAACGAAAGGAUUUAGGUAUUCACUUUCGUUCAAUGUUUCCUAGACUUCUCUCUUUUUUAUAUCUUGCAUUUAAGAUAUUUGAACUUGAAAUACAAUAGUGCCUAAAAUGGUGAUGAGAUUUCUCUAUAUUUUUUAGUCUUCUUGUGUGAUAGAGUGACUUCUUCGAUGGUGAAGUAUAAAAUGAACCUAUAAAAAUAUUGGUCUAUGAUGGACCAAUUUUUUGUACCAUUAGAUCAUAUGAAUCCACCAAAUUUUAUCAUGGUCUAUAAACACCAAAUCUCACCCAUCUUCUCCAUAACUCUCAUUUAAUCUCUCUACUUUUUUUUUUGUCACAUAUUUUUUUUUCAUUUAGCAAUACAAGUAGUCUUUUUCUUCCCUAAAAAAAAAAGUAGUCUUUUUUUUACGGCACUUUGUAUUAAUCGAGUUUUUAAGUAAUACAUGAAUUAAUUUAUUUUGUUUUGAAGGGAUAUGAAUUAAAUUUCUUAAAAAAAUAAGUAACAUGAAUUAAAUAAGUAUUCAAUUGGUUUUUUUUUUUACGAAAAAAAAGUCUAGUUGUUGUUGCUUAUGUUAUUAAAUAACUUCUUUUUGAAUUGUUGUUGUUGUUGUUCUUCUUCUUUCUUUAAUAUUUUUGUUUUAAUCUUAUGGGUUUCUUAUUUUUUGUUUUGUUUUUAAAAUAAAAUUGUAUACUUAAAUAUUAAUGAAAAAAAUCUGAUACACGUAAAAUAAAUCUUAAAACUGAAAUAUUAUAAAAAAAAACUGAUAAUGAUUUAUUUAAUUGAAAUGAAAUAUAAAAAUUGAAAUGAAUUAAAUUAAAAAUAUAAUUUAAUCAAAAGAAAUUAAUUAAGUAUUUUGACCAAAAAAUUUAAAAAUUAAUUUAUUAAUAUGUAAAAUAUAUAUUAAAUUGAUUAAUUUAAAUUAUUAAAUAUCUUAAAUAUUAAUUGAUUUAUAUUUUAUUAUGAAUUACGAAUGUUCUUUUAUGUUAUUUACAUUUCAUUAUGUAUUGAUGGAUUGUAUUUGGUGUGGAUGGACCAUGAUAAGAAUUGAUUGUUGAUUCAAUCUAAAGGUUAAAAAAAUUGGUCCAUCUUAGACCAAAACUUCAUGGGUCCAAGUUAAAUGGCACCUUCUUCGAUAUAUAAACUUCCUUUUUUACUAUAUAAAAUGGAGAUAGUUAAUAACCAUUGGUAGAAGCUUCCUUAAAAAAAAAAACCAUUGGUAGAAGCUGAUUGUUGAUGAACAUCGGGAAUCCUUAAUGUCUCGAAUAUAUUUUUGCUGCACUACUACAUACUCCAUUGAAGUUACUUAAAGAUAGGUGGUGUAUGGUUGAUUUAUGUCACUCCACACCUUAUCAUUUCACAUCCUUGUCCUUUUAAUUCUGUUCUUUAAGCCCAUUUGAUGUGUAGUCCUUAAAUGAAUCAAGAUUGGACUUAGGGAGUUGAGAUGAAGAUGCUCACAUUAGACACAAAGUUUUGAAUUAUGGUAAGUGAAAACAGAUGAUUUAAAUGCGUGAAACUCCACUAAAUUAUGUAUAUGCUUUAUAAUAUGUCUUUAUUUUUAAAGUAAACAUAUACAUCAGAACGUGUUUCUCCAUCAGAGCGCUUUCAGACAAUCUUCAGGAUGUUAGUUAAAUUACUUUACAAGAGUGUGCUAUUAGAGGAUCACUUUAAUUCUCAUAAUUUUUUAGGUAGAUUUUGACAUGCACACUUAACACACAUUUUUAAAAUAUGAAAUAUUCAAAUUAUAUACAAUUUUUACCAUUACCAAUUUUUUUUUUUAAUAUUUAUAUAUACGAUUACUAUUUUUAUCCCUAAGUAUAAAACCUCUUAAGUUUUUUGUCCUUUUUUAUAUAUAAGAUCUCCUUUAAAUUUUCAACUUUAUUAAUAUACCACAAAUUAAUUUACAAUUUAUCCGAUUGGUGGAUUUAACUACGAGUAUUCCACCAAAGUAUGGAUUUAACUCACACUAUCGAUAUGCAUAUUUUGUUGAUGAAUAAUCUAUAAACAGAUGUGUCGUGUUCGACACUAUCAAUAUUAAAAUUUUCUCUUAGAGCAUCUACAAUUGAGACCCUUAACUUUAAGGUCAUAAAUGGGUCCACAUGGACACAUUAUUUUUUAAUAAUUCUUUAAUAAUAGUACUUAAUAGGUACUUAACCACUCCAAUUGAGAUCCUCUAACAAAAGGUCUAAUAGGGUCCCACAAAUAUUAUUUAAUAGCCAUGAAAAUUAUUAUUUUAAUAAAAAGUGAUGUGGGUCCACUUAAAAUGAGGUUUUAAGUUAGACCUUAGAUGGUGAAGACCUCACCAUUGUAGAUGUUCUUAGGAGUCAAAUAUCCAAACCCUCUAAACAUUUUUUUAAUACAAAAAAACUGAGAUUUGAACCAAAAUCUUAUCAAAGUGUUGAACAACUAUUAUUAUUUCUUUAUGAUGAUGAUUAUGAUACAUGAAGUGGCAAGGUAGAUCACAAAUGGAAUUUGUCGGGUCUAUUAUAAACCUUAGUUGGCAACAAGACACAGAAGAGUAAAGAGAAUGUAAAAGGAAAAUGCAACAAGUACUGGUGAAAAAAGGUGAAAUUAAAAAAAAAAACAUCAUGUGUCAUGUCACAUGUGUGUUUUGUUGAUUGAUGUACUCUAAAUUUUCCAAGCUCAGAAAAGUCAAGCACACCACAAAUCGCGAUCUAUCAAAUUCAAAUCCACUUAGAUGAACAUAAACUCGUUUUUAUUUAUUUUUCAAUAAUCUUAAAAACAUCUACAAGAAACACAGUUUCCAACAAAUAAACACAUACAAUGUUUCGUUACAUCUUAGUUUUGUUAUUGUUAUUGUUAGUAUCAUCCUACGAUGUUUAUUCACAUGAGGAGUCGGGUCCAUGGAGCUGUGAAACCGGGUCAGAGAUUCACGUUGAGUCCGAAUUUCAACCCGGUGUUAUUACACUUGAUGGUCAUGCCGAUGAUUGGAAGGACAUUGAUGGGUCCCACUUUUCUCUUCUUCUUGCUCUCGACCCUGAUGCUGAAAAUGAAUUUAAUGGCGGAAAAAUGACCGUGAAGGUAGUAUUCACUUUUUUUUUUCCUUUUGUUAUUCACAUUUGAGUAUUUAUCUGUUUAUCUUCUUACCAUGGUGUUUGUUGUUUUGUUGCAGAGUGUGCAUGAUGGCCGUGAUAUUUUCUUUUUGUUGCAAGUUGAUGGUGAUUAUGCCUACUCUAAUGGGUAAGAUGUGUGUGUCAUGCAGAGAAAACUGAAUCUAGUUCUAAUCCAUGAGUUUGAUUUAUUGAGCUUAGUUAGUGAUAGUUUAGUUUAAGUUUGAUUUUUCGGUAAUCAUGUUAUCCGUGUGAAGUAUACACCGAUUUGAUGACUAAUCUUUGUCGGGAAACUCCUUACUGGCCACCUUUCGUGGGGUCUUCCCGCUUAACCACGUUUUUUCUAUCCACAAGUUUCGAACUUGUGACCUUGCUUUAGGGAUCCGAGUCCAGUAUUGGGUUCAAGAGUGAUUAGUCUCACAUCGAUUAUGAGUGAUAAAAAUGUUGGAUAUAUAAAGAGGUGACCGGUAUAUUUAGUGUCUUAAGAUUUUGGGAAGAGAUGUUGCGUCUUUCUUGUGGUCUUGGAGCAUUAACCCGUUGCUACCGACUCCCAAUAAUAUUCGUUGUUGAUAAGCGUCUCAAUGAUUGAUAUUGUUUGGUUAUUCAUAACAAAUCACGAGUGGUUAAAAUAUCAACUCUUGAUUUUCUCACUUUGCUAAUUAAUCAUUACUCAUUUUAGCAUAAUCAAUUUUGUUUCGUUCUACUCGGAUCAAUAUAAUAGUGGUUUGAACUUUAAGUUGUUUGAUUACUGAAUUAGCUUGAUUUAUUUAUGUUGACAACGUUAUAAGUAAUGAUAUUUUUGUUGAGGGUCCAACAUGAUGGGAUAUAAGAUUAGAUAUAUAGACAAAAAAACAAAAUAUAACUUUCUCAUAUUACUAUAUGAUACACUUUUAAUAAGUUGGUGCAUUUUUUGUUUUUGUGAUGAUGCAGUGAAAGCAAGAAAUGUCCCUCUGUUGCACUCAUGUUUCAAAUUGGGGAUGGUGCCUCUUAUCAUAAUGUAAGUUGGUGUACUCAACAACGUAUUCUCUAAGGGUCUAUUUGGGAGUUUGGAUGGUAGGGGACGAGAGGGUUUUGGGGGGAGGGGUGUAGAGAGAUAAAUCUUUCACCUUUUUAGAGAGUGUUUUUGUAGAUUAAUAUAUUUUUAAUUUUGUGAUUAAAAUAACAACAUAGAUUGGAUUUGAAGAAUUUACCUAAGUCCUCCAAAACCUUCAAAUAUCCUCCUUCAAUACAUUUUGAGUUCCCUCAAAUUAGGGGGAUUUUGUAUUAUGAAGAAUAAAACUCCCUAAAGCUCCCCCCUCCCAAAUCCCUUCAUACCUUACACUUUCUCCUUCCUUUUUCUCAAAUCCCCCCCUCCUCUCCCCCUCCUAAACUUCAUCGCUUCAUGUUUUUCAAAUCCUAAGGGGCAUUUGGAUAAACAACUUAGGGCCUGUUUGGAUGGACGUAUUUGAGUCUAUCUAAUGACAUAAACACUUGUGACUGUUUGAGAGAGCUUAUGGAAAUAACUUAUGAUAUGUCCAUCAGUUGUUUUUAGCUUAUUUUCAUAAGUUCUUCAAGAUAACUUAUGAAAACAGUUUAAAGCUUAUAUAUGAAAACAUUUUGACUUUAUUUAAUCUUUUGGUAUAGAAAUAGCUUAUAUGAUAAAAGAUUAUGAUAUAACUACUUAAUUAAGUUGUUUACCUAAAAAGAAACUUAACUAAAUACUUCCAAAAAGUGCUUAUGGUAAUCAUAUUUUUGUAUAAUCUGUUUUAGGAAUGUAAGAAAACUUCGUAAAAGCUUUAUAUAAAGUGUUUUUAUAUGUUAUUAUGAGGAGCUUAUGAGAAUAAUUUGAAACAAUUUAUUGACAUAUCACAAGUUCUUUUGAACACUUAUUAUGUAAGUGUUUUUGUAAUAUGAUUGACCUAAAUAAGUUAUUGUAAAGUCAUCACUAAUCCUGAUUUUUAUGUAAGAUCUCUAUGAAUCGUGAUUGAUAAAAAAUUCUGUUAAUUGUUGUAAGAUGGGUGGCUGUGAGGAACAUUCAACCUCGUGCACAAAUAAGACCUGCAAAGGUCAUGAAGUUGACAUUAUGCACUUUUCAAUUGGAAAUGCUAUUCCGGGACGGCUUUAUGGCGGGAAUCCCAUUGACAAUAGGGAUGGGAAUGGCGGUGACAGGUGAUUAAUAUAAAAGCUCCUUAACUUUAACCACAUCGGCCGACAAUUUAUGAUGACUAUAGUGGAGCUAUUUUUCAUGAGAUGUGUUCAUUCAGUUUCCUAUAAUCGUCCAUACAGGUUUGGCCAUUUGGUUGAUCUUUAUGCCUGGAAUCCACACUGCAGAUACUUGGAUGGAACUGGUCCUUCAGGUUCUGGUAUGCACAAAUGUAACAUCUUUAGUUGGAAUUGUAUGUUUAUAUGAUUAAAAUAAAAAAGGAGAAUGAAUGAGAUUAAAACAGCUAGUGGAAGUAUCUGCGGGUUCAAUCCAUGAAAAGUUGCUCAACUUUUCCAUCAAGUAGUUUGCUUCAUGGUUUGAAAGUUCAUGCUCCUUUUUAACCCUCUCUUUAAUGACAACAUUAAAGAGAGGGUUGGAGUAGCACCUAUCAUAGAAAAGAUGGUGGAAACUCGGCUUAGGUGGUUUGGGCAUGUAGAGAGAACACUAGUAGAUUCUCUAGCGAGGAGAGUAGAUUAGAUGGAGGGUAGUCAAAUCAUUAGAGGCAGAAGAAGACCUAGAAAAACUAUAAGAGAAAUUAUUAAGAAAGAUCUAGCGAUUAAUGGGUUGGAUAGAUAUAUGGUAUAUGAUAGAACAUUAUGGCGUCGUUUGAUCCAUGUAGCCGACCCCACUUAGUGGGAAAAUGCUUGGUUGCUGUUGUUGAUAUCUUUUACAUGCUUCAGCCAUAUAAGAAGCAAUGACAUAUUGUUUUAAACCUUGCAUGCGGAUGUCAAUUAUUUUAUUCCUUUAGCUUAGCCAUGUCAAAUCAAGGUUUGCGUUUGAUAUAAAUCUUUUCUAAGUUUACAUUAUAAUAAAGUUCAUUUACAAAAAAGUUGAAUAAAUUAUGUUUGCCCUACACACCCAAUUUAAAAUUUGUGCCACUUCACAAGAUGAGAGUGGAUCCCAAAAUGAUUAUGCAGUGAUUGGAUUUGAGCAUGAGCAUGAUGUAUUAAGUUACUUUAAGAUUGCUUCUUCCACAUUGGAGGAAAGGAAGAAUUAAUUAAGGCAUCGGUAUAGAAAGGGACAAAUAGAUGGAGGGAUUAUGCAUAUUCUAUGCUAAGAUUACACAGACAAUUUAUUAGUGCCUAACUUGGAUAAAUAAGAUAAGCCGAUAAUUAUGUUAGAAAAUGACAUACAGAAGAUCGACAAACACAUUUGUUGGGACCACAAACCAGGAUUCUCAACAUAAGAAGUAUUUCAUCAUCAUAAUUGCUUUUUUCAUCAAUUCCUUUAUUUGUCUCAAUGGGAUUUUUGCAAUCACUUCGUUCUGUUUGUGGUCAAAAUGUGGCGUUUCUGCACAAAAUUGGAAGCCUCGUUAUGCCCAACCAGAUUGUGUCCUUUUCUUUAUCUUUGCAAAACAUCAUUUCAUUGGGCAACUUUUAAGUUUGAUCCCAAUGUGAAUAAUGAAUUUACAUAUGUAGAUUUUGUGCAUAAAGUUGUUGGACAUGUUGUAGCGCUAUUAAUGUUUAUGAAUUGGGAAUUCUACAAAUAUCCCAUUGUUUCAUACUUUCAUAUGAUUUGAAGUGGGGUGAUGAUAAUGUCUCUUUUCAAAGAUUUAGAGACUUUCUAAAGAAGAUAUGUCUCACAUUGUGACCAUACAAUUGGAUAUAUAAGCUAUAACCUAUAACCCUACAAUGUGGGUUAAACAUCUAAUAUUUUCUCCAAUUCCCUUCAUUUGUUGAUAACUUCCUAGGCUGUUGUCUAAUUUUUAUUUUAGGGAUAUACAUUAAGCAUUGGACCUCUUUCUGUUUUCAGUUAAUGAUUCUAGUGCACAGAAUGACUGGAAAGGUGCUUGGUGGCAUAGCAGCUUUACAGUUCACUCAGGUAAUCCUUUUACUGUUCAAAAAGAAAAGUAAAAUGUCCUAUCAAUUAACUAUCGUCCGAAGCUGAUUUUAGACUGAAAUAUUGGUUGGUAGUGGAAUGAAUCCCGAAAUCUCUCCAUAUAAUUAGCUAAACAAUCAUGUAAUCAUUUAUUUAUCUCAAAUAUGAUUUCACAUCCGAUUCUUAACGAUAUUCAUACCAAAGAAAUAUCUUCCAACGUAAUGUAGUUGCUACUAAUAGCGUCAAAGAUAAUUUGAAAAGUAAAUAUACCAAUAUAUGUACAAUAUGUUUUCUGGUAUUCACCAACUUUUUAAAUACCACUUUGCUGGGGUGGAGGAUGUUUGUUUUUUUGGGGUGAGUUCAUAACAUUAUUUUUUUAAUUUUUUUAUGGAAAUAGAUGUUUUCAAACUUUCUUCUUAUAAAUAUAAUAAUUAAUACAUAAUGUUAUUUUAGAAAGAAAUAAAUGCAUAAUAUGUAUAUAUAUUAUUAAGUAAAAAACUGAAAAUAUAAACCAUGAAUUGAAUGUUAUGCAUAUAGUAUGACAUAGAGCAUGUCCAUAAUACAUCAUUUAUGUCCUCGGGAAAUAUAUCGGCGGCAAUUUUUCAUGUGUAAUUGUUGAAAUUUGAGGCCUAACUCAUCCUUACAAAACCGGUUCUUAAGGUGAGGAGUGCCUCCACUUUAUAAACUUUUAUCAAGAGUCUUAUCGAUCUGAUGUGGGACUUGGGGUUUUUCCCAAUACACCCCCCUCACGUCCAGCACUCUUUGGGCUUGGUGCGUGGAUAGGUAGGUGGCCCUUGAAUUCGACAAGCUCUGAUACCAUGUUGAAAUUUGAGGCCUAACGCAUCCUUACAAAACCGGUUCUUAAGGUGAGGAGUGCCUCCUCUUUAUAAACUUUUAUCAAGAGUCUUAUCUAUCUGAUGUGGGACUUGGGUUUUUCCCAAUAGUAAUUACCUGCUGCUUUCAAUAAUUUAUAAUAUAAUUAGUGCUGUUCCAACUAGGUAGGUUAAUGUAAUUCCCACUAAGGGCCAAAAGUUUAGUGAUCCAUAAAAGAAGGAUGACGACUGGUUUGUUUCUUAUGGAUUCAUUUAUCCACAAUAUUUUCCUUUUAUAAUUAAUUUAGAAAAACCCAUUUUUUCAUCCUUGAUGGAUAUUGAGUCUCUCAAUGCUUCAAAGUAUCAUAAAUUAAAACAGUCUUUGUUGGAUUGAAGGAGAAUCUAAUACUGGGCUAACUUUCACUCCACUCCAAUAGAAUGGGGAAAUGAGCUGAAGUAGAUAGUGUAAGGGAGCUCUAAUUUUGCAUUAUUUAGAGACUAUAACGAUGAUGUUUUACAUUAUUUAAAGACUAAAUUGAUGUGAAAAAUACUUGGUGAGCCAAAAUGAAUGAACUCUGUAUUAUUAAGGGAGUAAAUUGAUGACCAAAUCCUUGUUAUUACUAAAUUGACGAUACAUGUAUGUGGAGGACAAAAGUAAGGGUUUUUUCUAUUUUUUAUGUUAAAGCAUAUUAUGGAUUCUGUUGCAAGUUGCAACCCGAUAUAUGAUAUUAAAAUUGGCCUUAGUCGGAGCACCUUAAAUAUGAGCUUUCUGCAUUGUUCUACCCUAUCAUUUAGUUAUUCUGGAUCAUUUUGCUGUAAACUACUACUCACAUGUUUCUCUAAUAACAGGUUUUGUAAAGGAUGAGAACCCUUAUGCAGAAAAUGGAAAAAAGGGCACAUAUUUUUUUGAAUUCUCUAGGCCUUUGAGGACUAUGGAUCAUCUGCAACAGGUUAGAAGUUAGAAACCUUUAUGAUGCAUUUUGAAGAGUUUUAUUUGUUUAGAGAUUACGUUGAUCUUUCCUCUUAUGUUUGAAUCCCUAUUUUGAAUUAACUGAGUUCUUGGUCUGUCAAAUUCUUCUAUAUAACACGUGGACUACAUAUGAACUUCAUUAUUUAUUAAUCAUAAUGAAUUCUGGCAUAGAGUGCCCCAAGUCACAUAAUAAACUACAAUUUUGUAUUUCUGAUAUUAUGGAUCUAUGCUAUUUUGUCGAACAGUUUUGGGCUUUUGGCUUUGGAUAAGAUAUCUUCUACCGGUUUGUUUUGCAAUACCUUCUUUACAAAGGAAACUUGCCUUCAUAAGAAAUAUUUCUCCGCCAUGCCCAAUAGCUAAAACUAACAAACUUUAAAGUGCCGUCUUUUUUAGUUUUAGUUUAGGUUUAAAUAUGACUUUAGUCCUUGCACUUUCAUCAGAUUUUGGCAUUGGUCCCUACACUUUUUUUUGUUUGGAAUUGGUCCCUGCACUUUGUAAAAAUAUUGGUAUUGGUCCCUCUAUUAACUUUCUGUUAAAAAAAAAACACAAAACUAUUGGUAUCGGUCCCUGCACUUUGUAAAAAUAUUGGUAUUGGUCCCUGCACUUUGUAAAAAUAUUGAUAUUGGUGUCACGUGGCGUGAAAUGAUUGGGCCACGUGGCACUCCGUUGGUUUUGUGUUUUUUUUUUUAACAGAAAGUUAACGGACCAAUACCAAUAUUUUUACGAAGUGCAGGGACCAAUGCCAAACAAAAAAAAAGUGCAGGGACCAAUGUCAAAAUCUGAUGAAAGUGCAGGGACCAAUGACACAUUUAAAACUAGUUUUUAUUUUUGUGAUAGUUGAAGUGGAGGGAAUAAAUCAUAAAGUUCUUCUCAAAUAUAAUGUUUAUGUUUCAACCUAAUUCUUCAUAUGCAAAGAUUCAUUUUAUAGCUUUGUGAGAACUCAAAACCAACACAUGAUGCAAACACGCAUGAAUGUCAUUUAUGCGAUAACAAACAAUUAAAAUCAUGCAAAUUUAUACCUUACAGGAUGUGCAAUUCACCAUUGGCGGAACAAGCAAGAUGUCUGUCGGAUUCUGGUAUCCAGUAGACGGUAAGCCAUGGCGCGGUUCCGGACACUACUCUGUCAACUGUGAUUGGGUUCCAAUUGAUAUAUCUCAGAGCAGUUCAUUGAGUGGCAAGUCAGUGGAGACAGCAUCAAGUAGCUCAUGGAAUUUUGCAAGUGCAUUUUCGCUUAUACUUUCAGUAGCAGCACUUUGUGUGUCUGUGUUUGUGAGCUAUCGGGUUUUACACCCCAAGAGUGUAGCCUUUACUCCUAUGGAGAACCUUUAAAUAGUGUAUCAAACAGCUUGAGUUUGGGAUUGUACUAUUCAUUUACGAUUGUACUAUAUAGGUUUGUAGUUUGUACUGUUUAGUGCUUUCUCUUGCCCUAUUUUUUAAUUCUAUUUGAAGUAUUACUUUAGUUAUUUUAGUUAGUGUCAGAAAAGUGUUGGUUCAAUAGUCCAAGUAUAAUGGAGUUCCAUCUUGUGCUUAGUUGUUGCAACGUGCAAUUUCCUUUCACAGGGGGCUAUUUUUCUUUUCUAAAAAACUGGAGUAUACUAAUAUGACAUUGUCAACUCAUAAGUGUUUCAAUAAUUGAACAUUUCACAUUUUGCAAAUUAGAGAAGAAAAUGAUACAUUGGAUGAAAUGAAACUAAUUAUCUCAUUCUAUUUAUUCUUGCUUGAAGCAAUCAAUAAAUAGUUUUCAAUUUCUUCUUAUUCUAUUCGAUUCCUUUUCAACUAUACUUUUAUCGUUUUGUUUUAAUCUUUCAAAUUAAGGGAGGGGCGCCCUAGUAAUAUUCAGCUUUUUUUAUUGACACUAAAAUAACAUAAAAACAACUGAUAUAAAUAUAUAAAUUAAUUAGGGGUGGUUGCCUCUGUAAUUGGCUAAUUGAUAUAUUUGAUAUUUUUGUUAAGUCUCUGGUAAUCUGGAGUUCGACCGUGUGAUAAGGAUAGACCGAUCAAAAAUUGUUCCAUUCAAGAAUUGAAUUCGGUGAUUUAUCAUUUGGUGGAACUUGCUAACCACUUAUGUUCAAUCGUUUGGUUUGUUUUAUUUAUAUUUUAGCAAUGAAUAAUUUAUACUUCAUGCAUAAAUAAUGGUUCUUAAAAGUUAAAAGCAAAAGGAAAAAGUUUCCAUCAAACGAACAUGUGGAGAGAAUCAAUCAAAGAAAAUGUUAAGGGUUGAUGUUAUGAUAUUGUCUUUGUGAGUAAAUUGUGAAACCUUCUCCAAAGGUAACGUUAAUGUCAAUUCAAAUCACUUUCUCCCUUUCAAAAUGAUGAAUCAAACACGACGAUUGAUAAAAUCUGUCUCACUCAUAUUUUUUUGGUUUCUCAACAUAUCUGCUACCGACUAAUCUCUUUAAAAUCUAGAGUACAUUUACAGAUUGUCUCCUUUUUGGUUUAGUAACAAAAAAAUCGCUUGAUACAAAAGACUUGUGGAAAUUGUGACAGUUAGAGUGCGAGUUUUCAAUGCCAUUUGUGAAGUAUAGAGUUGAGCCAAACAUUAUAGGAAAAUAAGUAGGGCAUACUAAAUAAAUUUUGUUAAGUACUCCUAACCCUGUUGAGUUGUUAUAAUCUUCAUAAAUUAAAAGGAUUUGGGACUUGCUAACAAAUGACCAGAAGAUAUUGUUUAAGGAUUCCAUACGAAACAUGUAUUUGUUAAAUAGUUAAGUAUGUACAUUAUCUCCUUUCAAUCUAUUAAAUAUACAUGUAAUCGGAGUUGAGUAGCAAAACUUGUUUGAGUUAAGAGUUAAAGGAGUUGGAGAACUUGAGUUCAAACUCGUGAAGUAGAAAGUAACAACUAACAUUUGUAUAUCCAAAAAAAAAUUACACAUUCCAUGUAAACAAAAAAUACCAAUGUAAUUCACCAAAAAAUAACAAUAUAAACCAAGUUUACAUCGACAUCCAAUAAAAAUCCAUUAUUUUGCUUCAUCGUAAAUUUUUGACAAAUGUUUCUGAAAUUUGUAAUAUGAAAUGGAAAAAUAGAUGUUUCUAAUUGGAUGUAAGUUAGUUCACGGUAAAGAAAGAGAGAAAAGGAAUGUAAAUUGUAUUCAAAUGCAAUGAAAAGGAGAGAAAAACUCAAUGCAAGAUUACCAAAGCUAAGGCUCAUCAGAAUGGAGAAAACAAUUCUGUCUCUGCCUACAACUAAGGGUCCUAACAGAAUAAUGAUGACAUGAGUGUUCCAAUAUUCAACCUACACCAUUCUUAUUGGAAAAUCAUAACUAAUUGGCCAGAUGCCCACCUUAACACUAUCUCACCUUUUCUUUUCUUCCUCCUCUCAUAGACUAUCCAUAUUUUGCGCCUAUCCUGCCUUAAGCCCACAAGAACAUUCCCUCCUAUUGGACUGAGCUCAUGCAGCACUCUAACAAUGCAAGUGUAAAACUAGUUUCCAUCGACAGUUUGUCUUUUUUAAAAUUCAACUUAUAAUCAUCAUAGCAAACAAAACAACUAGACUAACCUUUCAAUUCUGAAAGAAUUUGUAAAACCAGUACUUAUCUUAAGGAAGAAAAAAAAAAAAAUCAAUCCUGAUUGUCAAACCAUCACUAGCUCGGAAUUAACAGUACCUACAUAUGAUACACUCGUGAUUGUUUUUUUAAUGAUGGGUGUGGUGUAUUCAUGGUGAACAUCAGCUCCCAAGUUACAAGUUCUCGUGCGCUUGGUUGACAUAAGAAUCUUCCUUCAAUACUGUCUGAAUAAUGAAUACCAGGAGAUGAUUCGGAUGCAGUAAUGCAAGUUUUAAUAUAGGAUUCAUCAAAACAACUAGACUAACCUUUCAAUUCUGAAAGAAUUUGAAAAACCAGUACUUAUCUCAAGGAAAAAAAAUCAAUCCUGAUUGUCAAAUCAUCACUAGCUCGGAAUUAACAGUACCUACAUAUGAUACACACGUGAUUGUUUUUUCAAUGAUGGGUGUGGUGUAUUCAUGGUGAACAUCAGCUCCCAAGUUACAAGUUCUCGUGCGCUUGGUUGACAUAAGAAUCUUCCUUCAAUACUGUAUGAAUACCAGGAGAUGAUUCGGAUGCAGUAAUGCAAGUUUUAAUAUAGGAUUCAUCAAAAUUGUGACUCCUAAGAAUCUUGCUUAACUCAUCAACACCAUCAAGAUCUGUUUCUUCUUCAUAAUACUUCAGAAAAGCACUCACAACUUGUGGUGAAGGUUGGUAUUUAUAAUCGCUGGCUUCUGAAAGUGCGGCCUCUAAGUGGCUCAUAGCACCAUCCAAUUGACCUUUCUCCAAUAAAGAUGCCAUGAACAUUUCCCGAAUCCUAAAGAAAGGUCCUCUGCAGCUCUUGAGAGCUUCCUCAAAGACCAACACAGCUUCCUUGUCCAUGUUUUGACUCAAGUAAGCCUGCACUGCAACACCAACCAACCUAGAAUCAUAACUAACAUGCCUAGAUUCCCACUCCUUAAACAAUUUUAUUAUGCCCUCCAUAUCAUUAAGCCUUCUAAGGUUAGAAAGCAUAAUAAGAUAGCUCCGAUUGGUCACCGGGGUGAUCUUCUUGAGGGUCCCCCACACUCUAUAAACCUCUUUAACAUUACCAGUCCCAGCAUAAAGGCUCAGCAAGAAAUGGUAAGUUUCGCGUUGGCGCGGCUUCAUUACUCCUUCCACCUUCUUAAGCAUCAACUCGGCUUUCUCAAAAAAUCCAGCUUUUAUAUAGAUAGCAGCAAGGUUGCUAUAAGUCUUCCAGUCAAUUUUGUCUUCAUCUUCUCUUUUCAUCUCCUCAUAAACACGUUCAACCUCACCAAGGUCAUUCAAAGCAGCACAACUAUUCAUCCACAAAAUGUAUGUAAAUUCAGUCAUGCGAAUUUUCCUCUCCUUCAUAACAUUAACCAACUGAGGAACUUUCGACGGUUGACUUAGCCUCAUAUACAUAGACAUCAAAUUGGUGAAAGACAAACUAGUCAAAUAACCAAAUUCAUCCAUCUUAUCAAAAUGAGACAAUGCCUUGUCUAGCAUUAGUUCCUUGCAGUAACAGUUUAGAAGAGAACCGUAUGUGUACUUGUUCUUAGCAGGAGGAGGAAAACUGUUGAAGUGAUUCUCGGCUUCAACCACUCCUUUCACUUUGGACACAAGAUCUAAAUACACUGCAUAGUUAUCCCAUGAAAAAUUAAUUUGCCUCAUCAUCAUCCAUUCCAUUAUCUGCAACCAUUCAAAACAUCAUUAUAAAAAUUUAAAACAUCACAAACAAAUUAAAAAUAUCUCUAAUUACAACCACAACCAAGCCUUAUCCCACUAAGUGGGUUCGGCUACAUGGAUCAAAUGACGCCAUAAUGUUCUAUCGUAUACUAUAUCCCUAUCCAACUCGUUAAUCUUUAGAUCUUACUUGAUACUUUCCCUUGUAGUUUUCCUAGGUCUUCCUCUGCCUAUAGUGAUUUGACUACACUCCAUCUAGUCUACCCUCCUUGCUGCAAAAUCUACAGGUCAUCUCUCUACAUGCUUAAACCACCUAAGCCGAAUUUUUACAAUCUUUUCUAUGAUAGAUGCUAACCCAACUCUCUCUAAUGUUGUCAUUUCUAAUUCUAUCAUUGUCUACUUAUACCACGCAACAUCCUCAUCUCUGCUACACUUAUUUUAUUCUCGUGUUAGUUAUUUACCACUCAAGUCUAUGUCCCAUACAACAUCGCCAAUCUUAAGACUGUACUAUAUAAUUGUCCCUUCAGCUUGAGCGGUACUUAAGUAAAACGACUAAGCAAGUUGAUUCACUUGUUAACAAAAAAAAAAAAAAAAAAACUUUCAUUACACAUAAAUUAGUUUUGCUUAUGUGGAUUGUGACGAUAAAUUAUGAAGCAAGGACACCCACAAUAAUUUGAGAAAAUGACAACUCAAUUUAAUCACAUAUGUUAGUGUCCUAUAGGUGUUAGACAUCAACAAGUGUUAGACACCGGACACACCUUCAAUAGUGUCGGUGCUAAAGAUAUAUGAUAAAACAUGAAUCAAAAUUUAGGGUGGGAAAAUUGCGAUACCUCGAAUGCGUGAUGGAAUCUACGAUACUUUCGAAGCUCCUGGACGCAUCUCUCGAGUUCAUCUUUUCCUAAGGCUUUGCCUUCGAUUAUAUACUGGUUCAACGUCUGCGACACGGUUCCUCCGGUCUUUUCUAGGUCCGCUAGUCUUCGGUAAAGGUUUGCCUUCUUAUUCGGAAGCUCAGCCGCCGUCGCAGCCGUGCAUAGUCGUCGGAGAAGCCUUCCUCCGCCGGAAAUCAAACGGCUGUAAUUCAUCUCAGAGUCUCUAUGAUCGAACCUCCGCCAGGGAUUUUGUCUACUUGUUGUUUCUUGAAGGGUUUUAUUAGGGUUUAUCAAAACGCGAAUUCUGGCGUUGUGUUGUCUUUCACUUGAAUUUACCGGUAACCGGUAAAAAAAAAAGUGGAUAGUUAAAGUGAGAGAAUUGCUCUUCAUUUGGUUUGGCUGAGAAACACAUGUAAAAGACGAAAAUACCUCUCGGCAGUUACCCACCGAAUUAUAAAACCGACUGCGGUUAACUACCGAGGAAAAAAGAAAACUCGGCACUUAAGUGCCGAAGAACUCAUCUCAUUUUUUUGUUGAAAAUAUUAUGGUUACUUGCUUACGAUAUAUGGAUGGAGAUGCAUUUGUGGCAUUAAACCGAUAAAUAGCCAUGUUAUAUUAAUAGCCCUUUUGGCAUAUAAAGAUGUGUAAAUGAGCAAUGUUAUUUGAACAACAUUUUUAUGUGACAACUUGUUGGACAACUAUAUUAUAUAAAGAAAUUUAGGUAGUGACACAAAAAUCAAAGCAAUAGAAAGAAAAAGUAGAAGAACAAUGUGUAUAUGAGAGAGAAAGUUGUCACAAGUUAUCAUAAGUUGUCAAAAAGUGGUUAUUCAAAUAUUAUUUCUCUAUGUAAAUACAAAAGUACAACCAUUUUUCCGCAACGUGUUGCUUGGUGCUUUCAUAACCAAUUUCUUAGAAAGUAAACUAACAAACAAUGAAUCUAAAUUGUUUAAGUUCAUUUUCUUUUUAUAAUAAUGUUUGUUAGCCACUCAAAUUAAGAUACGUUGUUCAUAUCUUGUAUAUACAAAACGUACACUGAUUAACUUUUAUGUUUGGUGGGAGAAAGUGAUGUACUAUGAUAUAUGUAUCUCCAUCCAUAUAUCGUAAGCAACAUUUUAAACAAAAAAAAUGAUAUGAGUUCUUCGGCAGUAAACUGCCGAAGGAUAUUUUAAUAUUUUACAUGUGUUUAUCAGUCAAAUAAGAUGUGUCAACAGCAAUACUCUUAGUGAAGUGUGGAGUAAAUAUCCAAGUUCAUCCUUAAAUAUGAAGUAACUAUCAACCUAAUCUUUGAAAUAAUAAAAAAAAUUAAAAUAAUAUUAUUGCAAGAUGUUAAUCAAGUUUAUUUCUCAUAGACGACAUAGAAACGUAAAUCAGAACCAUGACCUACUUAAAAUCGUGCUGAUUUUAAUCGAAUAAGGGUGUCAAUUUUGGUUUUUUUUCUAUAUUCAUAUUCGAGGAUAGGGUGGGGAUGUAGAUAUUUGCCUUGUAUCCAUCCUUGAACACGUCACAUUAGUAAAAAAAAAGUAUGAUUUAAUUUUUUUUUCUUAUACACAAUUUUCCGUAAUAUUUGAUUAUAUAUUAUACAUUUUAAUCUCUACUAAAUAGAAAAUAUAGUUUUAAUAUGAUUAAAUUUUUAUUUUUUUAUAUGGCAAGCGAGGAAAACUGACAUUCGUUGUGAUGGGAAUGUAGAUCUAAUUUUCAACCUCAACGAGAACGAGUGCGAAGAAUUUGAAACCUUCCUCAAAGGUAACCUUAAUGACAGGAAAAAGUUCCCAUUAAAAAAAAAGUUAAGGGUUGAUGUUAUGUUAUUGACUUUGUUGAGGAUGCUUUAAUUUGGUCUCAAAACCAAAUUGGUACAUAUUCUACAAAAAGCGGCAUCAAUUGGCUUCUCACCUUCAGAGACCCGGCAGCUGAUCUCAUUCCUCACCCCUCUUGGUCUUGGAUUUGGAAUUUGCAAGUUCUGAAAAAGUACAAGUUUUUAUCUGGCUUGCUUGUCAAAAUGUUGUACCAACUCUUUCCUUGCUCCACCACAGAAACAUAGCUCCCUCUCCCUCCUGCGCUCGAUGCGGAGAAGAAGAUGAAACCUUUCUGCACUGUGUCAGGGAUUGUCAUUUUUCUAGAAGCAUAUGGCAGAACAUUGGGUUUACAGGUAAUGAUUUCUUCACAGCUACAUCAUCUCACGAUUGGAUCAAGAUCGGUAUGUCUGGCUCCCUUCCGAAUAUCUUUUUCGUUGGCCUUUGGUGGGUUUGGAGACAUCGUAACUUAAUGUGCCUUAAUAAUGAAAACAUGUCUCUCAUUCGACUGUGCAACAAUAUCGUUUCAACAGCUGUAGAUAUCAAUUCGGCCUUUAAUAGUGAGGAAAAUGUGAAUCAUUCUGACCGUUUUGUGAAAUGGAACAACAAAAAUCACAUUGACUACAUUCUUAAUGUUGAUGGCAGCUGCUUAGGUACUCCUUCCCGCACUGGUUACGGUGGUAUUCUCCGUAAUAGUGCAGGCUUGUUCAUCUCAGGUUUUUCCGGUUUCAUCCCGAAUUCGACGGACAUUUUGUAGGCCAAGCUAACAGCGAUUCACCAAGGGCUGAAUAUGAUUAUUGAUUUGAAUAUGAAUGACGUCAUGUGCUACUCGGAUUCCCUUCUUGCAGUUAAUCUUAUUAUGAAUGACACUCGAGAUACCACACCUACGUCGUCCUCAUUCAGAAUAUAAAGGAUUUGCUAAUUGUUCGGAACAUCUCUCUCCAUCACACAUUAAGAUAGAGGAACCAAUGCGCGGAUUUCUUUGCUAAGUUGGGUGUUAAUUCAGAUGCUCAUCUUGUCGUCCACCAAUCGCCUCCAGCUGACCUCCUCCCUCUGCUUAGAACUGAUGCCAUAGACACUGUUUUUAUUAGGAGAUUGCUGCUUGUUUUGGUUUUUCUUUUGUUUCUUUUUUUUUUCUUCUGUUUUUCUUGCUCCUGUCAACCCUUUGUAACCAAAAAAAAAAAAAAAAACCUUAAGAAUAGUCUAUCGAGUUGCACGCAUAAUAUACUCGGUUAAAAAAAAAUGAUUUAACUUUAUAUUUUCAAAAUAGUUUUUAAUGAAAAUUUUGUAGAAACUAUUAUAAACUCAUUUAUUAUAAAUGAAAACAGUAAUUUUAACAUUUAAUAACUUUUUCUGACAAAUGACAUUUAAUAACUUAGAUAUUCAUUUUAAAUCUUUAAAACUUAAGGAUAUAAAAAAUGAAAUUAAUUUGUAUGUACCGAUGGUGUAACUUUUGUAACAUGUAUAAAAUCAUGUUUAAGACCUCUAAAAACAGAUAAUUUAAGAAUUAUCCUAAAAUCAUAUCAGGUAGAUAUUUAUAAAGAUAAUUUAAGACCCUCUAAAAAAAAGAUAAUUUAAGAACUAUCCUAAAAAGGUACCCUUGGUUUUAUUAAAUGUAGUUGGAACAAGAUACAUAUAAAUUAAAUCCAUUAAAAAUAAAGUAUUUUUUAAAAGAAGAUACUAUCUCUUGAAAAUGAUUUUUUUGUAAAAAAAAAAAAAAAAAAAUCUUGAAAAUGAUUUUUAUGAGAAGUUACUAAAAAUGUCUUCUCAUUUUAAUUUUGAUUUUUAAAUUUUUAUUAAAAAAUAAUCAUAACAAAUGAUGAAAUAUUUAAUAUGACUUUUUGUGAUAAGCUAUUUAAACAAACUUCUUAAUCAAAGUUUUCUUUGAAAAUUUCUCUUAAAAAAGUUAUAGCAAAAAGAUGGAACACUCUAAAAAUCAUUUAAAAAUUAUUAUAAACCAACUCAUAGUUUUUAUUAUGUUAAUCCUCUGGCUCCUAAGAAAAUGUGAAAAUGAAAAUUAACUCAUAGUUUAACAACAGUAAUAUAUCUCAUGGAUUAAUGUGUUAGAACGACUAAUUUUACAAUAAAUUAGAUACAAAUUAGCAGAAAAGUAUUUUUUUCAACAUAAUGCAAAACUCUCUUGAUUGGUAAAUGUCCAAGUUCAAAUUCUCUGUCAAAACAAUUAACAUACUUUUCAUUUUAUGGUUAAAAAACAAUUAACCGGUAAGCGGUGACCUUAGCGAAUACGGAGAGUUUAAAGUGAAGUGCGGUUAGUUAGUUUAGUUGUUACAGUUAGAAAGAAAUGAAGGCGGUAGGUAUUGUUGUUGGUGGUGUUCCACCGCUUUGUUCUAAUGGAAUUCGUAAACGUCAGUUCUGCGUUUCAGCCUCUUCAUCGUCGGGACCCAAAACGGUUUGCAUAUUUUGCUAUUGUUUUUCGUGUGCGAUUAUGAAAUUUUGUGUGUGUGUGUGUGUUGAUUGAAUUUGAAUUAGGUGGGAGUUGCAGCAGCUCCAAAGAGUGAAUACAAGCCAGGGGUUAUUGAUGAUUUGUUCCUCAAUUUGUUUCGCACCAAAUUGGUUCAGGUAACCAAACAAACACAAACAAGCCCCUUCUAGUUAACUUAUUUAUAGCUUUUAGAAAGAAAUGGCGUGUGAUUAUGAAUACUAUAACAGGAAGUGGGAUGGGAAUCGAAGAAACCUGGAUAUGACGGACUAAUUGAAGUUGCUAACCGUCUAAUGAUGAAAGGCACUACAAACUCCGAUACCAUAGAAGCUACGGUAAUUUUCUCUUUCAAAAUCUCGAUAACAUGUAAUAAUAAUAAUAUUUCACUUCAGAAGUGUUCCUUACAAACCAAAAUCAUGGUUUCAAAAGGUUUAUAUUCAAGUCCGUUAAUGCAAUGCACGUUUAGAUUGCAUUAUUUGAGCUUAUCGACUGACUUAAAUUUUGUGUGACUGUCUGUUUAUGAGAAGUUAUGAAAACAGAUUAUCAAAUUGUUCAUAAGGUGUUUUCAACUUAUUUUCAUAAGUUCUCUAGAGAGCUUAUGAAAACAACUUAUAUUUUAUACAAAGACAAUUUAGCGUUAUUUAUCUUUUGCUAUAGAAAUAGCUUAUGUACAAGCACUUACCAUAAUAAGCACUUGUGAGUAGUGUAUGUGUAUCCAAACAGGGCCUUAGAAAGAGAAAGUAAAUCUUUUGGUUCAAGUUAAUAAAAAAAUCAUUAGAUGAUAUAAAUGGAAACUUAUUUCGUGUAGACUUUUAUUUGAAAAAAUGAUGAGAUAAGAAUUUGAUGUUUUGGGGGAUGGAUGGCGAAGAACUCCACCAUUUUGGUUUUAAGAGUUUGGUAUAGACCAGGUAUGUUUGGGUUGGUGGCUAGAGUGGAAUGGAAUAAGCUAGUUAUCUUUGUGAAAAAAUGGACUUUACUUCAUUCAAUUCUAUUCCGUUUUAUUCCAAUCCACUCCAUUGAUUCAACUCUAUACCACAAUUCCAGACAUACCGUAAUACAAUGUUACUUAUUCUGGUCAUACAUGUACGUGUUUCAACUUUUCACAUCACUGCAAAGUAAGUCAUAACAUUUGUGAUAUAGUAAUUCACCUUAUAUGAUUGUUCUAAAUUUUGAAUGGUCAUUUGUCCAGAGCAAGUUUGUUAGCCCUUAUGUCUUGUUACAGGUACGAAUUUUGAGGUCUUUGUUUCCUCCAUUCCUUUUGGAGCUCUAUAAAAUGCUCAUAGCUCCUAUAGGCGGAGGCAAAGUUGCCGCUAUAAUGGUUGGUGAGUCUGAUAGGAUUAUGUCUCAUUUUACAAUUCUUCAAGAUGAUGUUUCCCUGAACGUAACAAGGUAGUGAGAAACUUUUUUGAGAUAUCCUAAAAUUUUUAUUUAAGUUUUGAAGCAAGGGUUACUGCACUUACUUGUCAAUGGCUCAUGGGACCCUGCAAAGUCAAUUCUGUAGAGCUACCAAAUGGAACCUCAUGGAAUAGUGGGGUGAUCACUUAUACCUUUCCUUGCGUGUUUAUGACUAAAUAAUAAUACCAUCUUGUAUUAUUGAAAGUGGUUUAUGUACUAUAAAAUGUUGUAGGUGCAUGUUGAAAGAUGCAAGUAUCUGGAGGAAAGCAAGUGUGUUGGUAUCUGCCUCAACACCUGUAAGUUUCCAACACAGGUUAGUGAUUCUUCAAACUACUAUCAUUUUUUCUUCAUGUCUUUUUGUGUCUUCACCUGCCAGUUCUCAUGGGAAGGGAUUCUAGUAAUCUAGAGUUUGACCAACGGUAACAAAAUUAUGGCCAGUGAUUGUUUCAGUCAGGAUUUGAACUCGGAUUCAACCAAACGAUUCGUCUUUAACUGAAAUGCAUUAAACAUUUGAGUCCGAUCCCUUGGUUUUUUCAUGUUAGUAUAAGAGUUAAAAAUUUGAAGUUGUUGCAUUUUAUGGAUGGUUCGAUCUGACUCUGUUUUAAAUUUAGACCUUCUUCAAGGAUCAUAUGGGAGUUCCAUUACUCAUGAAGCCCAACUUUGCUGAUUAUAGCUGUCAGGUAAUAUUACGUAAUCUCUUUUGGAGUCCAAAUUUAUAUGAUGAGGUCGCUAAUGUCACUAUUUUCUUGAACUUUUAAAUUUGCAGUUCAAAUUUGGAGUUCUUCCCCCACUUCCUGAAGAUGACACCGUCCUGAAGGAGCCUUGCUUGGAAGCAUGUCCAAAUGCUUCCCUACGAAGAAUGGCUUCCAGAAACAAAGGUGUUACUGCCUGCCCAAAGACAUGAACAUAUUUUUCUUGGGCAUAGAGCAUUGAGAACGUUGAUGUACACUUUCCAUGGCUUUUUGCACAUUCUAGCUCCAACUUAUCUUCGAAGAUGGAACUGAAGGCUCGGGUAAUGGGUCUUCCAUAACGAUAAUUCAUCUUUGACAUAGCUCGUAUUUGAAAUUAUUAAUUAAUACAACCCAUCGCUGUAAAUAUAUUGUUAAUUCAUUGGACUUCAUUGUAUAUUAUGAAUGUAUUCCCCGAAUGAAUUCAUUGAAAACAUUUUUAUCAAAACAAGAAUAUGAAUCUAUGUCAAAGUUGAUGAGGUUUAUCUUAGACACCGAAUGAGUAGCUUAGCGAUUUUUGAGUUAAGAUAUCGAAGGAGUUCUAUGUUGAAUGUCGCGUUGGAUCCCAGCUGCUAACAGUUUACCAUCCAUUAACAAUUUAAGCAUUACUUUUCCGACCUUAUGUCUUUCCUCGCGCGCCCUAUUUUUUUCCAAAAUUACCUUCGGAGCAUUCCGGAUUAUAUAAUCCGGAAUGGUGUUUUCUUUUGUUAAAGGGUGAAAAAAUGAGUAACAGAUUUUUCCGGAUUACACUUAAAAAAAGAGGGCGUGUUACAUGAUGUUUCAGAUUACAUAAUCCGGAAACCCCUUAAACACCCUUUUUCAAGGUAAAACAUUUCGGAUUAUAUAAUCCGAACUGUAUCAGCACAAAUUCUAAACAUGUGUCAUUUUAAGGACAAUAUUAAUUUUCCUAACUCUCAUCCUUCUGUUUUGGGUCAUUGUUACUUGUUCUUAGUUAAAAAUUGGGUUUUCGGGCUACUUGAUCGGAUUGCUCCGAAACUUUCCCAAAAAAUAAAAAAAAAUUCAAGCACCAUAACUCUCCUGGAAGGGACUUCUUAUGGGACUCCGCCCCUCAAAAUUCAAAAUUCCAUCGUUUAGACCCAUUUUUCAUUUUUAUUUUUCAUAUUCUCAGAAAAAUCCGAAAAAAUUUGCAUUAGUUUUAUUUGAUUUUUAGAAUUUUUUGGUGCUAUUUUUAUAUUUGUAUGAUUUUAUUUGACAGGUUUUUAGCAUUUUUUUACUUAGUCUUUUUGUUGUUUUUAAAAGCAAAACUCAAAACUGCUUAAAUAUGAGAGUUUGAUGACUGAUUAUACAUAAGAAUUGUCCGGAUUAUAAAACCCCAAAUAGUAAACAUGAAUCUGGAUUUUAAAAUCGAGAAUGCACAAGGACAAUUUUAAAAAUUUUACAGGGCGCGGCGCGGGAGAAGGUCAUAGAUGGGAAAAGUAAUAAUCUAACGAUUUAACCAUCAACCUUUGUCUAUCCAAAACAAAAACUUGGCAAUGUUGUUGUUAUUAUUUUCUGUCGGAUUCUACUUGUAAAAGCGGUAUUUGUUUCCUUUGCAUGCCCGUUAAUUCAGAUAAGCUGCUUUGAUCUGUGUUGAGUAAUCUCUCCCCUUCUGUCUCGACGCCUGUUUAUCACCGAAGGAGAAAUGCAUGUUAAUCCUGCAGCUGAAAAGAAAAUUCCAAAAGUUGGGAAAACAUUCUAUAGUUGUUUCCAUUGAGCAAGAAUAGAAGGACGAUGAAAUAACAUUGAAAAAUUAAAUUUCUCUUUCCUAAAAGAAUGACUUUUGAGAAUUGAAAAACUAGAGGUCUAAAAUAUAAUACUAUUAAAUUUGCUAAAUAUAUAAUUUGGUGGUGAUAUUCAUUCAUUCUCACACACAAAAAUACAAUACUUUUUUUUUUUUGUUAGAUAGACGAAAUGGCAAAGCCAUUAUAAAUUCACACACACAAGUGGAGGGGCGGGGGUUCGACCCCCCGUCAAGGCGUCUGGCCUAACAAUUUCGGUAUUUUACCAGUUGAGCUAGGACUUAUUGACAAAAAAAAAAGUAAUACUAUUCAUUUAAAAUUAAUAGUUGCUUUUCUUUUUAAUGACAAAGGAAAAAAGAAGAAAAAAUUUACAAACAAGGCUCGACUUCGGGCAUCAAGCCCCAACAUUGUCUCCUGUAACGCCCUUUUUUAAUAUUUAUUUAUUUUAUUGAGUUUAGAUGUCUUUUUAUAAUUUAGUCGAUUUAUUUUGAUGAGUGAUAUUUUGUUAUGUUAUAUGUUGGUAUUUAUUAGUAUAAUAUAUAUGUUAUUUGGUGUAGAAAUAUAAAUGUUAUCUGGUGUAGAAAUAUAUAUUUAUUUGGUGUAGAAAUAUAUUUGUUAUAGAGAUAUUUUUGUUAUUUGUUAUAGAAAUAUUUUAUAUUAUAUUAUAUAUAUAUAUAUAUAUAUAUAUAUAUAUAUAUAUUAGAAUAGAAAAUAAGUAGGUUAAUGAUUUAUAUAAAAGGGAGAGUUAGAAUUAGAAAAUAACAAUACGUGAAAACAGUUUUUGGGAGAAAAGGGAGAAACCAAGAUAAGAGAAGAGUCGAGAAGAGAAAGCGGUAGAAACUUGUGAUCAUCUAACCUAAGGUAAGGGUGAAACUAACCUUCUUUAAUCAUAAGUAUGUAAUCCUGAAAAAGGGUUUAAUCUUGUAGUUGUUAAUAGGUUUUGAUGUUGUAGAAUUAGGGUUUGAAACUAAAAGUGAUCGUAGAAAGAGUAGAUAAACUGAUGAAUUAGGUUGAUAAUUGGUGAAUUUCUAAAAUAAUGUUUUGGGUCAAGUUUUAUAUGGUUUGAGUGCCUUAUCAUGUAUAGAAAUGGUUGGACAAGUUUUGGAAUCAAAUUUGGGCAUUGGGAAGUCAAAAUUGGGAUUUUGGGGUGAAAAAUGGGUUUUUCCCGAGAGCUGCACAUUGACAGCAUCUUCUGUUUCAUGUUCUUGCGUCUUUUUCACACGUUUUUGUUUUGAAUUGGCCUUUAGUGUAAACAUGAAAGUUGUAGAUAAUUUUGUUAGCUUUCGAAUGGCUUUGGUUUGAUUUGAAAAUGAUUUUUGAUUUUUGAGGUAUGAUGAAAAUACUCCAAAGAGGUCUUAGUGAAAUUUUAUGAAAAUUCAGCAUAACCGUUUCUAAGUCAAUCCAAAACUUAGAGAAUAAUUACAAAACUCAAAACUAGAAGUACUAGGAGUUUAAUUAAGGGGGUUUAAGAGUAUUUAACCUAUGUUGUGAUGGAUCUAAUUGGUUUGACGUGGAUAUCUUUGUUGGAUAAGUUGAAAUACAUAUAUUAUAUGAAUGUUGUUGUUGAAUAAUUUGAAAUACAUAUAUUAUAUGAAUGUUGUUGUUGAAUAAUUUGAGGUACAUAUAUUAUGUGAAUAUUGUAUGAUAUAGAAAUAAUGUUGUUAUACCAUCCAAGUGGUUAUUAUUAAUGUUGCUAUGAUUCAAGUUGUUGUAUGUUGCUGUUUCUGCUGUUAUUGAUUAUUAAAUCAUUAAGUUGCAUAUGUUGGUCAAAGUUGUAAGUUGUUAUUCCAAGAUAUUGGAGUCAUAUGAGUUGUUGAAGUUGUCUAAGUUGUAAGUUGUUGAGUCCAUGCAUACUCAUUUGAAGUUGAGGGUUUGAUGUUCUGUGAGCUUUUGCUCUUACGUUGAGGACUUGAUGCUCUGUGAGCUUUUGCUCUUAUGUUGAGGGCUUGAUGCCUUGUGAGUGUAUUUAUGCUCUUUAUGUUGAGGGCUUGACGCCCUGGUUGGUACCACAUGCAUGAUUAAGAAGUUGAAGUUGCAUAUGUUGAGUUUAAGUUGUAGAAGUCGCAUUGUCGUUGUCGUUAAGUUGUCAUUUAUCAAUGAGUUGUUAAUAAAGAACUAUGUGAAGUAUUAAUAUUUAUUAAUCGUUGUUGUUUAUGUUGUUAUAUGAUGAUGUGAAGUAUAUGAUGUUAUAAGAUGAUGUUAUGAUGUGAAGUAUAUGAUGUUAUAAAAUGAUGUUUAUGAUGUGAUGAUUAUGUUGUUAUAUGAUGAUGUUUAUGAUUUGAUUAUUAUGUGCUAUAUGAUGUUGUAUAUAAUGUGAUGAAUAUGAAGUUAAUGAUGAUUUUUUUUGAACAAGAAGUUAAUGAUGAUUAGAAGUUGAUUGAGUUAUUAAUGAAGUCUUAUAUGAAGAGUUAAUGUUAUUAAUUGAUGAAGUUUAAGUUGUUAAAUGCAUUUGAUGAAUUAUAUGCUUAUUAUUAUUGAAUGUGAAAUCUCACCCCAUUCUGCUUGGAAAUGUUGCCCUCACGAUUGGGUAACUUGCAGGUAACCAAAAAUAGUUGCGGUCGUGAGUGGAUUCUCUCACGUGUGUCUUAGGUGCUCUGAUACUUAACGAGAUGAUAAUUUUGUUGUUGCUUUCUGUUCCUUACGUAUAAUUUUAUGAAGUUUUAUGAACAUGUUGUUGGAAUAAUUUUAUGAGAUUUUACCUUGAGGCCUUUGUGUCAAGGUUGUUUUAAACGUUGAAAUAAUUUCUGCUGCAAUAAAAUUUAAUUUGAUGAUUGAGAUAAUUAGUAAUUUUACUAUAUUCAGAUUUGAAAGAAGUGUAGCAUCCUGUUUGAGUUGUUUUACUCUGAUUUAUGCAAAAAAAUUCAAGUUGCGAAAACGGGGUGUUACCAACUCCGACUGGAAAGUCUGUCAAAAGGUCACACCUGGCCUUGAAGAGCGCUUGAGUUUGGCCAAGAAAUCCACGCAACAAUUGUCCUCUCUAAACAUAUGUUGAAAAGAAAUGUUAGGAAUAAGCUCCUUUAAAUAAAAUAAAAAGUUUUGCUAACGAAUGCACUAAGGACCUUGAUUAAAGAAUCUCUUAUUAGAAACUUUGUCUUGGAAAUCCAAGGCUUUACUUUUGUCUCAGCAAUAAUUAUACCACUUUUCAAUGUAAACCUGCCUAUUACAGAACUUUGAAUGGGCACUCGUUAACAUUCUCCAUUAAAAAUUAUCACUAGCAAGAACCGUAUAUGCGAGUGAUUUGGAUGUUGAAGAAGAUUGAAGACUUUUAAAGAAUAUGUCUUGCAAAUAACCUGCUAAAUAAAGUUGUUAUCAACAUUAAAUCAUGAUAAACCACAAAUGACUUAGUAAAAAGCGCAUCCCACAACUCCUCGUUAGAAAAGAAGCCAACCAUCCAAUCUCCCUUGUUGUCACGAAGAAAACCACCAAAACUAAUGUUACGGGAAGUAUCAUAACUUCCACUAAUAUUCAACUUAACACAUUUUUCACAACUUUCAUCAAUAUUCAACUUAACACAUUUAUCUUGAGAGGAGUCCAUUUUACGAUAUGACGAUUAAUUUGGUGCUAGAAGAAGUGAAAUAUCAAAAAAAGUUAGAUCGUUAUAUUAGUCUAUAAAAUGAAGGACAUUUUAGGUUUUCCACCAAGAAGUCUUAUUCAAAUGUGACCACAAUGGUCAAAAUUUUCAAACAUGAUGACACUUUCACACUCUAGCAAUGACACAAAACUAAACCACUAAAUCCUUUCCAAUCCUUUCCCAAAGCAAAACCCAGAAAAAGAAAGAAUAAACACACAAGACACACAGGGAUAGUUGUAAACAGUACCAAACUCUCCCACUGAUUCAACUUCCUCAUGCAAGCACACACUUCACUUCCCCAAUUCAAAAUCCCCCCUUUUCCUUUUUGAAUCCAAUCCAAAUUCCCUUAGAUCCAUCUCAUCCCAAAAAUCCCCCCUUUUUCUUCAAUGGGUAAUUAUACUUUUCAUUACAACAAUAACCAAUCUUAAUUUAAUGCCUCAUCAUACUAUAUGAUAUAUAUUUACGCUGAUUCAGUAUUUUUCACAAUUGAUGCAGGUGGGUUUGAAAUGGGUCAAUGCAUAUUGCUGAAAAGAGUGUUUGUGUUCUUAUUUAGUACAGUGUUUAUAGUUGAAUGUGGUGCAUAUGAUACAACACUAGAAGCUUCUCAUUUAUCUAUUUCCCCUAUGCAUGCAAUUCCUUCUGUUAUGGCUCAUCCACCAUUGUCCCCUUAUCUUUCCAGUAAGCCAUUACACUCUUUUGCAAUAAAAAGAAAAUUAUGGGUCUGUUUACUUUCUAUAAAUAUUUUCAAUUUUCAUUCUCAAAAAUACUAAUUUGUUUUAGGGUUAAAUACGGAUCUGCCGUGUCAGCUUCCGUUAAUGGGAGUUAAUUAGUUGGGAUUAAUUUUGAAGGCGGAAAAGUUUAUAGGGAUCAUCAUUCAAUGAAAUUUUUUAGAGGGACUAAAAAUGAAAAUUGAUGUAUUUAGAAGGAUCAAAAAGAUAUUUAACCGUUUAUUUUAAAUUGCUAACAAUAAGAUGAUGGACUCCGUUGUGAGUUGUGACAUAGAAAAGAUGGAAGCCUUUGUAGGAAGACUGCAUUUUUGGAAAUAAUGGAAACUUUUGAAAAUGGUUAGCAUUUUCUUUUACAAUUUUUUAUUUGGUAAAAGAAAAUGCUGGGAAAAAUACUGAAUCUUGUUUUUUGUAAUCUUUUUUUAAGUUUAAGUGAAAAUGAAAAAUCAAAGAAUGCUAGUAAAGGGAUUUUUUUUUUCCCGAUUUCUAAUGCUGCUUUCCAUUAAUUAGAAUAUGUUGUUGUAAAUUUGUUUUGCUAUAUGACUUAGUAUGAUUUUUUUAUUCGACCAGAUUGUUGUCAAAAAGACAUGGUGUUGAAACGAGGUAGUGAAGGCUGCCAUUGUGUUUUUCCUAUAAAGUUAGACCUGCUACUUUUGAAUGUCUCGGAAAACCCCGACUGGAAUCUUUUUCUUGAUGAAUUGGCCGCACAAUUGGAGAUGCGUGCUACAGAAAUUGAGCUGAUAAACUUUUAUGUGCACAGCUUAUCGACUUGGAAUAUAUCAAUGUAUAUCACUCCGCGAAAAGAGAUCAGUUUCUCUGCCAAGGAAGCAUCUAAAAUAAACUCCUCCCUUUUAUUUCAUAAGGUUCGACUAGACAGUAGAUUCGUGGGUGAUUACAGGGUUCUCAAUUUGACCUGGUUUAAACCUCCAACUCCUUCUAAAGGUAAAUUGGUCUGAAUUUCUGAAAUAUGUCACCACAGAUUGUGAUCUUUUGGUGUUCAUAAUAUUUGAAAAGUACUUGCAAUGAGAUCAUCAUUGUACAAAAAAUAUAUAGUCAAUUUUUUUCUCACUUGGUAUUGAAACCUUUGUUAUGUAUGUAAUCUUGCUGUUUUAAAAACUUAGACUGUAUUAUUUUCAUGUAUAUGGAUUACUUGUCCAUUUGUUUUGUUUCAUUGUUACUUCACUUCUAUGCGGUUAGGAAAGAAAGAAAAAUAUAUUUACUCACCAUGGCUUCUUGACUUAUUCUGAUUUUUCCUGCUAGCCCAAAUCUUGUAAUUCUGAUGCUCAUGAAAAUCUUAUGCUGCAUUGUUCUUUAUCAAACUUAAAUCUGGAUUUUUGACUGUACAUAGUUAAAUAUUUAUGUCAUAGCAAUGCUUAGAAGAUUUUAGCCAUCAUAGAUUUGCACCUUGUAUACGUUCACCGUUAAAAGAUGUUACUGCCUCUCAGUCUUCCUUGUUCCCGAAUUUUAUAUAACUCAUUUAGUUAGUCAUGUUUAAUUUUAUAGCAACAUUACUGAAUACUGUUAGGUUUUUUGCUCAUUCAAAGCUUUAGACCAUUUAAGCAACUGCAUCUAUUUUGCAUAGUACCGGAGACUUUUCUGUGACUACCGAUAGAAGUUGAAUAGCAAUCAUGUGCCUCCUUCUGGGGGUGGAUCCCUGGAUAGUGGGUCUAAGAAUAAAUACCUAUGCAUUUAUGUAUUAUAAUGUAUCUUUGCAUUCUACUGCAGCUCCUACUUUUGCUGCAUCAACUGUGAAAACUCCUGAGAGACGAGUACCUACAGCUACAUCAUCGAGUACUUCAGACAGGGGAAGGCAUUCAAAUUUGCUUGUUAUCCUUGGAAUUGUUACUGGGAUACUCAUCAUGUCCAUUAUCUGUGUACUUAUACUUUGUUUAUGCACGCUGAGGCCAAAAACAAAAAGACCUACAGAAACUGGCAAGUUUUCUAGUUGUGAUUGUUAUUGUAUUUAUUUUUCAUUUUUGCAUUUCUAUAACAGCAUUCUAUUGGUGAAAACUGCUAUAAGUUAUACACUUGGUCACCUUUCUUGAUUUGGAUAUCAUAAAGGCAGUGAGUGUAACAGUUAAAUCGAGGCAAAUUGGGUUCCUUUCAAAGAAAAACUACUUCAUGACACAAGCAGUUUAUGGAUAGAAAGUUUUCUGGACUGAAGCAAAUUCAUUGCUUUUAUUUAGCACAAGUAUUUUCAAAGAAGUUUGUAGACUAGAGAAAUUUUUAUUAGAUUUGAAUUUGAACCUGUAUGAAUUUUUUGUGAUUGAUCAAGAAACUUGAUUAAGUGUACAAUUUUAUCUAUUGAAUUGGGACUAGAAAAUUGAUGCACACUUACAAACAAUAUUAUUUCUAUUAUCGUCUGUAAAAUGUGUGGUAUAUACUUUGAUGCCUGCUACUGACACUUUGCUUUAUUUCCUGCAGAAAAGCCAAGGAUAGAACAUGUAGUUUCAUCUGUUGCAUCACAUCGCCACCCAACCAGUACACGAUUUAUUUCUUAUGAAGAUCUUAGAGAAGCAACAAAUAAUUUUGAACCAGCAAGUGUACUUGGAGAAGGAGGUUUUGGUAGAGUUUUUAAAGGUGUUUUGAAUGAUGGAACUGCUGUUGCGAUUAAGAGGCUUACUAAUGGAGGGCAGCAGGGUGACAAAGAGCUUUUGGUUGAGGUUGAGAUGCUUAGCCGGCUGCAUCACCGUAACCUUGUAAAACUAGUUGGAUACUAUAGCAAUCGUGACUCAUCACAAAACCUACUUUGCUAUGAGCUUGUCCCAAAUGGAAGUUUGGAGGCCUGGCUUCACGGUAUUGUAAUUUCUCGAAUAAUGGGUUCAGUUUUUUAAUCUUGAAUGACCUGUUACAUUGAUAGUUAUUUUCAGAAAUAAUUUCAUUAUGCUUAAUUGAAAUUUUCCCUGAUUUCCCUAGGUCCCUUGGGAAUAAAUUGCUCUCUGGAUUGGGACACCAGGAUGAAGAUUGCACUUGAUGCUGCAAGAGGACUUGCUUACCUGCAUGAAGAUUCACAGCCAUGUGUCAUACACAGAGAUUUCAAGGCAUCUAAUAUAUUGCUUGAGAACAACUUUCAUGCUAAAGUUGCUGAUUUUGGUCUAGCUAAACUAGCACCUGAAGGCAGAGUUAAUUAUCUGUCUACUCGAGUUAUGGGCACAUUUGGGUUAGUUUCAUUCUUUUCUUUCUUUCACUUUUAUUUCCGUUUGAUCUAUAGUGAAGAUUUAAGAUGAAAUGAAACUAUUAUGUAGGUAUGUAGCACCUGAGUAUGCUAUGACUGGACACCUACUCGUUAAAAGCGAUGUUUAUAGCUAUGGGGUUGUCUUGUUAGAAUUGUUGACCGGAAGGAAACCUGUGGAAAUGUCACAGCCAACUGGACAAGAGAAUCUUGUAACUUGGGUUAGAUUCAUAACUCAACAUUUCCUCAUUAUUCUCAUUCAGUUCAAACUCGAAAGCAUUUCCACCUGGUUUCUGUUGGAAAUGAUUGGAAUAUGAAACUAAAUUCGUCCUUUGUAGUUUACACUUGAUAGGUCAUAGAAAAUAAUUUACCAAACUAUACUUUCAGGCAAGGCCAAUUCUUAGAGUUAAGGAGCAGUUAGAAGAACUUGCUGAUCCAAGGCUUGGGGGAAGGUAUCCAAAGGAAGAUUUUUUCCGUGUUUGCACUAUUGCUGCAGCCUGUGUUGCACCUGAAGCAAAUCAACGACCUACAAUGGGGGAAGUGGUACAGUCACUUAAAAUGGUUCAGCGCAUCACAGAAAAUUAUGAUCCUGCAUUACCGUCAUCCAACACAAGGCCCAACCUGAGACAGUCCUCUGCCACUUAUGACUCUGAUGGGGCAUCUUCAAUGUUUUCUUCUGGUCCUUAUUCUGGUCUAAGUGCCUUUGACUAUGAUAACAUUUCUAGGACAGCUGUUUUCUCUGAAGAUCUUCAUGAAGGACGAUGAAUGUAGUUUGAAAUGCAAGCUAACCAUGAACCGGCAAACAAUCCAAAUGUUUUUACAUCUUAAUUUAGAGAUCUGUUAUUUAUCAUGGCUGAAGGUGGAUGGAACCAUACCCGAUGGGCAAUGAAGGUUUAUAUGUGUUGUUGCUGGUUCGCUAGGAAGGGGAUUCUUCUGUUGUCGUUUUCGCCAUCCUCCACGGUAAACCACAGUCCUGUUCUCCCUUAAGUGACAGUAGUUCCAAGUGGAUAAAAUUUUGUACAUAUGUGCAUUGUAGUAUGUUACUUUGUUUUUCAGAUCUAUAUACUAAUAAGAAAGUAAAUGUCCAUUGAAUUUACCAUUUUGCCCCUAUAAGGGGCAAUUUGGUAAUCUACUUAUUGGUUAAGUUUUUUUUUUUAAAAUGGCCUAUGAAUUUCCCUUUUUGCCCCUAACCAAUUUUUUUUAAUUAUUUUCUAAUUUUUAUAUUUUUAAUAACUUUUAAUUAUUUUCCAAUUUUUAUAUUUUUAACUUUUUCAAUUUUUUAUCCCAAAUUCAGUUGUUUCUACAUUGCCGUUGUGGGAGAUUAAGGUAUCGUUUGACCCGACAUUUUUCAAACUUCUCUACAGUUUUAAAGAGAAGUUAGGUCAAACACAAUAUCAAUUAAGUACUUACUAAAAAAAAUACUUUUUUUGAACGCAUAAAAUUGAAUGGAAUGAGCUUUGACCAGAAGGUGUUGAAUGUUACUUUAAAAAACUACUUCUCGACAAUUUAUUUCACAAACAUCUCUUUUCAACUUACGCCGAGAACCUUUUCUUUAUUUUUUAAUAUUAUAUAUUUUUUUUAACAAUGGCCUAUGAAUUUUCUAACCAAUUUUUUUUAAUUAUUUUAUAAUUUUUAUAUUUUUAAUAACUUUUAAUUAUUUUCCAAUUUUUAUAUUUUUAACUCUUUCAAUUUUUUCUCCCAAAUUCAGUUGUUUCUACAUUUCCGUUGUGGAAGAUUAAGGUAUCGUUUGACCCGACAUUUUUCAAACUUCUCUACAUUUUUAAGAAGUUAGGUCAAACACAAUAUCAAUUAAGUACUUACUAAAAAAAGUACUUUUAAAACAAAUAGGUUAAAUCUAGGGUUAAUAUUGCAUCACCGGUUAACAUUUAGAAAUAAGAGAUGACAUUUUGCAUAAAUUAAAUAUAGGGUUAAUAUAGUAAAGUCACACGAAAAAAUUAGGUUAAAUCUAGGGUUAAUAUUGCGUCACGGGUUAACUUUUAUAAAUAAGAGAUGACAUUUUGCAUAAAUUAAAUCUAGGGUUAAUAUAAUUUGUUUAGUAAAAUUAAGGAGAAAAAUUAGAAGCGAUUUGUUCAUUUUGAUUUCCCUAACAAUUAACGUUAACAUUUUGAUUAAAUUAAAUAGUGUUAAUACAAUAAAAUUAAGUAAAGAAGUUAGGUUAAUUCUAGGGCAAAAUUUUGCGUCUGGGUUAACUUUAAGAAAUAAAAUAAAAUAGGUUAAGUAUAACAAGACGGGUUAACAUUUAUAAGUAAGAGAUUAAGUUAAGUAUAGUUAGACGGGUUAACGGUUAUUCCUUUCCAAAAAAAACAUCAUAUAAUUGGGAACAUAUAUACUUUUAUUUUACUUUAGAUAAACAUUAAAUGCAAAAGUGUGGAGGGAAAAAUUAGGUUAAAAUUAGAGAUGACAUUUUGCAUAAAUUAAACCUAGGGUUAAUAUAGUAAAGUCGCACGAAAAAAUAGGUUAAAUCUAGGGUUAAUAUUGCAUCACGGAUUAACAUUUAGAAAUAAGAGAUGACAUUUUACAUAAAUUAAAUAUAGGGUUAAUAUAGUAAAGUCACACAAAAAAAUUAGGUUAAAUCUAGGGUUAAUAUUGCGUCACGGGUUAACAUUUAAAAUUAAGAUAUGACAUUUUGCAUAAAUUAAAUCUAGGGUUAAUAUAGUAAAGUCACACGAAAAAAUUAGUUUAAAUCUAGGGUUAAUAUUGCAUCACGGGUUAACGUUUAUAAAUAAGAGAUGACAUUUUGCAUAAAUUAAAUCUAGGAUUAAUAUAAUUUGUUUAGUAAAAUUAAGGAGAAAAAUUAGAAGCGAUUUGUUUAUUUUGAUUUCCCUAACAAUUAACGUUAACAUUUUGAUUAAAUUAAAUAGGGUUAAUACAGUAAAAUUAAGCAAAGAAGUUAGGUUAAAUCUUGGGCAAAAUUUUGCGUUCGAGUUAAUUUUAAGGAAUAAGAUAUUAUAAUAGUUGUUAUGUUAUUUUUCAUGUAGUUUUUAGGCUCUAUGUUGCAAAAUUUUGGUUUACGCAGCUUUGAUUUUCACAUUUAUAAAUGACAACAAUUUUCUGUAAUUUAUAAGAUUUUUUCCUUCGAAACUAAAUUUUAAAAAAAUACGUUAUUCAACCCGUGCGAAGCACGGGUUUGUAACUAGUUGACUUUAGAAAAAAUAAUCUUAAUUAAAAAGAAAAAUCCGUAUUGUUUCAAUAUCAUUUUUGGCUUCCUCAAUUUAUCCAUAUUAUCAUCAUAACCAGAUAUAUGCCCUUUAGGUGGUAUAUUAUUCAGGCUCAGUAGGAAAUAUGUGGUCUAUAUUAAGGCCUAAAAUUAUCAUACUUUAAAGAAUUGUAAAAUUUAUUAUUGAUUUAAAUUAUUAAAAAUAAUUUCUAUGAAUACAAUAAUGAUUUUUUUGAAGAAUAUGAAUACAAUAAUGACGUUGAUUGGUUUCAAAUUUUUAUCUGAAUAUAUAAUAUUUUAUUCUUUAUUUUUGUAUUAUUGAUCGCUUAUAUAUUAUAUAUUCCAAUUUUUUGUUCUAUAUAUGCUGAUAAAUUAUCAUUCCCCUUAUCUCCUAAUUUUGUAUUACUAAAUUACACAGUCUAUCAUGCAAUGAGAGGAAUGUUAGUUAGAAUUAUAAAACUUGAAUCGUAAAUUUAGAAAAAUUAAAUAAAGGUGAAUUAGUUUGUUGUAUUAAAUUUCAAUUUUAGAUCAUUUAGUUUACCAAGCCAACCUGUCUCUCUAUUUUAUAAUAUUUUUCAAACUUUGUGUUUUUACCUCUCCAAAUGAAAUAAAUGAAGGUAAUUAUAAAUGGAGUGGAUACUAACUAUGUGUAAGGUUCUAUGUAUUUGUACGGACGACAAUUAAUGUCAAGAGUACCGGCCUUUUUUUUUUUGUUUUGACAGAAAGAAUACCAACCUUUUAGGUUGCUAUUAUUAUGCAGAAUCUAAUGAGAGCCUAUAAUCAAAAACUGCAAAGGUGCCAAAAUUUGUGUGGAAAUUCUCUUUCCACCUACAACAAUAAAACCCAACCCUUACAACCUGAGUUUCACCGUCUCUCUUUGUCUCUGCUCUUUGAAUAUUUUUUGAAGAGAAGAGACAAUGGAUUCUAGGUUCAAUAAAAGCCUCCUUGUCAUCCUAUCCUUCUCUUCUCUUCUUCUAUCUUCCAAUGCCGUCCCAUCAACUCACAUUUCCACAAGUGUCCCAGCCCCAGCCCCUUCAAUCCACUAUGUUGAUUACAUUCUCCCGAAAAGAAAACCGAACGCUGGUAUUGGUCUGUUUGAGAAUUCUGUCCCGCUUAAAAAACAGAACUCUGCUUCCGUUUCUCCAGAUGAUUCCGAUUUUCAGUUUGAAGAUCCAAACUUGCUAGGAUCCAUUGCAGCAGACGUUGCCAAGAAUGCUGAUCCUGAGAUCGUAAAAUUAUGUGUCAACGGAGAAAAUCCAGCUCUUUGUGCUGCAACCAUUUCAUCACUCUUGAAAGGUCCUUUUGACCCCCUCAAGGCACUUGAGAUUGAGGUUGAUUUCACCCUCAAACAAGCCAAGAGUGUAGCUGCUAUCAUUACAGCGUUGCUUAAUGACCCUAACACCGACAAAAAAGCCAUGAAAGCUCUUCAGAUAUGCCAAAUACAAUACAAUUCAAUGCUGGAUGCAAUCAAUGAGACAGUUGAGUUACUUGGACAACACAAUGUCGUGGACUCUUUUUACAAGUUCAGUUCUGUGAUAUCAUACAAAACUACAUGUGAGGAUGCUUUUGUGAAAUCUCCUGGAGUUGAAAUACCAUUUUCUCAGGAUUCACGUACUCUAUUUGAUUUGGGUGGUAAUUGUUUGGGCAUCAUGAACACUUUAGUUAAUAACCACAAGUUUUAAAUUAAUUGGUUCAUGAAAUGGGAGAUCAUGACAUGGGAGGGAGAAGAAGGUGAUGACUGGUGAGGUUGUAUGAUUGUUAACACUAUGUUUUGUACCAUUUUCAUAUUGUUAUAUAUGCAAUGAUACUAUUAUCAUAAUAUAUAUUGAUGACUAAUAUACAUGCUUAUACUAUGAUUGCAAGUUCAUUAGAGACAAGCUUAACGUGUAAUUGGCACGUCUGUCCUAAGAAUAGAUCAAUAUAAUCAUUUUACCAAUUGCGUGCGUUUGAAGGAAUCUUGUUUCUCCUAACCACUUCAAUGCAAUUGCUAGGCUUAGGCUAUAUAUAAAUAUCCUAAUUCUUUACAAGCAAACAAUAAGGAGGCUUACUACCUUUCAAAAAAAAUAAUAAUAAGGAGGCUUGGUAGCAAAAAAAAUGAUAUUUUUUGGUGAUAAAAAAAAAUGAAAUAACAAUAUGGAUAUAUAUGAUCUUUCGUCAUAUAAAUAUAUAUUUUAGAGAGAGAUUCUUCAUGUUCUCUCUAAAUUCUAUUUUUCCUUCCCUCAUCUAAGAAGAUGGUUUUAUGUCAUUUUUUAAUUUAGAAUCAAUCAAUCAUAUGCAUUUUUUGGUCAUAAAAAUCCGUAUAGUUUAUCAUUUUCAGCUUCCUCAUUUUAUCCAUAUCUUGAUAUAUAUGCCCUUGGGACUGAAAUUGGCCUAAAAGUCAUUUUGGCUCCUCUUUAGGUGGUCUAUAAUUCAGGCUCAAUAGGAAAUAUGUACAUUUAGGCCCAAAAAUAUCAUACUUUAAAGAAUUAUAAAAUUUAUUUCUUAUUGAUUUAAAUUAUUAAAAAUAAUUUCUAUGAAUACAAUAAUGGUGAUGACUGGUUUCUAAUUUUUUCUUAUUGGUCGCUAUAUCUUCCAAUAUUCCGUUCUAUAUAUAUUGAUAAAUUAUUAGUCUCCUUAUCUCCUAAUUUUGUAUUCCUAAAUUACGCAGGCAAAUCAUGCAAUGAGAGUGGAAUGUUAGAAUUAUUUGAUUUUAAAACUUCAAUUAUAAUCCAAAAAAUUCAGGGAAAAAGUAAAUAAAAGUGAAUUAGUUUCAUUAUAUUAAAUUUCAAUUAUAGUUCAAUAGUUUACCAAGUCAACCUGUCUCUUUCUAUAUAUGCAUGUAACCUUGUGUAAGGUUCUAAGUAUGUGUACGGACGACAAUUACUGAUAAGAAUACCAACCUUUUAGGUUACUAUUAUUAUGCAAAAUAUAAUGAGAGCCUAUGAUUAAUAACUGAAAAAAGUGUCAAAAUUUGUGUGGAAAUUCUGUUUCCACCUACAAAAAUUAAACUCGACCCUUAUAAACAAGAGUCAUAUGUUACAACCUGAGUUUUACGGUCUCCAUUUGUCUCUCCUCUUUGAAUAUUUUUCGAAGAGAAGAGAUGAUGGAUUUCAAUAAAAGCCUCCUUAUCAUCCUAUCCUUCUCUUCUCUUCUUAUAUUUUCCAAUGCCGUCCCAUCAACUCGCAUUGAUGAUUCCAUUUCCACAACUGUCCCAACCCCAACCCCUUCAAGCGAAGUUAUUGAUUACAUUGUCCCAGAGCAAACAGACUUUGGUCUCAAUAUGCCAGAGAAUUCCGCUUCUCCAGAUGAUUUCGUUUUUCGAUUAGAGGAUCCAAACUUGCUAGGAACUGUUUCAGAAGACAUUGCCAAGAAUGCCGAUCCUGAGAUCGUAAAAUUAUGUGUCGACGGAGAAAGUCCAUCUCUUUGUGCUGCAACUAUUUCAUCACUCUUGAAAGGUCCUUUUGACCCCCUCAAGGCACUUGAGAUUGAGGUUGAUCUCACCCUCCAACAAGCCAAGAGUGUAGCUGCUAUCAUUACAGAGUUGCUUAAAGACCCUAGUACCGACAAAAAAGCAGUCAAGGCUCUCGAGAUAUGCCAAACACAAUACAAAUCAAUGCUGGAUGCAAUCAAUGAGACAGUUGAGUUACUUGGACAACACAAUGUCGUGGACUCUUUUUACAAGUUCAGUUCUGUGAUAUCAUACAAAACUACAUGUGAGGAUGCUUUUGUGAAAUCUCCUGGAGUUGAAAUGCCAUUUUCUCGGGAUUCAAGUACUCUAUUUGAUUUGGGUGGUAAUUGUUUGGGCAUCAUGAACACUUUAGUUAAUAACCACAAGAUUUAAAUAAAUUAGUUCAUGAAAUGGGAGAGCAUGGCAUGGGAGGGAGAAGGAGGUGGUGACUGGUGAGGCUAUAUCUCAUUAGUAACACUAUGUUAUGUACCCUUUUCAUAUUGUUAUGCAAUACGAUGAUAUUAUCAUAAUAUGUAUAUUGAUGACUAAUAUACAUCGGAAAUGAUAAAGUUCCCGAAAAAAUUAAUAUAGAUGCCUAUACUAUGAUUGCAAGUUCAAGGAUCUUAAUUAGGGUAGAGUAUGUAUGUUUUGCAAAAAUGGAUAACGCAUUCCCAUUAAAAUUUGGAAACAAUUUAGAUAAAUAACAUAAUUUAAAUAUGUGGUUAAUUAUGUUGAGUAAAAAGUUAAUGAAUAUUAUAUGAAUAACUAGUGUUUGAACUGGCAUUUUGUGUCCAUUUGUUUGUUUUUUUAUUAUUGCAUUAAUACAUGAACAAAUUAUAUUUAUCUUUUUCAAUACACAUAUAAUAUAAUAAAUAUAAUAUAGAUUUUUAUCUUUUUGAAUGACACAAAAAUCUAACAUUUUUAUAUGUAAAUUUGUUUAAAGGUAUAGUUGAAAGUGAAAAAGUGAACACAAAACUAUGUAUUUUUUCAAUAUAUAGUAUCAAUGACAAUGAUCAUUGAAAAAUUAUACAUAAGUGAAAAAGUUAAAUUUUGAACUCGAAUCAUGACAUCCGUCAAACAAUUUCGACAAUUAUGAUAGUUGAGCUAGUGCUUAUGGACCAACUCAUUAAAUAAUUACUCGAUACAAUUAACCACAAUAUUUAAUUUGAUUAUAAGGUAGUAGUCAUUUUGAUCCUUAAACGUGUAACGAGUAGUCACAAUAGUCCCUCAUUGUAUUGAAAUUACAAAAUAGUUCAUGAUUGUGCGCUUUAUUAGUCAAAAUAAUUCUUAAUGUCAAAAUAGUCUCUCAAUGCUGACAUUAACUUAUGAGGAUUGAUAUGACAGUAAGUAUAUUGAGAGAUUAAUAUGACAAUAUUAAUGAAACAUUUCAAUGCCAAAGACUAUUUUGAUUAACGAAAUGUACAAUAAGACUAUUUUGAAAUUUUGAUACACUUGAGUAAUUGUUAUGGCUAUUCGUUACACAUUCAGAUACCAAAUUCAUUAUUACCCUUUGAUUAUUAAUGAAUAUUAAUAUGAAAAUGCUAACAAGUUCCCUUAGACCAUCUCCGUAUAUUGAGAGUGUAUUAACUAUUUAAGACCCGGUGCCUAUUAGGUACCUCCAAUGGGGGGAAUCUUUUUCAGGGUCUUAUAAGACCCGGAAUCUUAUUUAAGACUCAUACUUUUAAGCGGGACUCGUACUCUUUUAAUAUUAAAAAAUUAAAAUAUAAUGAUAUAAAGUUAUUAAUAGUUUGAGUGAUCGAGUGCUUAUUAGGUACUACUAUUAAAAAAUUAUAAAUGAGUGAUAUGUACACGUGAGACCCAUUUAAGAACCCAAAAAUGAGUGUCUCCAUUGUGGGUGCUCUUAGGACAUUGUUUAAGCAUCUAAAAAUAAUACUUUUACAUUGAAAAUUGUGUAAUUAUGACUUUUAUAUAUGUUUGACUUGAAUUUUCAAGACAAACUUCCCUUUUUGUUGGUUCCUUAAACAAUGUCGUUAAAGGCACUCGUUAGCACGACCAAUAUUAAUAUAAUAGGUAAACAAAUUCUAACAAGUGCACUAAUAACACUUUUAAAAGUUUAAAUAAUAAGAUUUAUGAAAAAAAUAAUCUUAAUUAAAAUGUUUAAUUUUUUAAAGGCUUAAAUGUUCUUUUGGUCCCUUGACUAUUUAAUUGGAAUCGCUUUGGUCCCUUAACUAAAAAAAAGAUUGUUUAAAGAUUUUAUGUUUUUUUUAGUCUCGUUUUGGUCCCUUCUGUUAGGUUUCCGUUAGUUUUAAUAAAAAAACGUUAAGUGUGGACACGUGUCACCUUGUCAUUGGUUAACUCUGGACACGUGUCACUUUGUCAUUGGCUUUGAGAUUAUUAUUUAAAAAUAAAAAAUAAAAAAGUCAGAGCCAAUUAUAAGGUGACACGUGUCCAGGAGUUAACUUUUUUUUAAAACCCUAACGGAAACCUAACAGAAGAGACCAAAACGAGACUAAAAAAAAAACUUAAAAUCCUCAAACAAUCUUUUUUUUAGUUAAGAGACCAAGGUGAUACCAAUUAAAUAAGGUGAUACCAAUUAAAUAGUUAAGAGACCAAAAGAGCAUUUAAGCGCUUUUUUUAAAUAAAUAAAUUUCUUUAUUUGGGAUGAAUUUGAAAUAGAACAUUCUAGUCUUCUAAAGAAAAGCCCAACAGAUCUCUCUCUUUAAAACCCUAACCCUCACAUUCACAAUCGUAGAAUAGUUAGCCGCAACAUGGAUCCUAGAUAAUUCCCGGAUCGCUUUCUAGGGUUUUUCAAUCACAAUGCAAAGUUUGUUUUUUAUUUUCAUUGUUUAUGUUUUAUUUUAGUUUCUGGGUUGUUGUUUAAUCUCUAUGUUCCUUUUGUUCUAAACUUUUGAUUUUUGAUAUCUGAAACACAAAUUGGACUGUGAAGAUUUCUGUGAUAGGUCUCGUUCGUCGUAAUUGGUCUUUUUCGACCUUGCCGACCAUCCUGUUAUAUCACCACCCAUAUUCUGAGUCCUUUCUUCAUAAUCACAAUUACUUAUUUUUAUUUGAAAUUAUAAAUUUUUGUUGAUUUUUCAUUCUUAUUUUUUAACUUUUUAUAACUUUUGAUAUUGUUAUUGUUAUUGUUAUUUUUGUGUGCUACUUAUUUUUCUUAUGACGUAGUGCAUGAUUUUUAUGCCAAUUUUUGGAUCAUUUUCAUAUGGUCAUAUGAUUAUUGUCUAUGAUGAUAUCUUGAAGGCUUGUUUCUCAAAACAUUCGCAGUGGCCGCCUAAGAGCUUUCGCCUUCGCCAGGCUUGAGAGCUAGUGCUGUUUUAUCCUUCCUUGGAUGUCUGAGACAAUGUCUGUUUGAAUAUCUUGUGUUCAUAUUACACCGAUUUGUCUUGUUUCUCUUGAUUGGAGAAAUUGUUUAUUAGUAGUUAGCACAAUUUUUUGUUUUUUUUUUGGGCAAUGUUAAAAGAUCCAAUACUUGCUUAAGACUUGAAAUUGUGUCUGCAAAGUUGAUCUUGUGUCUCGUCUUGUUCAUGUAAAUUGAACAAUGACAAUUUUUGAUGUUUUGUUUAUUUGAUUAUAAAUGACCAAUGAUGAUAAAUCUAAGGCUUGUUUCUCAAAACAUUCGCAGUGGCCGCCUAAGAACUUUCGCCUUUCGCCGGGCUUGAGAGUUAAUGCUGCUAUUUCCUUCCUUGGAUGUCUGAGGUCAAAUUAUUCUCUUGUGAUUUUGUUGAUGUAUGUGUUUACUACUACAAUUGAAACAGAGAAUGUAUUUUGAAUGAGUCAGGAGUUAAUCUAAUUGUUGUUUUGAUUGAUAUAAAAAAUUUGAUGUCAUUGAUUUGAUUCCCUUUUGAUUGCAUAAACAAUCUGUGAUUCACAAUUAUGAUCAACUUUGAUGACAUGUGUUUUACCAAGUCUAUAACUCAAUGAUGAUAAAUCUAAGGCUUGUUUCUCAAAACAUUCGCAGUGGCUGCCUAAUAGCUUUCGCCUUCGCCAGGCUUGAGAGCUAAUGCAGUUACUUUCCUUCCUUGGAUGUCUGAGGUUAAUUUCUAUUUGCUUUUGGGUUGAUUUGCAAGUCUGGUGAUGUGUUCUAAUCAUCUAAUUAGCAUGUCAAUAGCAUGUAUUGCUAUGAAAGAGUGAUGGAUUGCAUUUUCUUUUUGGUAAUAGAUGCAUUACAUGUUUCAUUCUUAAUUUAUAUUUAUGUAAUGAGAUAAUUUUGUUUCGUGUCCACUUGUUUUCCACAUUUCCAAUCUUUCGGACUAUGAAACACAAUUCCUACAAUGAAAUCUUUUAUACUCUUCACACAUCUGCAAUUCAGUAUACAAGAAAAGUUUAAGUUAAAAUGAAAUAUUAUUGUUAAUCCCAACUUACUAACAGUUAUUGUCAACAUCUUUGAAAUCAUGCAUCCAAUUAAGAGUAUAACGAGAAUUUAGACAGUUUCAGGGAUGAGACAUCCAUCAAUAUUGGAAGUUGAAGAAUAUUUGAUUUCCUUGACUUGCAGCAAUUUGUUACAUUCUAAACUUUGACAUUACAACUAUGGUUUCUGUAUUGUCUAAGUACAGAAUGCCCUUGUAUGUACCCAUAAUUGGUUGAAUAGUUUUAAAGAUGUUGUACCUCUUGGCAAGUUAUAUUAGUAAGAGAAAUGUUAAAAGGGUACUCUGAUGCACUCGUUAACAAAAUCCGUUCAUUUUUACUUGCAAUUUAGUAAAGAUGUCAUUGUCUGUGCGAGAUUUAGCACUCAAUGGACUGAAUAUGGUGAUGUGUCACCAUUUUCUCAACAACUAAUUUGCAUGCAGGUCACUAAUUUGACGGUCAAACAGUUUUUUAUUCUAAUUUAAACAUAAUCAAGACGAACAAAAGAAAAUGAAAAUCCAAUACAUGCAUGUCCUUGGAACAGCCCCAAAUGAAUGUGGGCGAGAAGAAAAGAGAUGAUCACACUCUAAUCUUUACCACCAGCUUCGUAAGUAAUGAAAUUAAGGAGAAGAUUAUUUGGAUUAUGAAAUGUAGACAUGCAACUGUUUGUUGUUUUUUGUCUCCAUGAAGACAUUGAAUAUAGGCGGAACACAUAAAAAAAACUUAUAAAAACACCACACGGACGCCAUUUAACUCAUGGCUAUCACUAACAUCGAUAAAAAAAAAUUAACCGUUUAAAUCAAAUUCAACGCCUAAGUUAAAGCUAACUCUCCAACCUUUCUCAUGAAUGACCACAAAAACUAAAUCCAAUCACCUAACAACUUAUGCUCACCAAACCACUCCAAAAAACAAUCCAACCGAUCAAAAUCCUUCAAAACAGAGCCUCAUAUUCUCAUCGAGCCCAGUUAAACAUUUGGAAAUGACUUAUUUCAACACUCCUAUGGGUUCCACCACCACUUGACCCCCGAGGAAGAAGACAACAUAACAAGCCUAAAAACUUGAGAGUUAUAAUUGCAUUUGUUUGUCGUCUAUUACACUCCACCCAAUAGUUUCUAAAAUGAGAAGCAAAUAAGUUUCUUCAUGUUGAGAUGGUAUUUCUAAACUCUUGUAGCAACUACAUACGUAUUGUGGAAAACAUUUGUCGUCAUUUUGAAAUAUAGCACAAAGUCGACGUUAUCAAACUGAAAAUCACUUGGCCUUCCCAAAGCAUGAAAAAAACUUAUAAAAACCCCACACGGACGCCAUUUAACUCAUGGCUAUCACUAACAUCGAUAAAAAAAAUUAACCGUUUAAAUCAAAUUCAACGCCUAAGUUAAAGCUAACUCUCCAACCUUUCUCAUGAAUGACCACAAAAACUAAAUCCAAUCACCUAACAACUUAUGCUCACCAAACCACUCCAAAAAACAAUCCAACCGAUCAAAAUCCUUCAAAACAGAGCCUCAUAUUCUCAUCGAGCCCAGUUAAACAUUUGGAAAUGACUUAUUUCAACACUCCUAUGGGUUCCACCACCACUUGACCCCCGAGGAAGAAGACAACAUAACAAGCCUAAAAACUUGAGAGUUAUAAUUGCAUUUGUUUGUCGUCUAUUACACUCCACCCAAUAGUUUCUAAAAUGAGAAGCAAAUAAGUUUCUUCAUGUUGAGAUGAUAUUUCUAAGCUCUUGUAGCAACUACAUACGUAUUGUGGAAAACAUUUGUCGUCAUUUUGAAAUAUAGCACAAAGUCGACGUUAUCAAACUGAAAAUCACUUGGCCUUCCCAAAGCAUGAAAUAGCGUUUCACCGACAUCCACAUGAUACAAAGGAAUAAAGGAUAGAUUUUAUACCAAUGCAAAAGCCCCAUCUUUUUCAUGCAAACACACAUCCAUGCAUGUUCUAUUCAUUGACGUGAGAAAGAGGAAUCAAUGUUACAUUUGAGACGCCUACGUUGAGGGCACUGCUAUCAAGAAGAAGAUGGGAAAGAGGUUGAAGCACCGUCAUGAGUGUUUGCGUAUGUUAAUGUAGAUGACUGUCCCACGAAAGCUAUCGUGGUUGUUUGACACCUUAACAAGUUAAUGUAGAUGAGUGUAGGGUAUUUGACACCUUUUGUAACGCCCUAGUUAUUUAUUUAAUUAAUUUGAAUUAUGUGGAGUAUAUAUUUUUAUAUAUGAUGUUUAGUGAUUUAUGCGGAGUAUAUAUAUAUAUAUAUUUAUAUAUAUAUAUAUAUAUAUACAUGUGAUUUUGAGUGUUUAUGUGGUGUAUUAUUUUAUUAUAUAGUUUAUUUAAUAAUAAUUAGAAUAAGUAUGAAAUAAUAAUUAUUUUGGAGUUUGGGGAGUUAUUUAAUAUUUAUUAAAGUUAAUGGGGAGUUAAGUGAAAAUAUAGGGAGUUAAGUAAUGGGAAGUUAGGAAAAGAAAGAAUCAGAAACUGUUUUACGUGAAACCAAGCCAAGGGAGAGGAAACCAGGAACAAGAGAGAAGAACCAAGGGAAUCCAUUUUUGCUGUGCAUUUUCAUUCUGAACUAAGGUAAGGGUGAGAUUUACUUCAAUAGUGUAGAAUUUAAAGUCUGAUUUUGAGUUUAACAGGUUUUGGUAAAAAUUGGGGAUUUUGGGUUUUAUGUUGAAAUUGUGGAUUUUGGAGUUGGGAGUGUAAAUUUGAUGUUAGAAAUAGGUUCUAAGUACAUACAGAAAGUUAAUUUGCAUCUGUAAACUGAUUUGGGGAGUGAUUGGAAGGAAAAUGGGAUUUUUGGGUAAAACCAGUUUUCUGCCCGUACUGAAGUUCAUCGCUCGCCUCGCGAGUAGCUGUUCUCGCCAUGGCGAGUGAGCAACUUCAUAGCUCGCCUCGCGAGCAGUCCAACUCGCCAUGGCGAGUAGCCCAGAUCAAAACUUGAUUUUUGAAAAGUUGUUAUAAGAUGUUUUGGGGUUGGUUUAAGGUACCUAGAUGAUAAUAAAGAGGAAUGGUGAAAGUUUUAGGUUAAAAAGAUGAAUAGGGAGCUUAGAAUUGGAGUUUGAGUGAGAAAAUGUCACUUUUCCCGAGAGUACCUGAUUUUCACUCGCCUUGAGUUCGCUUUGAACUCGCCACGGCGAGCUACUGUUUUUGUGAACUCGCCAUGGCGAGCAGAUGUGCUCGCGAGGCGAGCUAGUGCAGUUUGAGUGCAGUUUUGCUUGCUUGAUUAAUAAGGUUUGAGUGUUGUUGUUUAAGCAUAAUUAUAUUUAAUUGUGCAUCAUUCUGAAUGGUUGAAUCUCUGUUGGAUGUUGAUUGAUGAUGAGUAAUGCAUUGUAUGUUUUAAUUAUUAAUCAUACAUGUCGUUUAAGUGGAGUCACAUGAAGUUGCAUUGCAUGGUCAGUUGUAUGUAGAUAUACACAAGUAGGUCCAUUGCAUAUGCAUAAAACAGCGGUGAGGGCUUCGGUCCUGGAGUACUAGUUGCUCAACAGCGGUGAGGGCUUCGGUCCUGAUGAAUGCUUUAACCAUUCAAAAGCGGUGAGGGCUUCGGUCCUGAUUGGUACCACAUGCAUAAUGCAUUUCAUUAAGAAGUUUAAGAUGGUGUCUUAGCAGUGGUCAUGUCAUUUGCAUGAGUCUUGGUUGUUGUUUCAGGUUUAUCUGAUGUUGAUGUUGAUGUUGAAUAUACAUUUACUUAUAUAUAUUCAUUGCGAUCUUGAUGUGUUGUUGAUGUUAUUGGUAAUAUGUACAUUGUAUACAUACUUGCUAAAUGGAUUAUUAUGGUGAUGUUGUUGUGACUUGUGAAUUAAAUAUUGAUAUUUGCAAGAUUAUUAUAUUUGAAGUUUUAGGGUGUUAGAUUCAUUUGAUGAUUUUAAUAUCUAUAUUUAUUGUUGUGAAUCUCACCCCUUCUGCUUGAAAACGUUGCCCUUCCUAUGGGUAACUUGCAGGUGAUCCUGAGUAGUAGGUGGUGGCUCAAAGUCGUGUCUAGGGCUCUGAUACGUGGGAUGGGAAUUAUCAUUUUUGUUAUUGUUGCUUUUCCUUUCCAUGUAUCAAAUUUUGGAACUUGUAGUGUGGAGCCUUUUUGUUGUCUUUGAACUAUGAUGUUGAAUUAUGUUAAGGCCUUUAAUGCCAUAGAUUAUUGUUGGAUGUUCAUGAGGAUAUGGAUUUUGAAAACUAUUCCGCUGCUAUGUUUUCAUAUAUAUAAGUUGAUUUGAUUAAAUAGUUUUAUUUUCUAUUUAAGAAUUUUUACAAAUGACGUGUAGCAUGCCCGUUUGUGGAAUUACUCUGAUGUAUAUAAGCUAUUUUAUUUGUUUUGGGUAACGGGGUGUUACAAAUUGGUAUCAGAGCAGGUUGGUCCGUCCGGCCAAGUAGUAGAGUCGUGUUGAGCCACCUAGGAUAGAGUGUCAACUUUAAUGUUGCUUUUUGUUGUUGUUCUGAGUUGUUGUUUGUCGUGUAGAAUCUCGAGAUGACUGGAAGUAGUGAUGCUGCUCUUGUUGCUGCGCUUGAGGCUGUAGCUCAAGCUGUUCAACAGCAACCUAAGGUUGAGACUGGUGGUGAUGGAACCAUGAUGUUAGAGACUUUCCUGAGGAAUCAUCCACCAACUUUCAAGGGUAGGUAUGAUCCUGACGGUGCUCAGAAAUGACUGAAGGAAGUUGAAAGGAUUUUCAGGGUCAUGCAGUGUUCUGAGACACAGAAGGUGCGGUUUGGGACGCAUAUGUUAGCGGAAGAGGCUGACGACUGGUGGGUGAGUUUGUUGCCUGUGCUGGAACAGGGUGAUACUGUGGUGACUUGGGCUAUGUUCAGGAAGGAGUUUCUGAGUAGGUACUUUCCGGAGGAUGUCAGAGGUAAGAAAGAAAUUGAGUUUCUGGAGCUGAAACAGGGUGAUAUGUCCGUUACGGAGUAUGCUGCUAGGUUUGUGGAACUUGCCAAGUUCUACCCUCACUAUAGUGUGGAGACAGCUGAGUUCUCUAAGUGUAUCAAAUUUGAGAAUGGGUUGAGAGCUGACAUCAAAAGAGCUAUUGGGUAUCAGCAGAUCAGAGUCUUCUCUGAGUUGGUAAACAGAUGUAGAAUUUAUGAAGAAGACACCAAAGCUCAUUACAAGAUAAUGAGUGGGAGGAGGGGUAAGGGACAACAGAAUCGUCCUAAACCUUACAGUGCUCCUGCUGACAAAGGAAAGCAGAGGAUGGGUGAUGAUAGGAGGCCCAAGAGGAGAGAUGCUCCUGUUGAGAUUGUUUGCUACAAGUGUGGUGAGAAAGGCCACAAGAGUAAUGUUUGUGGAAGAGAUGAUAGGAAGUGCUUCAGGUGUGGUCAGAAGGGUCACAGUUUAGCUGAAUGCAAGCGUGGGGACAUUGUCUGUUACAACUGCAAUGGGGAAGGUCAUAUCAGUUCACAGUGUCCUGAGCCGAAGAAGACUAGAAUUGGUGGAAAGGUUUUUGCCUUGACUGGUACGCAGACUCCUAAUGAGGACCGACUUAUCAGAGGUACUUGUUUCUUUAAUAGUACUCCUUUAAUUGCUAUUAUUGAUACUGGUGCUACUCAUUGUUUUAUUGCUAUUGAAUGUGCAUAUAAGUUGGGUUUGGAUGUAUCUGAUAUGAAAGGGAAAAUGGUUGUUGAAACUCCAGCUAAGGGUUCAGUAACCACUUCUCUUGUUUGUCUGCGGUGUCCUAUAUCUAUGUUUGGUAGAGAUUUUGUGAUUGAUUUAGUUUGUCUGCCGUUGACGGGUAUGGAUGUGAUUUUUGGUAUGAAUUGGUUAGAGUAUAAUCGAGUUCAUAUCAACUGCUAUAAUAAGACGGUGCAUUUCUCUUCUGCUGAAGAAGAAGGUGAGGUUGAGCUUCUGUCUACGAAACAGAUGAAACAGUUUGAACGUGAUGGUAUCCUGAUGUAUUCUCUAAUGGCACAAUUGUCGUUAGAAAAUCAAGCUGUGAUUGAUGGUUUACCUGUAGUGAAUGAAUUUCCAUAAGUAUUUCCUGAUGAGAUUCCUGAUGUGCCACCAGAGAGGGAGGUUGAAUUUUCAAUUGAUCUUGUUCCAGGAACUAAGCCGGUGUCGAUGGCACCGUACCGUAUGUCAGCUUCUGAGUUAGUUGAGUUGAAGAAGCAGUUGGAGGAUCUGUUAGAUAAGAAGUUUGUAAGACCCAGUGUUUCACCUUGGGGAGCACCGGUGUUGUUGGUAAAGAAGAAGGAUGGUAGUAUGAGACUGUGUAUAGAUUACCGUCAGUUGAACAAAGUUACGAUCAAGAACAGAUAUCCGCUUCCUAGAAUUGACGACUUGAUGGAUCAGUUGGUUGGUGCUAAGAUUUUCAGUAAGAUUGAUUUGAGGUCUGGUUAUCAUCAGAUAAAGGUGAAGGAUGAAGAUAUGCAGAAGACGGCCUUUAGGACACGUUAUGGACAUUACGAAUACAAGGUGAUGCCUUUCGGUGUUACUAAUGCGCCUGGUGUUUUUAUGGAGUACAUGAACCAAAUUUUCCAUGCUUUCCUGGAUAAGUUUGUUGUGGUAUUUAUUGAUGAUAUUUUAAUCUAUUCCAAGAAUGAGGAGGAGCAUGCAGAGCAUCUGAGAAUUGUAUUGCAAGUGUUGAAGGAAAAGAGGUUGUAUGCUAAGCUGUCGAAAUGUGAGUUCUGGUUAAGUGAAGUGAGCUUUCUGGGUCAUAUUAUUUCUGGUAGUGGUAUUGCAGUGGAUUCUUCAAAGGUUGAUGCGGUAUCACAAUGGGAGACUCCGAAGUCGGUAACUGAGAUCAGAAGUUUUCUGGGUUUGGCUGGUUAUUACCGCAGGUUCAUAGAAGGGUUUUCGAAGUUGGCUCUUCCGUUGACACAGUUGACCUGUAAGGGUAAGUCUUUUGUGUGGGAUGCUCAGUGUGAGAGUAGUUUCAAUGAGUUGAAGCGAAGAUUGACGACUGCUCCUGUUUUGAUUUUGCCUAAACCAGAAGAACCGUUUGUUGUAUACUGUGAUGCAUCUAAGCUGGGCUUAGGUGGUGUUUUAAUGCCAUAGAUUAUUGUUGGAUGUUCAUGAGGAUAUGGAUUUUGAAAACUAUUCCGCUGCUAUGUUUUCAUAUAUAUAAGUUGAUUUGAUUAAAUAGUUUUAUUUUCUAUUUAAGAAUUUUUACAAAUGACGUGUAGCAUGCCCGUUUGUGGAAUUACUCUGAUGUAUAUAAGCUAUUUUAUUUGUUUUGGGUAACGGGGUGUUACACCUUUAUCCUGUAAACGAAUUUGCGUAGGCCAACAACCUCAACACAUUCGUUAGACUAAACGAGCUCGCGUGAACUAUGCCUUAUAGUAGUCGUAAGGUAGCUCCCAUUUGGAAUGUGUAUUGAGCUCAUAACAAAUGAUAAACUAUAGAAGUAGGCUCAAUGUGAAACUUCCAACCUUACUUAUCCAACAUAACCAAAUUAAAAGCAGUGAGAUCUUUGAUCCAUAUAUCCCAUGAUUCUUAUAACCGACGGUUUUUCCCAUGACAACCAGUGAAUGUCACGAUGAUUGGACCGACCAUGACCCCACUAGAAAGAAUUCAUCAUUUUUUUCAAUAGUGUUAAUAAGUGUACUAGUGAGAAGAAAAAUACUCAUGGGAUACGAUGAAAUAGCUUGCAUAACCGAUUUGAUCAUGAACUCUUGACCUACUUUAGAAAGGCAUUUUCUAUUCCAAGAGUUGAUUUUUUGCCAAACACGAUCUUUUGUAAAAGCAAAAGUUGAUGUCUUGUCUCAACCAAUCAUGGAUGGUAAACCUAGAUAUUUGCCUGUACCAAGCUCCGCAUGAACACCCAAAAUUUUGAUGAUAGAAUUAUUUUAAGUGUUAUUGACAUUCCUGCUAAAAUAGAUUUAUGACUUAGGAAGACUAAUAGUUUGACCCGAGGCUGCUUCAUGUGAUGUUAUAAUGUUUUUCAUGACUUGUGUUUGGCUCUCCUCCACUUAUAAAAUGAAGCAAUCAUCUGCAAACAUGAGAAAAGUCACUGAAGGGGCACCCUUAAAAAUUGUCAUACCUCGAAUUUCUCUACGCUUUUUAGCGCACCGAAUUAGUGAGGUGACCCUCUUUGCAGAUAAUGAAGAUAUAAGGGGAGACAAGAACCCAUUGUUGCAAUCCAUGAACAUGGAUCACUAGACAUGGCGCUUCGUUGUUAACGAGAAUCGAGUAAUCAACAGACUCCACACUCAUAGUCAUCCACUUAAUUCACCUCGCUCUAAAAUACAUUUUACUCAUCACCUCUAAUAUAUACUCCCAAUCCAUCAUGUCAUAAGCUUUACUAAUGUCGAUCUUUAGGGCCAUACAAUUGUCGCUACCUUUAAUCUCUGUCUUCAUGUAAUGAAUAACCUCAAUAGCCACCAUGGCGUUUUCAAGAAUGGAGUGAUCAGGGACAAAAGUUGAUUGAUUAUCAGAUAUGCACUUUGAGAAACAUCUUUCAAUCUGUUAGCAAAUACCUUAGAAAUCAACAUAUACAUGACAUUACAAAGUUCAAUAGGGUGUUAGUUUCUCAUUGUUGUCUGAAUGUUAGCUUUGUGAAUGAGAGCUAUAUUCGUUGUGUUUAGAGUUGCCGGAAAUUGUCUCGUAUCAAGCCAAACACAAUAUUCAUUGAAAACAUCAUCACUACACAAAUUCCAAAAAUGUUGAUAGAAAUAUGAGUUAUACCCAUCAAGACUUGGGUAUUUAUUAGGAUGCAUUAAAAACAUUGCUUGAUGAAACUCUCAUUCUUAAUAAACAUCAUCUUAUAAGAGUAAUCGAAUCAUUUGCCUUCGCCAAGAUCACAUUUGAUGACAAUCAUCAAUGUUAACUCUUAAUUUAUUACAAUGCUCUUUACUCCAUACAUUAAUGUCUUGUAAAUAGGACCAAAUUCUUUUUUUUUUUUUUUUUUCGGUAGAUGACCAAAUUCAGUAUUUAUUAACCAAAUUAUGAACAUAAUUAACCAAUUUUUUUAAAGAUAAUUAACCACGUAUUAUUAAUUAAGUAAUUGAAUUUUAUUUGUGUGUGAGAAAAUAAAACAAGUAUUUCAAUUUUGUUCAUUUUGAAGGAUCAUAUCGAAGAGAAAUGAUAUCUGUACAACCACUUUCUCACAACUUUCUCUCUCAUACUUACAUUAUCAUCUUAUUCUCCCUCUUUCUUUUAUUUCUCUCUAUUAUUUUUGACCAAUGAAAAGAGAGAGAAAAUAAGUUAUCACAAAAAUUAUCUCAUACUAGACUUUCCACCCGUGCUGCCGCACGGGUCAUAUACAUUGUAGAUAUAGUAGACAAAAACAAAUCUCAAUGCAUAUCAAAGAGAAUGAAAUAUGUGGUCCCAAAUAUAUGCAGAUGUUGGAAUUCGAACCUCAGACACCACGCUUAUUCACCAAAAAAAUAUUAAUUUUUAUCAAUCGUGUGUUACUUCAUUCUUUUGUUAAAAUUAUAUGUCAAUAUUAUAUUAUUGGUAUGUAACUUCAUAUUUUUCUUCUUUUUUUUGAAAAAAUGUUACUUCAUUCUUUUGUAAAAAUUAUAUGUUAAUGUUAUAUUAUGUACCUAAAAAUAGUUCAUUCUUAACCUCAACAUGUAAAAUGUUUUAUUUAAAUAAUUUUCCUUUUAUCGAAUAUUUGGCCUUUACCGUAAAUGAUACCCUUUAACUGUUUGUUGAAAUGUUUCUUCCACCUGUUUAUAUAGAUUGCAAAAUUCAGGUGCAUUUUGUGGUAAAUAUUUAACAAAGAGAGUUCAGUUCUAAUUUGGAUGAAAAGUGUAAUAUUAACAAAAAAAAUGUUGUUAUAAUCUUUCAAAACCCUUUUAUUCCAAUAGGGCGAUUUGUUUUGUUGAAGAAAUAGGGCGAUUUGUUUUGAAGAAAUAGGGGAAAUAAAGCGAUGCCGAUUUGCUUUGUUCAUGAAAAUAGGAGAUUAGGUGUGAGCAUUAGCGUUGUUCAUGAAAAUAGAAGAUUAGGUGUGAGCAUUAGGGUUAAAACGGUAAAAUUAUGCAACAGGGUUUAGGUUAAAAUUAGGGCUCAUGAAAAUAUGAGAUUAGGUGUGAGCAUUAGGGUUGUUCAUGAAAAUAUAAGAUUAGGUGUGAGCAUUAGGGUUAAAACGGUAAAAUUAUGCAACAGGGUUUAGGUUAAAAUUAGGGCUCAUGAAAAUAUGAGAUUAGGUGUGAGCAUUAGCGGUUGUUCAUGAAAAUAUAAGAUUAGGUGUGAGCAUUAGGGUUAAAACGGUAAAAUUAUGCAAUAGGAUUUAGGUUAAAAUUAGGGCUUACGGGUUACCUUUAAUAUAUAAGAAGAUUAGGUGAGAGCAAUAGGAUUGUUCAUGAAAAUAGGAGAUUAGGUGUGAACAUUAGGGUUAAAACAGUAAAAUUAUGCAAUAGGGUUUAGGUUAAAAUUAGGGCUUACUUGUUAACUUUAAUAUAUAAGAAGAUUAGGUGAGAGCAUUAGGAUUGUUCAUGAAAAUAGGAGAUUAGGUGUGAACAUUAGGGUUAAAACAGUAAAAUUAUGCAAUAGGGUUUAGGUUUAAAUUAGGGCUUACAUGUUAACUUUAAUAUAUAAGAAGAUUGUUCAUGAAAAUAGGAGAUUAGGUGUGAACAUUAGGGUUAAAACAAUAAAAUUAUGCAAUAGGAUUUAGGUUAAAAUUAGGGCUUACUUGUUAACUUUAAUAUAUAAGAAGAUUAGGAGAGAGCAUUAAGAUUGUUCAUGAAAAUAGGAGAUUAGGUGUGAACAUUAGGGUUAAAACAGUAAAAUUAUGCAAUAGGGUUUAGGUUAAAAUUAGGGCUUACUUGUUAACUUUAAUAUAUAAGAAGAUAAGAAGAUUAGGAGAGAGCAUUAGGAAUGUUCAUGAAAAUAGGAGAUUAGGUGUGAACAUUAGGGUUAAAACAGUAAAAUUAUGCAAUAGGGUUUAGGUUAAAAUUAGGGCUUACUUGUUAACUUUAAUAUAUAAGAAGAUAAGAAGAUAGGAGAUUAGGUGUAAACAUUAGGGUUAAAACAGUAAAAUUAUGCAAUAGGGUUUAGGUUAAAAUUAGGGCUUACUUGUUAACUUUAAUAUAUAAGAAGAUGAUUGUUCAAAUAACACUACUCCAUCGAAAAAGACUUCAAGAUAUUCCUAAAAUGAAAUUUGUUGUUUUGUAAUAGUUUCCUUUGAACAAGUUUCGCAUUAACACUCCACUCACUUUCCUACAAUAUCGAAGAUUAGAGAUUAUUACAGAUAACUUCUUCUUCUUCUUCUUCCAACAAACAACAAUGUCUCAUUCUUCUCUUCUCACCCCCUCUUCCUCUCUUACACUCAACUCUCCUCUUCUUUCCCCCACCACUGGUUCUUCUUCUCACAGUCUUUCUCUUCCCUCCCACCCUUUUCUCUCCGGGUAUGUAUCUUUUUCUUUCUUUAUCUUUUCUUCAAUUUCAAUUUUUUAUAACAACCCUUGAACUUAUUCCGAACCCUUUCUUUUAACUCAAUUUUAAUUCCUCGUAAAGUUCUUAUUUUUGUUUCAUUUCUAUAAUUUCGAGAUUUUUUUCUUCUUCCAAUUUGUGGGUAUUGAGUUUUUGUUGUUUGUUUACUUGAUUCUUUGUGUUAGGUUAUUAGGUUCAUAGAAAAUUGCCCCUUUUCAUAUUUUUGCUAGUGGGGUUAGGGUGAAAUUGAAAUUUUUUGGAAUUCAUUUUUGUGUUGUACGUGUCAACUGAAAAAUGAUGCAAAUAUUAUGAUAAAUUGGAACUGGCUUAUUCUUGAGACAAAUGAAUAAUCUGGGUUGGUGUAAAAGUCUUUCAAUUUUUACUAGUUUAAGCUCAAAUUAACCAAGUGAUUAAUUAGCUCUAGUUAGGACAAAUCUUUUAUGAGAAUCCGAGUUCAAAUCGUGGUUAAAACAAUUAUUGGUCAGACUUUACUUACUUUCUGGUUAAUUACCGUGGCUUCCUCCCUCGGGGCCUGAAGGACCCCCUUCCAAUAGAAUAUUCUAUGUUAUUCUUUAUAUUUUACUUCUACCAACAGAAUAAAACCAUGCUGUGAUUUGCAGGAAAUUGAGGAAACCUGUAGAAUUUAGAAAGAUUACCCGAAAAUCUGCCGUGAAAGCGGUCUAUGGUGAUCAAUUUUGGGGACAUGAGAGGAGUUCACGUCAGGGUAUUUGGUCCAUAAGGUAGAUUUUGCUUGUUAAUUUGUUUAAUCUGUUAACUUUAGUCUUAUUUAUUGACUUGAAUUAUGUGUUCUUCUAGGGAGGAUUUGGGAGUUCCAUCUUCGCCUUAUUUUCCUACCUAUGCACAAGGACAAGGGCCACCCCCAAUGGUGCAGGAGCGUUUCCAGAGUGUUAUAAGUCAGCUUUUCCAAUAUGUAAGGAUUUUUUACGCUUGGCGUUGCUUAAUGUUGAGUGUUUAGUCCUUCGAGUAUUAAUAAUCUGUUUUGGUAUUUAGAGAAUAAUCCGUUGUGGUGGAGCAGUUGACGAUGAUAUGGCAAAUAUCAUAGUUUCUCAGCUCCUUUAUCUUGAUGCUGUUGACCCAAACAAGGUUUGUCCUUCGUUUUUUAGUUGAUCAAAGCUCGUGGUUACAUAUGCCUUCAUCUAUAUAAAGUGAUCCUUUGCAUUUCUAGAGAUGUCAUCAAACACAUACAUUUUGAUAUGGCUAUGAUUUUGAGUUUAUCUUUAUCUACUAUGUUGAACAGGAUAUUGUCAUGUAUGUAAAUUCUCCCGGAGGGUCGGUUACAGCUGGUAAUAAUUUCUUAUGCAACUAUCUUGUACUUGUUUGUAUGUUUAUUUUUAUUACAUGUACUCUAAACAUAGGCUAAGAAAAUAUCAUUUCAUUCAAAAAGUAAUACACUUUCUUUGUUUUUGUUCUUAGGUAUGGCAAUAUUUGAUACAAUGAAGCAUAUCAGACCUGAUGUGUCCACUGUCUGUGUUGGAUUGGCGGCUAGGUAAUAUUUCAUUCUUCCUCCGGUUAAUAAUACAUAAUUGCUGAUAAGUUACCACUCACUAUCAGUAAAAGGGUAAAAGUAUAUCCUAACUUUCAUGUACACACGCAAAACUUAUUCACUUUUUUUUUUUACUGAGUGCUAGGAGAAUUUAAGAUGAAUUAAGACCCUCACUUGCGCACUGUCUAUUAAGCCUAUCUUAUUUUAGAUAAAUAUUUCUUUUCUAUUUGUGUGUAUUUAUUUAGCGUGAUUGGUCGCCCUCAUACACACCCCUUUUCUCAUUUUCUGUGUUUCCUGUCACUAGUAGACUAUGAAAGCCCAACAUAGAUAGGGAUACAGGACAUUGACACAGACACAUCGAUAUGAACAAAAUUUAAAAUAUAGGACACCGGGAUUUGUUGAGACUUGAGAUCAUGAGAGGAGUUAGUCUCAACCAAUCAUGUGUGGUUAUAUGAUUAUAUAUCUUUUGGCAUGAUUAUGCAUGCACAUGCUGAAUACAUACACGUGUGAGGGCAAGGGGGAAAGAAAAAUAUUCCAAAUGAAGUGAUAUUGUUAGAGACAUAACAUUUUUUUAUAAGUGUUCUUAUUUUUAAGUGUUAAACCAUAAUUGUCAGCUAAGGGUCCGUACUUUACGCCACUAAUUGGUCCGUUUCAUAUGCAUAUUAGAUCAAACUUGACUGUAAUAGUAUAAAACCGGAUAUUUUAAUACUAUGUGGUGUUUGAUAUGACACCGUACAAGUAUAUUAUACAAGACAAUACUAUCUUACAUUUUAUAAUGACUUACACUUUUAUAACAGGAUAAAAGCAAGCAUAUUUUUACCAACAUACCCUAUAUUGAGCAUACAUUAUAUUUACAUAGAUAUACAUGUUUUAUUGUUUUUACAGAAAAAAGUCAAUAAACACUAGAUAUGAGAUCGGGUCUUCAUAUGGAAAAUAGAAGAUUUUAAUAAAAACCUAGAUUGAAUAGUAAUUGAUGAAUUUAAACAGGGUUGCGCAAGAGCAUUGAAUUGUCACCAUAGUUUAUGUACGGAAUGAGUUUCUUUUAAAUAGCCAUGUAUUAUGUAUGCAUUAUUGUAUAAUUAAGCAUUAAACUUUGAUAUGAUUUUUGUUUUAAUUUUUUUAUUUUUAUCUGCAUUACUGAUAAACUUUUAAGGAAUGUUAUUUUAUUUAGGCUAUUUGGGCUAAAUUGUUGUCUCAUAUUUUCUUUAAUUAUAUAAAAUUUUUGAUAUUUUCUUUAAAUAAGAACUUUUGAACUUAAAACCUAAGAGCUUCUUAGGCUAUAUCUUUGCAAAAUAUGCUGAACACAAGAUAUGUAAGGUCCACCAUUUGCAUUAGUCACUCAGACUAGUGCACUAUAUUUUGGCUAUUUGGUGUUUUGGACUAAAUGGCUGUCUCAUAUUGUCUUUAAUUAUUUACAAAAAUUAUAUAUUUACCCUUAACCAAGAAAGAACUUUUGAACAAAAAGCUUAAGAGCUUCUUAGGCUACGCCUUUGUAAAAUAUGCUGAACACAAGAUAUGAGAGGUCCACCAUUUGCAGCUAGAAACUCAAGAGUGCACUCUAUUUCCAAUAUAUGUCAUACCUGUUUAUGUUAUGGAUUUGUGGUCUACCGUUAGCCUAGUUCUUCUCAGUGGUUAAGCCUUAAGACAGUCUAUUUUAACUGAUACCAUUAAUAUAUAACCUUAAUUACUCUGUUAAUUUCCUUUUAAUUUAGUGCCUGAAAAUUCCAGUUCUCCUAUUUUUUGCUUGAUUUUAGUCCUAUUAUUUUAAAACAAAUGUGGUUCAUUAAACCGAGUUUCGUCCAACUGGUUAAUUCAGCUUCUUAGUCUACGCUGAUCUAACAGUAUACGGAAGUUGUGCUAACAUGGCAUCUGAUGCAUGGAGCUGUGUACCCUCUUGGUCAAGUAUUCUCAUCGACGCCAACUGAGUUUAGUUGCAUAACUGAAACAUCUCUGAGCUUUGGGUUAUGUACCUUCUCGAUUGAGAGCUGAGUUCGACAUUUCUCCGGAGCAGGGAGAUGGUACUAUUUACCUUUACCUUUCUGACCAAGUAUGGAGUUAGAAAUCAAGUUCAUUCCCUCUUUAAAGCAUGGUGGUUGGAAGGAUGAGUAGCCUCUCGACCAAUCACAGCUUCUUGUCUGAGUAUACGAAACCCCCCCAAUGCAAGUCUGGAUAAUUUCCAUCAUGUCCAACUUAACUCUAACACAUCCAUCAGAUAUCGGACCUUAAAUGAACAGAUUGACUAAGCUUGUUCAAUUUUAAGAAUAAGCGGACUGAGACCGAGAACCAAAAACUAGAGAGACCAAAAUAGCACAUCAGCUAUAUUUGAGGGAUCAAAGUUGCAAUUAAACACAAGUUUGAUACAUAUUUGUAUCUUGACAUAUCACCGGAAAUGUCCAAUAUUAUUAGUAAUUUCACACUGAAAACUAAUUGAUAGGUGAUUGUAUGCUUGUAACUUUUUAUCUUUUAAUUUGUUGAAGAAAUUUUUAAUUCCUGUACUUAUAUAUUGAUCUGUUCAUGAGCAGUAUGGGAGCUUUUCUGCUUAGCGCGGGGACCAAAGGUAAUGAUUCCUUUAACUUGCAAUGACUGUAUCCAUUUUUCUUCUUUUCUUGGUCCACAUUUGCAAAAGGGGAAAAUGACUAUGUCUAACUUUAUAUUCCCGCCUCUGUCAUUUUUGAAGGAAAACGAUUCAGCUUGCCAAACUCAAGGAUAAUGAUUCAUCAACCACUUGGUGGUUUCCAAGGAGGGCAAACUGACAUAGAUAUUCAGGUAUAUAUAGUCCCUGUUUUCUUCCCCCCUCAUUUGAUGGCACAAACCUCUUGUUUCUUCUGAUAAAAUCAUACUCCCUCCGUCCCUAAUUAUAAGACCCUUUUGAAAAAAUCAUUUGUCCCUUUUUAUACCCCUUUGGUGUUUUCAAGUACAUUAAUUAUUUCUUUACCAACAUACCCUUAUUUAUUUUGCAUUUUUCUUCAAUCAACGAUAAAUAUUAUAUUGAAAACAUAAAUUUACUCUCUCUCUUAAGGAUAAAAUUGUAAAAACAAUAGUAAUUAUAUAAAAAUUUAAUACUACAACCAACUUUCUUAAUCUCCGCAAUUUUAGCAAAAGGCUCCUAUAUUUAGGGACGGAGGGAGUAUAUCUUUUUCAUAGAAAAUUAAAGGCUAUCACAGGUAGCACUUGAAGUCUAAUGAGUUAUCCUUAAACCAUGAUAACAUUAAAUUCCCUACAAGUGUUCCAUACUCUUACAUUCCUAUUUUUCCUUUCCUAUACCGUUCUAUUGUAUUCCAUUCCAUGUCAUACUUUUUGGCUUUAGUUGGUUUUUGGAUUGGAUUUGAUUAGUUGAUUUUGAACACCUAUACAAUAAGGGAUAUCAUCCAUGUGCCAAGGAAGACAUGACAUGAUUGGUUAACUUUUACAGUUAAUUUUUUUGCACAAGUAUUAUAAAUUCAUAAUUAUGAUUCAUAAUCCUCUCAGGCUAAUGAAAUGCUGCAUCACAAGGCAAACCUGAAUGGGUAUCUGUCCUAUCAAACUGGGCAAAGUUUAGAGAAAAUUAACCAGGAUACAGACCGUGAUUUUUUCAUGAGUGCAAAAGAAGCCAAAGAAUAUGGACUCAUCGAUGGUGUCAUCAUGAAUCCUCUCAAAGCUCUUCAGCCUUUAGCAACUGCAGAGGAGGGUAAAGAUCGGGCUAUUCUUUGAACUCGACACUGUUGUACUCCUAAUUUCGUAGGUACGAAAAACAAGGAUGUUGUUUUUGGUUGGUUGCUUAGUAUAGCUGAAUUUUUCACAGAUGUUGAUAUCUGUAUAACGGUGUACCAACAAAUGAGGCCAAAAUGAUACCUAGUGAUGUUGUAUUGCCUUAGAGUUUAUACUGUUAUAAUUCAAAAAAGCUUCCUUAACGCGGAUCCUGGAUUUGCGUUUUUCCUUCUAGCAUUGUAUUCAAUAUUGUGAUAACUGAUGAUAUGGCCUCAUAUGUUGCAUCCCUUAGACAUGUGAUUCACUUCAUACUCGACGGAUGCCAUACCAAAUUGUUAUAGACCAAAAAUAUAAAGGAAUGACUGGGUGGUUCAGCAGAAAUAAAAGAAAUGUCAUUUCUUAGUUUUGAUAGUUAGGGUUGAAGAUUCUUUCAUACAUUUAUUUUGUAAUUUAUAAUAAUUUUUUUUAUGGUAUCUAUAUAAAUAAAGCGAUAGACAUUAAAUCUCAAAAAAAUUAUAUAAUGUUUUACAUAAAAGUAUAUAUUCAAUUCAUAAAUUUUAUAGAAUUUAAUUUUAACCUAUAGUAAAAUAAUUUUACACAUUUAAAUCUUACCACGUAGAUAUAUGUGUAUGUAUUUGAGAAAAUAAUAUAAUCACAUAUCUAUAUGGUGAUGUCUGAUUAGAUAUCUAUGUACAAUUUACAUCGGUUAGUACAUCAGAAAUUUUUUAGGUAACAAGUAUAUUUUGGAUCUUGUCAAAAAAAAAAAAGUAUAUUUUGGAUAUCAAAUUUUUUUAGUUUGAACACAAUUUGAUCAAUUUCAAUUUACAAGAACUUUCUACAUUUGCUUUUUUCUCACUACCAAAGUCAUUCCAAGUCUAAAUUAAUCAUUGGUAGUUAAGAUUUAAGUAUCACCUACUUUAGACAGUCACUCAUCAUCGUCAACCAUCAACUGUUACAUUUGCAUCCAUGAAAGAAAUUUGGUAAGAGGAAGAUCAUUUGGAUGUUUGAUUAUAAAUCCACUUCUGAGUUAGUUUAUUUGGCACUAUGGGGACGUUAACAUUGACAAGCAUAGCAUAACAUUUUUCUUUUGAUUUUUCAUAGGUUCCUUUCACUUGAUGUAACCUUAUUUCAUGCAUAUCAGACACUAAAUAUAGGUACAUCUUUCAUUCGAAGUACGGAUCUUGUUUGUCACAUUAUAUGACCUAUUUCGUCAGACUCUAUCUAUUAAUAAUUUUUUUUUUGUUUUUGUUAAAUAACCUAUUGAUAAUACAUUCAUCUCUUAAAGGUUUCGGAUGCCCAUAAUUAUGAACUCCAGAAUUUGCAUCCUGCAAUGUUUCUGUCAACCCUGAAUUAUGUUCACGAGACUAAUGAAACCUUUUUAUUUACCUAAGUUUAAUUAUCUUGCGCUGUUCUGAAGCCUCCAAUUUAUUUUUGUACCGAAUGGCCUAAAAUAUAUGUGUAGAUCCCCUACUUCCAACUAAACAUCUAAAUGAAAAUCUUCCUAAUCCAAUUAGAUUUAGCUACUUCAACCGCAACUAUAUCCAUAUAUAUAUAUAUAUAUAUAUAUAUAUAUAUAUAUUUAUAAUAGCAACUAUAUCUAAUUUAAGCCAAAGGAAAAGGCUAGAGUUUGAUAAUUCGUAAUUAUGUUAGGUAGCUUACGGCGUAAAGUACAAUUCAUAUGACGACGUCCAUUUUUUCAUACACAUAAUAAAAACCAAGAUAACGAUCCCACGCAUACCAGCAACAAAGACAGACAAUAUUAAAAAUUUGUUUCAUAGCAGUAUAUUAAAAAGGAUACAUUUAGUCAUGGAAAAUGUACAUUUCCAGCUCCGGUUGUAUAUAAAAAGUAAGAUUAUAAGGGUUUGAAAAAUACUCAAUACAAAUCACUCUAUUAGUAAAAGUACUUUUUUUGUGGUGUCAAGGAUUUGAACCCCACACCCUGUAUAUUUUAUGCAUUGUCCUUAUCAACUGAGAUGAGUAUUAAUAAAAGUACUCUAUUAUAACUGAAUAGUUAUACCAGUUAAAAUCAAUGACUAUUUAGCAACAAAAAUCAUACGUAAUAUGCCAAAAUGAUUGUUAUAUAGCAAUACAAACUAAGAUCCGUUCAACUCAACUUUUGGGUAAGAGAAAGAAACAACUUAAUAAUUUGGAUGAAUAAGUAAUCUUUCAAUUGUUAAAUUAAUAUUUACUUCUUCGUCCAAGUUUAAACCCAUAAUCUAAAACUCUUCUUCGUGAUAAUUAAUUGUUAAUAAGACUGGAAUUUUUUUUUGUUUAUAAGACUUGGAUUAAUUGAUGGCUAUCUAAAUCACAAACGCUAACAAGAUUUUUACAUAUCAUUCAUCAAAGAGACCUGCAUACUAGUAACAUAAAGAACUCAUGCUUUUUAUAUAUCAUGCGUUAUCUAAUUUGUGGUUAAAUAACACAAUUCAUUUUCUAAUGCAGACAAAUAAAUUCAAUGAUGUUUCGUCAACGAAGAGCGAGUGAACAGCCAAAGAGGUUUCCUCAAAAUUUCGAACUGUUUCCACUCUCAUCAAUUAAAUUUGGCACCCAAUUAAACAUCCGCAUUAUUCAAAAUUCAAACCAUGCCAAUAUAUUCUUUUUUUUCGUACCAAACCAAUGUGACAAUGGACGUUGAGAUUGAGCUAAAUUAAAUACUAUUAUUAUAGAGAUAUAAAGAAUCAACACCAUGUCCUAUAAAAUGUCAACUAAGUAACCAAUGGACGUGGUAACCACUUAUUAAAUUUCAUUUCAUAAAAAAUAGUUGUCAAGUCACAUACAUAAAGAAACACCUUUACUUAAUCUUGAACUUCCCUUAGCUUGUAAAUAAAGAACAACGUGUUUCUUCAAUUCAACACUAAUUGUUUUCAUUCUACACAAAAUGGAUUGGCAGAAAAAAUCCAAAGAGUUCUUCUUCAACUAUAUUGCUAUCUACACCCCUACAAGGAUUUUCCACCUCCUCACCAUCACAAUCCUCACCCUUCUCCUCCCUCUAUCUUUUCUUCUCUUAGCUAGUCUCUCUGGUGCAAAAUUCUACCUUCAAAUUCAUUCACAACAACCCUUACCUUAUCUUUUCUCUUUUGCUAUACACACCUCCCCAUGUAUUCUCUACGUUCUUGUCUCCAUUGUAAGUGUAGCUACUUUGAUCAAUGGUUUGAUGGGAAAAAUCAACCUUAUGAAUGAUUCAUCCAAUUCUAUUCUUCUCCAAACUCGUCUUUACAUGUCAUGGAAAUGGAUUCUUCUUUUCACUUUUCAAAUAUGUGUUGGUUUAGGAAUUGAAGCAAGCAUUGCAGCUGGAGUUUUCGACUCCGACAACGAUGUUUUUGAUGAUGGUUCUAGUAGUUUUGGUGUUGAAAGAAGCUUCAUAAGUAGAAUGAUAUUUCUUUUGGGACUACAUGAAACAACACAAAUUUGGUCAAGAGUUGUUGUGAGACCAGUGGUUGAUGACACUAUAUUUGGUGUUGGAAAAACAGAAAGAUUAUGGAUUGAGAAAGUGGUUGUGGCAGGUAGUUUAGGAACAUUGUGGUGGUGGAAGUUGAGAGAGGAAGUUGAGAAUUUAGGUGUUAUGGCUGAAACAAAGAAAGAUGAAAUGAUGGAGGUGGGAAUAGAAGAAUUUGUUGGUUGGUGGUUGUAUUAUUUAACUGUUACAAUUGGUAUGGUGAGGAUUGUGAAAGGUCUUAUGUGGAUUUUCAUGAUUUCUCUAUGUAGAAGAAGGGUAACACAGAUUAAUGAGGUGGAAUUGGAACUGAGUCAGAAUGAUGACAAGGUGUAAAUUUGACAAGUUUUGGUUUUGGUUCUUUACUUGUUUCUUACUCUAUCUUUUUUUUGUCAUUUUAUUCUAUGGUUAGGGAUAUUGCAAUAUUGUAUACUUUUGGCAGAAUUGUGAUAAACCCGUGGCCAAUAUUGUAAUGAUGAUGUAUUAUUGCUCAACUUGUUGAUAAUCACUUCUUUAAUAAGGCUUAUUGAUCUUCUUUUUUAUUUCAAGGAAAGACAAAAUGGGCUUGUUGAUAUUUUUGCUUUUUUUAUGAUGUUACUAAUAUCAAUAUAGAGGUUGCAUUGCAUGGUUUGUUUUUCUAAUUGCAACACAAUUACAACUGAAAUAAUAUCUUUGUCAUUUUACCACAAUUUAAAAUUUUGAGUAUAAUUGACUAGUUUGAUUAGAAUCUAAACUUACAGAAUGAUAUUUAUUUAGUGUUUAUUGUUUAACUAAUCUCGAUUCCAUGAUUUUUUUUUGAAGUGUAUUGUUGUGAAUUUGAUGAGAAAACACACCAAUAAUAAACUUGAUGUGUGGAGUAAGUGAUAAUCAGGCAACCAAAAAUCAAAGUGUAUGGAACAUUUAUAAACACAAGCCAAAAGUAGAAAACAAUGAGAGAAAAGAAGAGAGAACACAAAAGAAUUUGUUGACUCAGUUCGGUCCAAAUUGACCUAGUCUGGGGAGAGAGCAGCCCUCCGUUUUACUAUGAUGAGUAACGUUACAAAAGAGAUAUCAAUGGGUUACAAGAAUAAGUCUCCAGCCUAAUUCUACCCAAAGUCUCAAUCUCUUCCCGUAACCAAGAGACUCAAUCCUAAUAGUGUUUUCCAAGGUGAAUCAACCCUCAAACCCUAGUGUUUGUUCCAAAGAGACAAACUCUAUACAAACCCUAGUUUUGUUGUUGCCUUUCUGAACUCUUGUUUCAGCCCCCUCUAUCUCAAAGUUUACUCUGAUACAAGGUCUAUAUUUAUAGUAAAAGUAUCGCUUAAAAUUUGGAAUAAAUCUGCACCCAAAAAUACACUUCUGUUGUUCGCUGCCAACGCCCCAUCGUGCCACAAAAAAUCCAGUAACUUGUCUCAAAACUGAAACCUCCAAUCGUGCCACGUUGCCCAGCCAUCGUACCACGAUUUCUGCGGAACCUGAUUUUAAGUUAACUCUCAUAUGAAUUGAAAUUGGUAUUUUGGAGUUUUUAACACUCACAAAUUGUGCACCAGGCACAUGCACCUGCCGUACACUUUGUGGCAUCUUUAACUAAAAGAAAGUGAGUACAAAGAAAAUAAUCUGCGAGUUCAAUCAUAAAUGGAAAAGAAAGUGAGUGCAAAGGAUUGCGUGUUUAAUUAAUUUAAUCAAUAAUAAAAACAUGUGAGUAUAAUUAAUCUAAGACUUAAUAACAUGGUGUAACACAAGUGAUAAAUACUUGAGUCAUCUAAUUAUUUUCACAAAGGAUUCGACCCAUAUGUAUGGAUUUGACAGAAUGAGUGUGCCUCUCUAAUUUCAUAUACUUUAGAGCUUUAACAAAAUCAUGAUGUCGUAGUAAGUUCUCAAUAUAUCCGUCAACUCAAACAUGCAUUUUCCCUAAUAUGAUCAAACAACCCAUUUUGGGGAAUUUUAAAGGAAUGUAUACAUAUACAUUGUAAUUGAGUGUUUAAAAUUUCUUUUACAUAUAUUUAUCUCAAAGAAACUUCCAAGCUGAGAUUGAAUGAAUUGGAGUCCCUUUCCAUCCAAUUAUUAAACACUUCCCAUUUUUGUCUAUAGUACAAAACUUCCCACAGUCAAACUUUUUAGUAACCAAAUUAGCUUGAUAAAUUGAAGACUCACUGAAUCCAGUUUCCACCAUUCUAUACCUUGCAAAGAACCUUCUCCAAACAUCAAUCUUCACAUUCCUAACCUUCCUUUCUUCAUCUUCCAAACCAACAAUGUUUCUUAUCCCUUCAGAUAAUAUUGCUUCCAUCAUUACUCUACACUCAUAAUCCUCUUUUAUACAAGUAUCAACACAGUCAAAAAAUGCUGAGUAAAAGAACAAUGCUUCAACAAACCUAUUCGCAAACAAAGGUGAAUUAUGGUUUGCUUCAAGUUCAAGUACUAUCAUAAUAAACGGUUUCAUUUUUCUUAUCACCUUCAUCAAAUUCUCCAAGCCAUCAGAAUUUGAUACCAUAGUCCUAAGUGAACAUGGAGAGUAAAUAGCAACAGCUUCAUCAUAUUCAAUGUCAAAUUGAUCUAACUUAAUCUCCAUAGCAUCCUCAACAAAAACUAUGUUAUAUAAAAAGGGUAUGUUCAAGGAUUCAGCAAAACUCAUUAAACUUUUGCCAAUUUCUUCUAACUUAGCCUUGUUAGAAAAUCCAAUAGCUGUGAUCUUCAGAAUUUCAACCGGCUUUUCCUUGCGGUCUACUAAUGCUUGCAUGAAACAUGUACUCAUCACUCCACAUCCAAUAUUAAGAUGAAUCAAAUGGAUUUUUGUUUGUGAUGCAACAUGUUCCACUAUAGCUUGUACACCAGCAAAUUGCAUUACUUGAUUGAAAGGAAUUUUUUGAUGACAUUUAACUACUAUGUUAGUAUCUAAUUCCAUUUUAUCAAUCAAUUCCGUCUCCUUGUUUCUCUCAUUUGAUCUAUGCAGUUUCAUCUUUCCUCGUCCGGUUUCUCUGUUGAUUCUCUCUUGAAGGGCUUGAGAGAAAUGGAAAAGAAGUCUCUGAACUGUGCUUCCAAUAUUUCCACUUUCAUUCAUGAGAUGAAAAUGUGAAAGUAACAUGUUUGCACGUUCAAAUUGUUGACAACCUACUCUCUCAGCUGCUGCUAGAACAAACUGAGCUAGUUCAACUUGUUUAUUUUCUUCCUCCGACAACAAGCUUCCAAGAACAGUUCCAUAAGGAAUGUAAAGAUUAUUAUCAUGCCACUGUGAUGAGUUCUGGAUAUACUUCGUUCCUGCAAGUGUUAUUAUAUCUUCUGUUGACAACUUUUGAGGACUUGCACAAGUUUCAACAUUGCUUUUGUUUUUUUGCUUAUUGAACUUGCUUCCAUAAUUUUUCAAUAGCUCAAGUGAUGCUAAUGAAGAUGGUGGUGGCUUUUGCACCUGCUUAAGAGUUGGAAUUGAUAUUAUAGCUUGAUUUUCUUGCUCCAUUGUUGUUAUUGCAAAGAAACUGUGUUCUACGUGGAAGAUUAUAUAGUAAAAUUCUCUUGUAUAACCGUCUUGGAAUAUAUUGAUAUUGAAAGGUGUGAGAGAAAAAGAAUGGUUCAGCAUGUUUACGGUAUGGAAUCUUAACAUUGGAGGAAUCAUGGGAUGAUAUAUGUUUCGAUGUUUUUCUUAAAAUGUAGCCGUAAUUCCAUAAUUUGUUUGUCGUUGUUGAAACAAAUGGGAGAGUCGAAACAAACAAUGGUGUAGUAUAUGGAAUAUUUUACCAUAUAUAGGUGUUCUUAAGAAGUUCUGUCCAACGUGGCUAAUUAUGGCGUUGAAUGAAAAUGUUUGAUGGAAUGUUACGGAUAAGACAUUGGAAUUCCAAUUGUUCUAGAUGACUAUGCGGUGUGUGUGUGUUUUUUUUUUUUUUUUUUUUUUUUUUUUGUUACAAAUAGUAUGUUUCAUAUUUUUGACAAAAAAAAUCGUAUAUUUCAUUUGUUAGUUUCAUAUUUGAAUUUGUUAAGGAAUUAUAUAGGUGGUGGAUUCGCUAAUAGGAUGAAGUUGGUGUAUUUUUCGCAUCACAAUCGACUCACAUUAGAAUUAGUUAAUGUAAAAUUCACUAACAACUUAUGCAAAAUCGAAUGAUAGCCGAAUAAGCUGCCGAUUGAUAGAAGAGAUGACUAUCAAAUUUAAAUAGGAAUUGGAUAAUGUUUAAUUAGUCUAAAAGACUCCAACAUUGACUUGACUAAGUCAAAAGGUCAUAUUACAAUUUUCCUAUAUAUGUGGCAUGAUAAAGUAAUGGUUAUGCAAAGAGAAAAGAUAAACUGACCCCAAGGUUGAUUUUAAUGACAUAGCAUGGUUAAUUAGACAUUCAUUUCUUAAAGAUAGGAAUAAUGUGUAGAACAUAGGUAAAUGACGAUCGAGCAAUCAACCAUACACAAUUAUGCCCUCAACUCAGCCAUAUCAGCCAGAUAUUAGCUAGUUAAGUCCAGAACAUGUAUGAAGAUUUAUUCUCUUAAUAAUAAGGCGAUGAAGGAUGUGGAUGCUGAUAUGGAAGUUUAUAAUUUAGUCGACAAGGCAGCUUUGGGUUGUAACUUAGCCUACAAGAUACUCCCUCCGGUCUCAAAUGUAGGGAAAAAAAUAAAAAAAAAUUGUGGUCUCAAAUGUAAGAAAAAGUAUAGUAAAAGCAACCUAAUAAAUGCUACUAUUCCAAUUUUACCCCAUCUCCAUGAGUUCAAGAGUCACUUUCAUUAAUUAUUACUAAAACAUGACAAGGCAAAAUUGAAAAGUUGUACUUUUUUAACAUGACUUCAAUGUAAUCAAUUCAUUUUCUUAAUUGGUGUACUUUUUUUUUUCUUUUUCCCUACAUUUGAGACCGGAGGGAGUAGUAACUUACACCCCCUAUAAUAUUUGCGAACAACCGAAAAAUACUUUGAUUUUAAAUGACAUCGGAUAACUUGUAAGGACAAUUUUUUUAAUGGCAAUAGAUGAUAUAAUUAAGGACUCCGUUGCUACUGAGUGAUAUUGAUUCAAGAACUAAUUUUCUAGUAAGUGGUAAAUUUAGCGAGUAGUUUAACAUAAUAUUAGAUGCCAGUUAAUAUAAGGAUCAAGUUGUUUGACAAAAUUCUAUGUUAGAGGAUCAAUUUUGCAUAUUCGCAAAUUUUAGAGGUGUGAAUGCUCGACUCUUACAAGUUGUGGGGAUGAAUGGAUAAUUUACUAAACCAUAAAUUUGACUUAAAAAUGCUUGCGAUUAAAGUUGUGGACCUUUUUAGGAGACUAAUAAAGUACUCAAAAGGUGCUGGAGUGUUGGGGAGACUAAUAAUUCAAGGCAAAAAAACCUUUGAUACCACACUUUUAUUAAUCUAAAUUUUAAGAAAUUAGAAAUCUAUAUCACCUCUUUGACAAUUGCUUUUUUAACAUUCAAUAGUUCCUAAACACAAGUAAAAUCCUAAAAUAUCUUAACGGUAGUUAAUUGCCGUUGACUUAUAACUAUAAAACCGGCAGCAGUUACCUGCCAUUGAAUUUUUUAGUUAUUUACUUAUGUUUCUAAGAGACAUUGAAUGUCGGAACAAAAAUUAUCCACCAAUUUAAGGAACCUGUAUGAAAUUUUACACUCACACUUUAAUCCUUUCGGAAAAGAAAAACAAAAAAAAAACACCGACACUUUAACAAAUAUGGUGGAAAUUGUAUUGGGCAAGUUAUCAACGUACCAAGCUAAGUUGGUUGCUAAAAAGUUUUGGUUGUGAGAAGUUUGUACUAUUGAGAAAUAAAGUUUCCACUCAUUUGCGAGUGGGUAAUUGAGCCUCUAUCAUUUUUGGUCCUCAAAAUAUGGAUGAUUGAUCCAGUUACGUCUCAUACUAAUUAUUGGUGUCAUUUAAUUUGGGAAAGGAAAGUUCUUUUUCACCAUGGGAAAGUUGAUCAUAUCCAUUAAAUUAAAUAAGGAACAUAUUCCUAUCAUACUCUCUCAACCACUAGAUUAUUUUUUUAUACUAUCUUUCACACUCUCUCUUUCAUGUUCCCACACACCCAUACCACCACCACUAAAUCACAAAUUCAACAACCACUUUGACCACCAUUGCACCACCACACACCACCACUGCACCACCACACACCACCAUGGUUGCUGCCGGAAAGAACUCUCCUUUCCCAAAUUAAAUGGCACCAUCAUUUUAAUCAAAACUCAAGGGUACCUGCAAAUUUUCCUAUAAAGAAUCUAAAUUAACCUAACGAUGCAAUAUUAUAUUUUUUUAGAGGGAUGCAAUAUUAUUUUGUUCAUAGUUUAUUUUAGAGGGAUGCAUAAUUAUCUUGUUGUUCGAAUUCCAACCGCCAUCGCAUAAACUAUACCUGUUUGUGAUCGUGUUUUUUUUAUCCAAUUAAUCCGUUUCUCUCCGGGUAAAAUGAUUGUAUUAUAUAAUUUUGAAUUAUAUUAUUUUUCUUCUGUUUUUUUUUUUUAUAAAAAAACAAAUGGGUUCAUGGAAGCAUAAAAAAGAAAAGAAAAGAAAAAAUGUUAAAAAAGUAAGGUUUAAAUGCAUUUUUGGUCUUUCUAUUUAAAAAGAAAAUGAUGUUUUGGUCUUCCUAUUUUAAAAAUCGUACGCUAACAAGUUUUCCGGCAGCAACCAUGGUGGUGUGUGGUGGUGCAGUGGUGGUCAAAGUGGUUGUUGAAUUUGUGAUUUAGUGGUGGUGGUAUGGGUGUGUGGGGACAUGAAAGAGAGAGUGUGAAAGAUAAUAUAAAAAAAAUAAUAUAGUGGUUGAGAGAGUAUGAUAGAAAUAUGUUUCUUAUUUAAUUUAAUGGAUAUGAUCAACUUUCCCAUGGUAGAAAAGAACUCUUCUUUCCCAAAUUAAAUGGCAUCUAGUUACUAACUUCUUUAGGUGGGGUUUAGCAUGAGAAAGGGGAAUUGUUUCCCACCAUGGGAAAGUCAAUUUGAACCAUUAGAUCUACAAUCUUAUCAUACACUCUCAACACUAUAUUUUUGUCACUAUCUUCCACUACCAUCUCUCUCCUUCAUCCCCACCAACCCACCACCAGCAACACCAUGAGAACUAUAGUUUUUACCAAUCAGAUUCAAAAUUUUAACAAUCAAUAUUCCAUGAACUUACUUUUUGCAAUUCAAAGUAAUCAAUCCUUGCAGGACACUAUAUAGGAACAAAUUGUUUGAUUUGAGGAAAAUAUAUUCUCAACCUCUGGCUGACGGAACAGUUGGGUCUUGAAUAAUAGAAGGAACAUAUAAAAAUUUACACAAGUUAGCAUACAAAUUCACACACUAUUGUGAUUAAUUUCUUUUGGAAGAAAAAAAUAUGUAUUCGUGCAGUCAGGUUAGGUUAGUUGCCUCAGCACUCAACACAAAUACAAAUGCAGAGGUUAGAUUUGUGGUCUAAUAAUGGAAGGGAAGCUUAGAUUGCUCCAAAUCUGAUAUCCACUUCAUAUAUAAUAAUAAACAAUCAAAACCAUGAGAAAUGUUUUAGAUUUGGAUUAAUACAUUGCAUCAAAGAAAAUAAAAUAAGGAUGAAGGAGAGACAAGGGAAAUUAAAUAAAUUAACAAUAAAGAGUUGGGACGGUGGUUUUGAUGAGUUGCUGGUUAUGGGUUUGUGGAGGAUGAAUGAAAGAGAUGGUAGUGGAAGAUAGUGACAAAAAUAUAGUGUUGAGAGUGUAUGACAAGAUUGUAGAUCUAAUGGUUAAAAAUGACUUUCCUAUGGUGGAAAACAACUUCCUUUUCCCAUGCUAAAUGCCACCACUUCUUUAACAUAUUGCCCCGUCAAAAUAUGGUUCCAUUUUCAUAGAUGUCUAUCAUUCCAUAGAAAAAGAGUGGAAAUAAUAUCAUCAAACACGCUUACAAACGAGAUCAAAAUUUAGAAAACAUUUAAAAAAAAAUAGCAUAGUUUGCAGUUAAUUUAUUUAAAGUUUAAUAAAUAAAAAAGCAGGGCAACUAUGAUUGGCAGUUGGCACGAGACAAGUCCCUUCAGUAGUAGUAGUACUACAGCAUUUGGAAAAAUGAGGGAAGCAAAGGAAUGAGGGAUAGCCAAGAAAGAAGGAAUAAUACUGUAAAGAGAUGACCCCACUCAAAAAAGGUACAUAAUCCAAAGUGGAAGAUGCGUCCACCCAAUUUCAUUUCUAAAACCGUGCGUCCACAGUUACUCUCUCUCAAUCGUUGAUCAACUCGCUCAACUCAGCAUACAAGAUCACAACAACGAGCAUCCAUGGUUUCCGAUUCUCCUCACAAUCUCCAUCGAGUCUCUUUCAUUUCUCUCUAUUUAUUCAAUUCAACUUUCACUAUUCCCUAUCAUAAACACCAAGUUUCAUUUUAACCACAAUUUCACCUAACCGCAAUUUUAUUUGUGAUUGUCGUGUGAGCAAGGAAAAUUCGGUGUCUAUGUGAUUGUUUAUUUUAUUUUAUUAUUAUUAUUUUUAUGGCGGUAACUGUAAUAUUGACAGGAAUUAGUUGAAGAGCCGCCAAAUGAUGAUGUGGGAACCUUGUCCAACAAGAUAAAUCAGUUGAAAAAGCAAAUCCAGGCCGAGAGAAUUCAAUCCAUUAAGGUAAGUUUGUGAUUUCGUUCUUGGAAUGGGUUCAGCUUUCUGUAGUUUGUUUGUUUGUUUGUUUGCUGGCAGGAUGUUUUUGUUUUAUCAUGGCUAAUUGUGGAAACUGGCGUUAGCAUACUGACAUUUAGUGUAUGUUUGGAUUGAUAGUGUGUUUGGCCAAAUCAAAGUGUGACAUCGUGAUUAUGACCAAAGUUACACUUUAGAGCUUCAACAAAAUCAAGAUGUCACAAUUUUUUUGUCAAACUCGUCCUGAUUCCAAACAUUUAAUUAUUAUUCCUUGCAAACUUCAUUUUGUAGAAACACCAGUUCAGCCAUAUAUGUGGAUAACUGGAAUUUAAUAGCUAGAGUUAGGGUGUGUUUGUUUUGGUUUUUUUUUAUUUUUUAUUUUUUAUAAAAGUCGCUUUUGUUAUUUUAAUAGUGUUUGUUACUUUGUUUAUAAUUUUAAAAAAUUCAUUUUUAACUCUAAGAUGAAAAGCUGUUAGGGUUAACUUUCCCUAAAAUCUAUUUUUUUUUCAAACAUGAACAAGCUAAAAAUAAUCUUUUUUUUUUUUUUUUUUAAAAAAAAAGUGAAUUUUAUGGGUAGUAAACAAACAGAAAUAACUUCAGUUUUUUUUUUUUUAAAUCUCUAGAUUUUUUAUAACAGUCUUUUCUUUUUUAAAGCUGAAGGGUGCCACACAAAAUCUAGAGCAUGCUAUAAGGGUGCCACACAAAAUCUUUCGAUUUCUGUUUGCUUCUACAUUGAGCUGAACUGCUAGUUGUUCUGAUCUGUUUUGGUUAUAUGGGUGUCACUUUCGGCAAUGUUUUUUAUUUAGCCGUGUUUAUCGGUUGAACUUUAUGUUAUGACUGUUAAAGUAAACUUAAGUGUCAAUUGAAAAUUCAAGGUUGAGAUAGCUUCUUUUUACACACCAUGCUGGAUGACUUGUGAUUAAUUGUAAUUAUUUUCUGUAGGAAAAACUUCAGAGGAACCAGAAGAAGCUGCAAUGUCAUACUUCAGGAAUAAUGUCAGCAGUAUCAACCAGGGACUCUUCACAAACGGAGGAAAAUACGACACGUUCAAUUCUUUCCUCAAGAAUGGACCGUCCUUUAUGUAAAUUCUAUGGUUUUACCCAGGGUCCAGGAGACAGAAACCAGGGCAAUCAAGACAUGUCAUCUGCUACAAGCAUCAAGAUUCCACGUAUGGAAAGAUUACCACCAUAUACAUCUUGGAUAUUUUUGGACAGGUGUUUUGACUUACAAAUAUUUAAUUUCCUAUGUUGAGUUACUCACUGCUUUAUCCAUUUUAUAAGAGAAAAUGGGAUUUAAACCUUAUUGAUCAAUGAGUAUGCAAGUUCAAUAAUAUAUUUUCUUCUAUUUUAAAAUCUUUCACACGCAUCAGGAAUCAGAGAAUGGCUGACGAUCAAUCAGUCGUUGGAAGAAGACGGAUCUAUUAUGAUCAACGUGGAAGUGAGGCAUUGAUAUGUAGUGACAGUGAGGAAGAAUUAACAGAACCUGACGGAGAAAAACAUGAAUUUUGUGAUGCUGAAGACCGUAUUUUAUGGUAAGUUAGUAUGAAGAUGUAGAAAUGCUACAUUUGCGAAGAAAGAUUCAACGAAACAAGACCAAUCGAUCUGGGUUUCAAUUAUUGUGGUUAGCUAUAUGAAUCAUUGAUUAACAUGUUUAGUUAAUGAGUCAUAUAGAUGCUCUGUUGGCGCAAACACGGAUUUUCUUGCCACGCCUUUGAGAAAUAAGACUUGUAUCACGAGUCAUGACCACACAACUUUUAAUACCAGAUUUUAACUUAUAAACCAUGAAUCCCAACUUCAUUCAAACGUUCAGCAUUUCUUCUUUCUAGAAUUAAUGUCUUGACUAUUGAAUUUCUAGUAUGGCAUUUGAGGAACAUGGGUUAAAUGAGGAGGUUUUGAAUGUUGUUAGCAAGUAUGUUGGGGGCACCAGUUUAGAAAUCCAGGUAAUCCAAAAUAACUUGUGGGAAUGAAUAUAAAAAACAAUAUAUUGCACCAUGGAAAUUUCUUUAUCAGAAACCAUUUUCAUUUCUUCGAGAAAUUGCUUUCAUAAAAAACACAGGAGAGGUACAAAAGCAUCAGAGGAAGUAAUAUUGGUAGGUUGGACCAGCAUCCUAAAAGCUCAGGAGAACAUGAAUUUCCUAUGAGCAUGUAUCUAGAGAAAAACCUGAGUGAUGCAUUAGAUUCUCUUGAUAACCUUUUCUGUCGUCGGUGCCUGGUAUGUACAAAAUCAUCAUUUUUUUAACAUUGUCAUCAUUGUCUUAGUGAAUGCGUACCUUUCUGCUUUCCUGCGGCAGAUUUUUGACUGUCGACUGCAUGGCUGUUCUCAACCUUUGAUAUAUCCCGUAAGGAACAAUGCCCUAAGUUAUUUUCAAAAUUAAUCUAUGUUACUUCAUCAAUAAAUUUAAUUUGAUGUUUAUUUCAGAGUGAAAAAAAGACAGUUUGGUCUGAGCCUGUAGGUGAUAGAAAACCAUGUGGUGAUCAGUGCUACCUUCAGGUAUUCUUCUUUGUUUGAGAUUGCAAGUAUUUUUUAUAUUUGAGGUGGGCGAGAAUUUUUGGGAGAUGAAAAUGGGUUUAUUCAAAUUAUAUAUAUAUUUUUUACUCUGCUGCUAUUUUGUUUAACGUUUUCAUUGACGUUGGAACCAAUAUACAAUAUAAAUGGUGGCUUUUCUAUCUUCUGUUUAUUAAAGAUGGAAUUAAUUCUACGCAAAAAAAAAUUGUAUGAAGCAUGUAGCUUUAACAAAACUUGCUUCCACUUUUCUGUGUGUAUACUAUAUCUUUUGCACCCAGUUACAAGUUCACUUUUUCAGUGCUUCCUUCUUAUAUAUUUGAUACGAAAGUGUGUAGAGUAAAGACUGACUGCUAUUUCAUUUUCAAGCAGUUCAAGGUUGUUAAAAGUUUUUCAAAAGAUUCAACUCCCGGGUCUUUUAGGGAUAAGAAAACUACAAUUGUAGAGGAGACAGAUGGGAUAUUGUCACCAUCCAGUGCAGAAGAACCUGGCAGUCAGAGUACUACACUUCCGACAAGAACUGAUUGUCAUGGAUAUAUCAAUUUAAAUGACCCUGACUCGGAAAACUUGAGUAAACGGAAAGUCACAAAUCAGUCUGACACGGCACAAUGUGACUCAAGAUCGCUUCCUGAUUCUCAGGAUUCUUGUAAAAAGCUGAAAAGAAUCUCAGAUGUAGUUACUGUAAUUACUGAUAAUAGCCAGAGCUUACAUUUGGAUGGACCAAAAGCUGUCACAAAUGUGACAGAACUUAAAAAUUCGUUGAAUUCAAUGGAAGAACAAGUUGAUGGAAUUCUUGGUUUCUCAGAUUGGAAACCUCUAGAGAAAGAGUUAUACUUGAAGGGAGUGGAAAUGUUUGGCAGAAACAGGUAUGUAUCUUUCUGUGUUCACCUCACAGGAUUAUGUUGAGAAAUGCUAGGGUGGCAUCAAAUUUAGUUUGAACUGUGUGGCGACACUUUCUUGUUUACAGUAUAUGUUUUAUGUUUCCCAUUUUGUAAAUAAUAAGGCAGAUUGUUUUUUUUAAUUAAAGUUUUUAUUACUUCUUAUUUUGCUUUGUAUUGGAACUAAUCCUUUAUUUCUCCAUAAAUCCUACAAUUCCGUCCUCUUUUUUAGCUUCAAUUUCAAUUAGUCUUCUUGAAUGCAUGAAUAAUUAUGGGAAAAAAAGGAAAAUAUGUAAACUUUGAAAACUCUUUGUAGUAAACUAUCUGGAAUGUGACCAAUGGUUCAUAAGCGAAUGAAACAAAAGCAUAUUUCAUUUUCUUGUCAUAAAUAUUGUACUCCACGUAGAGGUCUUAAUUUGCUUAAGUGUGUGCUUAUGUCAUGUGCAACUUAUGCUCUGCAGUUGCCUCAUAGCUAGGAACUUACUUUCUGGUUCGAAGACUUGCAUGGAAAUAUCUAGUUAUAUGCACGAUGGAGGCAUGUCAAUGCCCCACAGGUCUAUUAUUUCAGCUGGUUCAAUCAUGGACGACAAAGGAAAAUUUGACACAGAGUGCACGGUAAGAUUACAAGCUUCCAUGUUCCCAUCUUUUACCCUGCAUUCUCAUGUCUUGUUGUCUUGAGUUUUUUUCUGUUAUUUUCUUUUGGGGGUUUGGGGUGAGACUUUCUGAAGACAGAAAAUAAAAUUUUCCAUAUUUUAUUAUGUACGAAAAGGCCUCACUCGGUGAUAUAACACAUAGGGAAAUUGUAUGUCAAUUGUCUGGUUAGGUAUCAAACUUUAAAAAAGAUAAAUUGUUAUUAUGCUUGGGAUGGGAUGGGAACAAUUUUAUUUAAUGGAAAACUGGAAAGAGAUACAGAGAAACGAGCAUAAUGCUCCAAGCUAUGGAGGAUCUCUCUCUUACUUCUUAGGUUAGAGAAAAGCAGAAAAAACUUGUUAAUCCCAUGUAAAUCACUCCAUCCCUUAUACAUCAGAUUCAUCUUUUAUCUUCUCAAACUAACUAACUCUAUUACAUCCCACACUUUAGUUUCUGUACUUUCCAAUCAACCGUAGGUGUAUUAGGCCUUCAAGAAUGCACUCACAAGGCCUUGGGUUAGGGCUUCGGCUAAUGCAGAGGCAUUUUGGUUCUCAAUCCCGUAAUGUUAUCUCUGAUUUUAGAUUUUCCGUCAUUUUAUAUUUAGUUGCAUAAUAAAAAGGGUGUUGUCUGGGUUUUACAUGCAUAGUGACUGAGUUGUAUAUUUGAGCCAAUGUAUAUUUUUUUCUUUUUUCUUACCUCUGGUUUUUUGUAGCAUUGGGAAGAUUCCCUAAUCCUCCUGUUUUGUACAAUGAGUUCUUCAGUUUUGUUUUAACUAUAGAACAUUAUUAUAUCUUUUGCACCCUUUUUCCUCUCAACUUCUAGCAACUUAUACUAGUACGGAGUACCCUACUCUUUACUUGCCACAAAAGUCGUUUUGAAUGUGAAUGUUUGUGCUAGGACCAAGACAUGCCAUCUAGACCGAGGUUGCUGAGAAAAAGAGGCAAAACAAGGAAGUUCAAAUAUUCUUGGAAGUCUGCUGGUCACCCAACAAUAUGGAAAAGAAUUGCUGAUGGCAAAAACCAAUCUUGCAUGCAGUAUACUCCAUGUGGGUGUCAAUCAAUGUGUGGAAAGGAUUGUUCUUGUCUUAAUGGUGGAACAUGCUGUGAAAAAUAUUGUGGGUACGUAGCUUUUCAUUUAAUCGUGUAUCUUAGCAAUGCAAUGAAGGCGAAAAUUGCAUAUUUCAUAAUUCUCAAUGGCCGUGUGUUGGUCGUUUGAAUAAUAUUGUUAGAAAAUUAUGGGCUAUGGAUGAACUUUGACAAGGUUGGUCUGGAUAAGAUGGCCAAGUAUGGUUUUACCUGUUUAGAUAAAAUUUUGAACUAACUGUAAACGAACAUUUAUUUCAAACUGUUAAAAUAAAGCUAUUGACUCAAUGCUUCUUUUCGUGUUCGCAAAGUUUCUAUAGAAUGCUUUUCCAACUUGAUUUGUGAACUAUUAUCCUGACUUAGGUUUCUACAAAACAGGUUUUACCUGUUUAGAUAAGAUUUUGAACUCAUUAAACUAUAAACGAUCAUUUAUUUCAAACUGUCAAAAUAAAGCUAUUGAUUCAAUACUUUUGUUCAUGUUUGCAAAGUUUCUAUACAAUGCUUUUCCAACGUGAUUUUUGAACUAUUAUCCUAAAUUAAGUAAUGUAAGUGUUAACGAAUUAUAAUUUAAAUAUAACAAUUUCUCCUACCUUCAGUUGUUCAAAGAGCUGCAAGAACCGGUUCAGAGGUUGCCAUUGUGCCAAGAGUCAAUGUAGAAGUCGACAAUGCCCAUGUUUUGCUGCUGGACGUGAAUGUGAUCCAGAUGUCUGUCGAAAUUGUUGGGUUAGGUAAUGUACCAAAUAUUUUUACUUUAAACCUGAUGUUAUGCCUCUUCGGUUUUUGAAUUACAUGUCAUGAUUCUAUUACAUCACCUGAUUUAGGGAUUCAUUAUUCAUUAGUAAUAUUUUUACCCCAAUAAUUGGAGAGCAUCUACUGCUUGUUUAGAUAUAUCAUGUCAAUCCUUUGUGGUUUUUCUUAUCUUGCUAACCCCAUUGAAGAUUACUGCACACAUUGCCUGUUAGCCUAUCUUUUUUAUUAAGAUUAUUUUUCAUAUUUUUUUGUUAUUACGAUAAUUUAUUUCCAUAUUUUAUUGAAAUUUGUCUUGUAUUGACUAUUAGUACAAAUAAUGAUCAACAUUUAAUAUUUUUUGUAUCAUCAAAUCAUAAAUAUCAUUAUAUCAAAUUAUAUUCAUAAUUAUAUCCACUUGGGUUGGCUUGGGACCUUGGAGUGUGCUCCUCUCAAGGUCUCUGGUUUGAUUCUCCCCAAUGUCAAUUUCGGUGGGCUAGUUUGGCUUCUUCAAAAAAAAAAAAAAUUAUAUUCGUAAUUCAGAGUCUUUAACAUUUACCUUCCGCUCUUUAUGUAAAACCCUAUAACUUCAAUAUGUUAUCAAUCUAUCAGAGCGGUACCCUCUUCCCUGACCUGUCUUGUAACUAUUUUUAUAUAGAAUUCCCCAAAGUAUGAAACUCCAUUCAGAGUUGGAACUUAAAUCAUAUUAUUAACCAUACUCAAAUUCCAACCAUUUUUCUCUUUCCUACAUUAUGUCUGUCAUCUUUUUAGCGUGUCUUGAAGCGCUCUUCCUCCUCCAUAUCAUCAUUUUGACAUGUUUUGAAGCUCUCCUCUGCCAUUUUAUCCCUGACCUGUCUUAAUUUCGGUUUUGCAUUGGUUUUGUCUCAGUUGUAACCUGACACCAGUUCUGUUUUAGAUAUGGUUUGACACUGGUUUUAUUUUGGUUGCAGUCUGACUUCAAUUUUGUCUCUAUUGCAGUUUAGCAAGACUUUUUCCCCCAAUUGCAGUAUGGCCCUAGCUUUUGUCCCGACUGCAAUUUGUCUCGAUUCAUGUUCCAUACGUGAUCCGGCUCUACCUACUUUGAAUAUCAAAUUACACUACUAGUUUUAUUUUCCCUUUCAAAUGGCAUAUUUAUAACAAGCUUAGUAAGCUUUUAUAUUGAGUGUUAGAAUAUAUAAAAAUAUUUUAUAUUAUCUUUGAUAAUAUCUUUCAUUUUUCGAAAGUAUCUUGAUGUAUUCUUAGGAUUGGUUUAUUUCCCUAAUCAAUUAGGAUAUGUGGUCUUGUAUAAGCAUAGAUAAAGGUUAGUGUUUACUCUUUUUGUAUCAAAUAAUAACUUUCGAAAUAUCAAAUUAUAUUCAUAAUUUAAAGUCUAUUUUUUCUCUUCCCUCGUUAAUCAUGAAAUGAUGAUCUCCACUUCACCUUUAUCUUGUAGUUUGACACCACUUUUGUCUAACUUUUACGAUUUUCUUGGACUUUGAAUUCCACUAUCCACGUUAAAUCAUCGCAAAUGCCUUUAAAGAUCACACUUUUUGUACAGCUGUGGGGAUGGUACACUGGGGGAGCCACAUCGGCGUGGAGAAGGUCAAUGCGGAAAUAUGAGACUUCUUUUAAGGCAACAACAGAGGGUUAGUAGUUCUGAGUUGAUUUAUAAUUAUCUGCACGCCAUCGUCAUAAAUCAAAGUGAUGAGUACCUAAUGCAUGUGAUUUGUCUCGCAUUGUUUUUAUUUUUUUGUCAGAUUAUCUUAGGGAAAUCUGAUGUUUCUGGAUGGGGAGCCUUCUUAAAGGUUAUGAUUAAUGGAUUUCUUUGUUUUCUAAUUACGUUAGCUUCUUCUGCUAACUAACUGAUGAUUACAUUUCAGAAUCCUGUUAACAAAAAUGAUUACCUAGGAGAGUACACAGGUGAACUGAUCUCGCACAGAGAAGCCGAUAAGCGUGGGAAAAUAUAUGAUCGCGCGAAUUCAUCUUUCCUUUUCGAUUUGAAUGAGCAGGUAUGUGUCUCACAUGAUCUGCAUUCUCUUAACUUGAGCUGCUCUUGGUUCGUCAUUGACUUGAGUUCCUUGUAUUUUAUGAGUCUGAUCAUACACUGUUUUGCUGUAUUUCUGUUGGGUUUCGUCAAUCUAUAGUCCCUUCCCUCACAUUUCUUUCUUGGCAAGCUAUAACAUUUGGAUUUCAAACUGAUUAUUUUAGAAUUUAAAUCUGCUUUCUGUUUCUUCACCAGUAUGUUCUUGAUGCUUAUCGUAAAGGAGACAAGUUGAAAUUUGCAAACCACUCAUCAAACCCCAACUGCUAUGCAAAGGUGAGUCCAGAAAAUCAGAUUGUUGGGAGGUUUAAAACUUGUACCCCAUUUAUGUUGUGAAAACAUUUUCUAUUUUCAUUUCCUAAAAUAUGUGUUAGUUUACCUUGUUAACAAGGAGAAAAUAGACUUUUAAAGUGAGUGAUUGCGAUAGAGAGAUGAUAAAAUGUUAGCUAAAGAUGAAGCAUUUUAUGGAAAUGCAAAACAAUUUUUCACUUCAAAGAGUCUCUCUUCCCAUUGUUAACAAGUAAAGUUAUCACAAAUUUAAAAAAAUAAUAAUAAUGUUUUCGCAAAGUAAACGGGUCCUUCCAUUUUGGACUUUGUAGCUUGAACGUGAUCUUUGAACUGUCACAAUGAUUACCCUCUUGCACUGCUGCUAUAGGUUAUGUUGGUUGCUGGAGAUCAUCGAGUUGGCAUAUUCGCCAAGGAACACAUUGAUGCCGGUGAGGAGCUCUUCUAUGAUUAUUGCUAUGGUCCAGAUCAAGCACCUCCAUGGGCUCGGAAACCUGAGGGUUCCAAGAGAGACGAAUCAGCAGUUCCACAAGGUAGAGCAAAGAAACACCAAUCCCAUUGAUGAGCCAUGGCCAAUGUCCAGCUUGUAUAAACUUGUGGCUUCUACCAGUAUAUUCUCAACAGAGACAAACUUGUGACAUCUCAUGGGAAAGACUCGAGCAACUGUCACUGAAAAGGAAACUAAUAAUUAAUUUGUAGAUGCUAAUAUGCCCUAAAUUAUGGGUAGGGUAUAGUUAGAAAAUAAAAUGGGCAAGAGAUGAAGCAGAUCAAUGUUGAGAGCAAUAAGCUAGAAAUUAGGCUAGCAGUUGGUAUCCUGAGUAGAAAAUUUCCUUUUGGAUGCCCUGCACAUAUUAUUCUACAAACAUGUUUGCUUAUUUGGCAUAAUUUUUCAUAAGAUAAAUAUUCCUAAUAGAGAAAUAGAUAAAUCUUUCUUUGAGGGAAUUCCACUCUUAUCCUUCUACAUGAGUCAAUUUUGCUCAUUGCUGAUAGAUAGAAGUAGUGAUAUGACCUCCUCUAAGGGUUUUAUUUUUCAGGAUGAAUUGGAUCAAGGACUUUCUACCGAGGAGUUUGCAAAUUUUGAAACUAGAGAACUAGAUUGGGGGGUUAAUUCCCAAUUACCAAUUCUGCCAAAAGUUGUGUGAGCAGCUACAAUACAAAUAAAAUCAGCGCUGAUUUCCCAAUUUGUUAUUAGAACUUUGAACUCUUUUUAUGAGAAUAAGCGAAAUGCUAACUAAGGGCACAUGUAUGCACUAAUAGAAAUUAUAUAUUGAAAAUUGUGUUAAUUUAUACUUCCUCCGUUCUAUUUUAUAAGCAAAAAAACAUUAAUUCACACUUAUUAAGAAAACUAACACUUAGUGAUUUGAGGUAUAAUUUUUUGUGUUCUCCUUGGAAUAAGUUUCAUGGAAAGAUGUAAAAAUAAUUUUCAUUGGUUAAAAAUUAUGGAGAAAAUAAAAAGGAGAACAAAUUGAAUGCAACUUGCAUUUAAUUUUACAUUGGAAAAAAUGAUUUGUUUGAAAAAACAUAAUAAUAGCAUAAAAGUUGAUCUUUUUUGCUUAUAUUUUGAGACAAAGAAAAUGAGAUUUUUUUGCUUAUAUUUUAGGACGGAGGGAGUAGCUCAAAAUGUUUAAUAUUAAUUCUUUUUCAGUAAGUUCUUACUAUUAAUGGAAUGACAUUAAUGCUUAACAUGUGUCUUAAGGACGCAAGUUAACAUACCCCUUUAAAUAAUAUACACGUAAGGUUUAAUUACAUUUUUUUUUUCCCUAUUUUUACCUGUUCAUAGAAUUGGUCUUCCCUUUUAAAAUCUAAAUUUUGGUUUCUUCUUCAAAUUCCUAAACUCAAAAUAUGGGGACAUAUUCUAAUCACACAGACAUAUGCUUUGACAAUGUAGAAUCAUUCGUAUGAAUUUAACAUGUCAUUAAUUAAAAAUUCAAAAAUGAAUUUUUUUUAAGUUUAAACUGAGUUCCUUAUAAAGUGUCUUUUUUUAGUUCAAACAAAAUUUGAGGGAGGGGCUAAAAUUGAGAGAUUUUAAAAUAGUUGGACUAAAAUUGGGAGAUUUUAAAAUAGACCAAUUUCAUGACUGGCUAGAGAGACAGAAACUACAACUUUUUUUUUUUUGCUGAAUCAUGAUAAAAGGAAGACAUCAGGAGGAAAUUGCAAUAUUAACUAUCAAAAUUAUUAAAAGAUAAGGUAUCAUUAUAUUGAGUGUGUUUUAAUGAUUUAAUUUAUAUGCACCGUCAAUGUAAAAAAUAAAUUAUAUUUUGUAAUUUUUAGAUCAUUAUAAACGUUUGACUUUUUUUCUUAUAUCAUAAUAAUGUUUAAAGUGGUACACAUAAUUGGUUGUGAUGUUUUACAAUGUGCAUGAAAAUUAAAUUCGAUCUAAUUUGAUAUUGUGAUUUGACUGUUUCAAUUAUUAAUUUGUUGUCUAAUUGGAAACCCUACGAUCUGAUUGAUUGAGCAAAAAGGCGAACAAGAGAGUAACGAAGAAGAUAAAUAUGGGAGAGUAAGAACCUCAUUGUUCGGAAUUGGAGCAAAAGAGAAAAUUGGUGGAGUGAUCCUACCACAAACGGAACCAUAAAGGUAAGGUCAUUGGCUUUGGUUAAAUGGGUAGUGAAUCUCUUCCAUCUAUCAAUAAUGUCUUACUUGUUGAAGGAUUAUGACAUAACCUACCAGACAUAGGUCAAUAGGUAACUUUUAUUAAUGUAGUAAUAUGUGAAGAGUGUGGAACAGACUAACAAAAUCGAAGGGAGUGGGAGGUAGUAGAUUAUUUCACGAUGAAAGAAAACAUGUUAUCCUACCAUUGACAUUGAGCAUUAUACCGACAGAGACAAAAACAAGGACUACAGCAUUUAUGAACUUACAGUUACACCAAAUUUCCACCAGAGUUUAUUCUUUCUAGAUAGUAUCAAUAAAUGCUACGAAACCAAACAUAAAAAACCAAAGGAACACCAAAUUUCAACCAAAUCUGUUUAGAUUUAUGGAAAGUGCUAUGAAUUAAAACACAGCCUCAACAAUUGCAUGCUUCUUUUUAGGGUAUCCAAUACCAACCAUAUGGUUUAGGUACACUUUCCCAUCCUUCACAGUAGCUGAUGUAGCCAAACGAUGUUUAGGCCCUGAGAAUUUUGCAACAACAGAAGCUGUAUUCCAUCCAUCUAAACUCUCCACUAAUCUCCCUGAAGGAUUUCCAGCAACUACCACCUUAUUAGGAGACAAUAACUCUAAACCAUCUCCAAAAUAAAGUGGCCCUCCAACAACAUUUAUAAUCUUCACUUCCUCUCCUUUUGUUAAAUCAAUCUUGAACAAAUUACCACUAAAAGUGUGAAUUACUAUUAAGAAUCCAUCUGGGUGGUAAACAAUUCCAUUAAGGCCAACCAAUGUUUUGUGCCACUCUUUUGGAGUGAAUAGUGGGUUUCUAAUGAUUGAUAUAAGGUUUCCACCAACCCCAACUUUCCAUAUUUUACUUGCUUUUACAUCAGUAACAUAUGCAUUGCCUUCUGCAUCAACUGCAACAUCGUCUGCUAAGGCUUUCUCAUCACCUGCAUUGAAUGGGGAACCAAUAUUAAAUAAUUGAGUCAAAAAUUGGAUAGAGUUGUUACAACUUUCAACACUAGCUAGCACAUUUCAAUAUAGCGGCAAAUUUAAUAAUCCCAACAAUAUCACCAUAAAUUAGUAAUUAAUAUCUUUGAACUUCCAAAGUUCAACCAAUAGGUACUACCUCCAAUCCUAUAGUAUAAAGUUUGGUCAACAGAAGAAGUAGAUAUCAACUUCUAUUGACUCAACUUUUUCGUAAAUAAAAUCUAGUUAAGGAUUGUCUUAGUCAGAAUUCAACUCAACUUUUUCAAACCAUAUUUUUUUAAUGUUCCAAUUGUUUUCACAUUUUACCAUAAAAUUUACUAAUUGUCUUUUCCACUACAAUGGUGCUUGAAACGAAAAAGUUACCGAGUAUCAAGAUGUGAAAACUGAGCAAUUAAGGUUGAUUGUCAAAAUUUGGUGAGCAACUCGACAUCUAGAUAUGAGGUAUAACGUGUCUACCUACAGAGUUAUCAUGAAUCAAAACGAAAAAUAAUCCAUCGAUAAAAACAAAGAGAACAAUAAACGUGCAGGUCAUGCAUGGUUGGAAUAAUUAUAUUGAAAUAUUAAAAAUUGUGAAUAAGGACACACAACAAACAUCUAACCUUUGUUCUUCGUAUCCUCGACCUUUACUACGUUCCAAACAUAACAAACCAACCAUGCAUAUACAAUAUUAAAUUUCAAAUAACAAAGAAUAGAUCAAGUGGCCAGUAUCCCAGGGUGCAAGUGAUUGGUGCAUAGAGUGUGUGAACGUUGUAUUGUAUAUCUUGGACAUUGAGCUCGAUUCCAACAAAUAAAAAAGUAAUUUUGUACUACUAUUUUUCUAGUUAACUCUUGUUACGUUGUAGGUAGGAGUAUAACAUCUUUUACUGGACUCAAUCAUGUAACAUGGUCCAUGUAUUAACAUUUUAAACAUUAUAUUAAAUGAUUAGAUCUAUAAACAAAAUUAAACCGUUGAAUGGGUUAAUUUAUUUUUUAUCUCUAUGUAAAACGAUAAUCACCACAUGCUACUUACACACACUUUAAAGUUCUGAAUGUUCAAUAUAACAAUAUUAGCAUUUAUCAAUUGAGCUAUUUAUUCUUAGAGACUUGAAUUAGUUAUUUAUUUCGGUAAGAACUUGAAUUAGUUAUUCCUAACAUAAAAUUAUUAAUAUACUCUCUCUAUCUUUCUUUUUUUUUUUUAGCAAAAUACUCUGUCUAUGUAUUAAAUUAUAAGUCAUUUGACAAUUCCAAACGUAUUAAUAAAAUAUAGUUAAUUUCUUUUUUAAAAAAUUAAUACAAAAUUUAGUGAAUUGAAAAUAAGAGAGGGUAAAAGUUAAACUAAUACAAAAUACAAAUGCAUGAUGACAUUGAAAUAUUUGAUGAUAGUUAAAUACGUAUACCAACUAAACUCUCCAUUACAUCAAGUUUGUUUUAUAAAUUGGGACGGAAGAGUAAUUAACAAACAUAUUUCCCUAAAAACAUGAAUAUAUUCGGAUUUACGCACUCACGUACACGAGUUUAUGAAUAUGAUAGAAAAUCGAAUCAAAAAAAAAAAAAAAGGAAAAAAGAACAUGAACAUGAAGAAAUAAUAAUAGUAAAAUAAAGAAGAAAAAUACUUACUAGGACCCGAGAGUUGAGUAAGAAAGAGGCGUUUCCACGUAGAAAGAUCAUAAGCAACAAGCGCACUGUAACGAUUUCCUCUAACAUCAGCGUUUACAACCAAAAUCCGAUUCCGACUCCGGUCAAUCGUCAUCCCCAACGACGCAUUACCGGCCAACUCCGUUUCUUUCAGAACAGUCGCUUCCUCAAACACUGUUCCAGCUUCUGAUUCCUUCUCCGGCACAGAAAUUUGACCGAUACCACCUUCAAAGAAAGAGUUUAUGAAACGGUGGUUAUCGGAAUCCCACUUUGCACAUUCUCUGAAAAAGCCUUUGCUGUGAUAGUGGUAAACGUGAGUUGAGGGUUGAGUUCGUUCGAGAGAUAUGAUUAUGCCGAUGGGUAUGGCUGUGAGAAGGAAGAGAAUGGCGAGGAAUUUUGGAGAACAGAGACAUGAACAAGCCAUGAGAGAGAGAGAGAGUUUGGGUUUUUGUGAAAAAAGAUUUCCAAGAGAAAAAUGAAAAUGGGUAUUCGAUCCUUGUUAGGUGGCAAUUGAGUAUGGAAUUGUUUAAAUAAAUAGACCCCACUACCCAUACAUGUUUGAAAGUCGUGAUACUCUUGUGAGCAUGUUCCUCGUGUGACAUUUACACUAUUUUUGGUUUGAGAGAAAUUGUGAAGUGAUAAAUAGGUGAGAGAGAGUAUGGAAAGAGAGAAAGAGGUGAGAAAUAGAAUAGAUUUAAGGUAUUGUUUGGUAUAAAAGAAUAAGAAGAGAAAUAGAAAAGAGAAAAGUGUAUUAAUUUUUUAAAAGUACAAGAAUACCCUUAAAUAAAAAAAGAACAGUCAAAUUUAUUUUUAUCAUUAUUCAAUUAUUUAAUUACAUAAUCAAUUAUUUUUAUCUGCAACUAGACUUAUAAAAAAAAGUUACUAACCCAUUUAUUUUCUUAAAUGCAAAAUACAUUGUAAUAUUAAGAUGAAAAAAAACGUUACAAAAAGUGAGGACUCGUGAUAAAACGAGGGUAAAAGUGAAAGUUUGAGAAAAAAGUGUGUUAUUCUUCCACUUUCUUCGCAGGCCAGAGGAGAAAUUAAAAGUAAUUGGACCCUACCAGUUUUUAUCUCUCUUUCCUUUUUCUAUGUUAAACCAAACAGGAUAACAUUGUUGUCUCUCUUUUAUUUCUCUCUCUCCUAUUUCUCUCUUUGCAAGUUCCUCUUGCUGGGAAGAAUCGAACCUGAGACCUUGAGGAGGAGCACACUCCCAAGUCAAUACCUUUAGUGUGACAUUUAGAUCUAUUUUCAACAACAAAUAAAACACAUCCAAUUUAAAGACUUGUAAUUAAAAUAAAAUUAUUUUAGACAUAUGCUCCCUCUGUUUUAAACAUAUGGUCGCUUUAGAAAAAAAAAUUGUUUUAAAAUGAAUGUCACUUUCAGUAUCCAAUGCAAUAAUAUUUUUUCUUUAAUGAAAAAAAAUCAAUGGUUAAUUAUGGUAAUUUGGUAAAAUAAUAUCUCUCUUUCUUUUAAUUAUACAUUUCUUAAUAGGUGUGUGAAAACAUUAAACGACAUUUAUUUUAAAACGGAUUGAGUACUUUUUUUAAAAAAAAAAAAUUUUUUGAAGGAAAAAAAAUAAUUAUUUUAUACAUAUAUGUCAGUUUAAUAAAUAUGGAUAUACGUUAAUUAUCAUAUUCAUUGAUUUGUGUGUAAAAUAUUUUUUUUAAAAGAAUGUGAAAUCCAAACUCUUAUACAAUUCUCUUAAAAAAAAAUCACCAUAGAUAGGCAGAACUAGCCUUACAAAUGCAUCACAAUUAAAGUUAAAUAAAUGAGAAAUAUUAGAAACAUGCAUUUUAACACACACUUUUCAAUACAUUCUUUUUUAUUAAUUAAAAUUUAUACGAGUCUCACCAAAUUAUAUGGGUCCGAUAUAAUUUUGAUGGGUUCCAUAUGAAUUCUAACAAAUCAAAGAGAGUGUGUUAAAAAGUGUGUGUUAGAAUAUGUUGCUAACAUUUCUCUAAAUAUUAUAAUAUUGCUCAAAAAGUUUUUCAUACACAAUAGAAGCUUCCUUAACCACCUUUUAUAAAGCCUUUCCCCACAUAUAACUUCCUCAUAUUUUUUUUAAGAGCAAAAAUAAGAUUUGUGAAGAACAUUUAUGAGCACAAGAAAUGUUAAAAAAAUGUCCAAAAAUAACAAGAAUGUGUUUAGAGGACAUAACCCCUUACCAACAUCAAAUACAACAACAAGAAAGCCAUAGAACUUCUAUAAGAAUAUAAAAACUCGAACACCAAUAAACCACUAAUAGCCCCCAAUUCAAACAAGAUACCAAAAUAUGCUAAGAAAUUGAAAAAAAGAGUCAUUAGGAUUUCGCUCCAAAUCAUUAUAACAUCCUCGUGUAAUAUUACCCCACAUAAAACCUAUGCAGCCACAAGCUAGAAAAAAAAAAACAGGCUAAACUUUCCUAUUAAAUACACUCCAAAGACAAAGUAAACCUGUGAAGCUCCGAUACUUUAAAAUGGAUGACGUACCGUAUCCCCUGCGUAUCCUGCACCGAUAUCUGCCCAAUACUUCUCGAUACGUAUCCGAAGAAUAUCCAAAUAUUAAAUUUUAUUUUUUUAAAAAAUAAUUAUACGAUACUUUCCGAUACAUCCCGAUACGCACGGAUACUUGUGUUUUUUAUAUUAUUUUGAUUUUUUUUUAUAAAAAAUAAGAAUAGAAACAUUAUAUUACUAUAAUAUAUAAUAUACAUACAUUUCCUUUAUCUUUCUUUGGUGCCAGUACGACCCACACCACACAACCAAUUGCAUUUUUCUCUUUCUCUUAAUCGUCAAUAUUAUAUUUAUAUUAAUGUGCUACGAGCAUGGUUUCUUGUGUUUGUUAAUAUACUUGCAUAUUAAAAAAAUGGUUAUAAUUAUAUAGUACAUUUAAUUAUAUAAUUUUUUUUUUUAUUAACGUAUCCCAGCCGUAUCGUAUCUUAAUUUUUGAAAAUUUUCCGUAUCGUACCCGUAUCGUAUCUCGUAUCUGGACUUCACAGAAGUAAAUACUUUUCAGCUUUCAAACUAUUUCAAAUACAUGUUUGAAAGUCGUUUUCGCUCCAAAUCAUUAUAACUUCCUCGUGUAAUAUUAACCCACAUAAAACUUACGCAGCCAAAGCUAGAAAAAAAAAAACAAGCUAAACUUUCCUAUUAAAUACACUCCAAAGACAAAGUAAACACUUUUCAACUUUUAAACUAUUUUAAUUACAUGUUUGAAAGUCGUGAUACUCUCUUAAGCAUUCCUCGUGUGACAUUUAGAUCUAUUUUGAAACAAAAAACACAUUUAAUUAAAAUAAAAUUAUUUUAUACAUAUAUAUGUCAUUAUUAUCGUAUUCAUUGAUUAAUGUGCAAAAUAUAUUUUUUUAAAGAAUGUGUGAAAUAAUUGUAUAUUGAAAUUUUUUUUGAAUAAAUUAUACAUUGAAGAUAAAAUUAAGAGGUAAUAGUCUUUUAAAAUAUCCUCUGUACACUACGUUAGUUAAAACAAUCUCUUGCAUUAAAAUAUUUCAUUAAUAAUUAUCAUAUUAGUUCAUGAGUGUACUUUUUUUUUUUUUAGAGUCAUGAGUGUACUUAUUUAUUAUCAUAUUAAUCUCUAUAAAUAUUACAUAUUCUCAUAUCACUCUCUAUAUAUUAGUUCAUCUUCCGGUGUUGGAACCCAAAACCAAAAGAUUGCUUAUUGCGGUAACAAUGAGGUCCGGUGCUGCUGUUUUGAUAUGGAAUGGCCUGCUACGGUUUUCUUUUUCUGCUGGAUGCCAUCUUAGUGUGGUUGGCUGUUUUGAUAGGUGGCAGCUGUGUAGAGAUUGGUUAUAAUAGUGGGCUUAGGGGAUUGUUUUGCUUUUGUUUUUGGAUGGUGUAAUAAUAAUAGGAGUAUUACUAUUUCCAUCUUAUAGCAUUCUCGCGUGCCCUACGUUUUUUACAAAAAUGUCUUUGAGGUUUCCGGAUUUUAUAAUUCGGAAUGGUAUUUUCCUUUGUUAAAAGUGAAAAAUGAGUUACGGAUUUUUCCAGAUUUUGUAAUCCAAAAAUAGGGCGCGUUACAUGAUUUUUUCAGAUUACAUAAUCCGAAAACUCCCUAAACACUCUUUUUUUCAUGGUGUUGAUGCAAUUCGGAUUACGUAAUCCAGACAGCAGCAUCACUUGUGUAAACAGAGGGUGUGAUGGCUGGAGCUAAGGCAGCUGUUGUUGCUACUGUUGCCACUGUCAUUCCAACUGUAACCACUCCUUCCAAUUGCAUUUCUUUCUAGAAGUAUUGAGUCCUUAAAAGUUCUGCAAAAAUUAAAAUGCGUCUAGAAGCCAUUAAAAUUAUACGUAAAGAAGUGUUGGAUUUAAACUUGUAUUGUCCCCUUUACCACUUUGUAGCACAUUAUUCUGUUUUUUUUUUCCUUCCUUUUUUACUGUUGUAUAUAUUCUGCUCUAAUCUUUCUUUCUCUUUGUUGCUUCCUAAAUCUUUCUUCCAAUCCCUGUUAAAUGAUCCAUGUUAUUGAUAAACAAAAGACAAAGUAAAGCAUCAUUACAUGAGCAAAACUCAUCUUUAAAAUGGUGAUAACGGUUUGUAUCUCUUGCAAUUUUUUCAUGGUGCUGAUGCAAUUCGGAUUACGUAAUCCAAACUGUAAAUGGACAUUUUUAAAAAUUUUACAGAGCGCGCGAAAAAUCAACAAGGUGGAAAAAGUAACACUCUAAUAACAGUGGGGGGCGGUUACUGUCAUGCUCUUUGGGUUCUGUUUUGUUUUGGUGGUUUUGUAAUUUUACUUCUGUGCAAGCUAUGUGUUUCUUCAAUUAUAUUCACAGGCUUAACUUAAUAAAUUUGCUGUUUAAAAAAAAAAAAGUCGCUAUAUUAAAAUAGUUAAUAUCAGCAUUGAAUGACUAUUUUAACUAAUGAAAUGCAGAUAUUAUUUUAAAAUUUUGAUACAUUGAAGAAUUAUUGCGACUACUUGUUAUUAAAUUAGAGAGCAAAAUAACUCUACAUGUUUAAAUUUUAAGAUUAUACAUGUAAUUUAGCAAAUAAAAUUAUUCAAUUGUUUUUAAUAAAAAAAAAAUUAUAAUAGAAUAAACCAGCCUUAUUACAUUUAUUUUAGUUUUUGAUAACAAAAACAAGAUUUAUAGUCUUUUAGUUUUAUCAAUUACACUGUAUUGGUACACGCAAAACUGGGGAAAAUAUUAAUACAAAAUUCAGGUUGAAUUAUUUAUUUGAUUACCAUAAUAAUGUUUUGAAUAAUAUUAAAUAAUUUUAUUUUUAUUUCAAUUAAUGACUACCAUUUAAAUUUCAUAAAAAAAUUAUUUAUACUUCUUAAUCAUACAGAUAUAUACUCUCUUUUUUUUAAAUAUAGAAAUAUACAUAUAAAAUGGUUUGAUCCAAUGUAUAUCUACGUUGCAAAUCUAUAUCAAUUCUUAAGGAAGUUUUUAUUACUAAAAAUGUUCUAAAAUAUAAUUGUUUGGAAGGGAAGUUUACUGGAUAUGUUUGGGUGGAGGAAUUUGAAGAGUUGUGUAUAAAUUUUUAUAUUUAUUUAAGAUUUUAAAAAAAAAUUAAGUAUAAAAAAACGGUUUAUUUGCUUUAGAAAAACAUUUAUAGUUUUAUUUGUACCACUCUCGAAAAUUUAAGUUAACCAAAUAUAUGGUCUAUGAAACCACAUUUUUUUCAGCUGCGUGACCACUAUUUAGAAACUGAAAAAAAUAUAGUCACGCAACUAAAAUGCGUCUGACCACUAUUUUUCUACUUAGUUAACCAAAUAAAUUUUGGAGAAAUAGUGGUCAAGCAACUAAAAAAAUAUGGUCACAUAUACCAUACAUUUUGUUAACUGAAAUUUUUCAGAGUGAUACAAAGAGGUGUAUACUUUAAGGUUGUCUAUCUAUCAUUACUCUAGAUAAAAACAAGUCAUCUUUUCUCCUUGUCCCCGUAAUUAUUAAUUCAAGCGUACAUUAAAGGUUAAAUAUUCUUCUACAAAAAUAAAAUACAAAAUUAAAGGUUAAAUAUAUUUUUAGUUACUAAAAUAUAUGUAUUGUAUAAAUUUAGUUUAUGCAAUUUUUGUCGAAGUUUGAUUUCCCACUUAUUUCUUGUUUUCAAAUAUGGCCCGUUUUUGUUUAUGCUAAAUGAAUUAUGGGUGUAAAUGGAUCGAGUAAAUUCAAUGAACGUAAUUUUUUUUUAACUAAACUGAAAUUUAUGUGUUUAUUUCUCGCGAAAACCAAUUUGUGACGCACCCAUUCUCGCAAAAAUGAAACACUAACCCAUUACUCCUAGAACACUAUAUAGGAAAAGGGGCUGAGAGAAGGGGGACUUUGCAAACCAAAAAAAAAAAUAUAUAUAUAUAUGAAAGUUGUCCAUAUAAGGUUGCACAACUAGCGAUGAUGGUGAUCUAUAUCAAAAGUUGAUAAAGAGUCGACGAUAAAAUUGGUCUUGCAAUCUAUACAAAUCUACUUUACGAAUAUCUUCCUUCUUCCCUUGGAUGAUAUUGAAAUUUUCAUGCAUUCCUUUUUGGGGGCGACAAAUCUAAUGAUAGUAAAGGCAUUAGAUGGAUGUCUUGGGAUCACAUGGAGGAAUGGGUUUUUGCAAUUUAUACACUUCCAACCUAUCUUUGUUGGGAAACCAAGGAUGGCGCAUAAUGACUCAAUCAGACACAUGUUCAUGGCUAAGAUUUUCAAUGCUCGUUACUUUCCUUAAAAAAAAUUCCAAAUGCCUCGAAGGGGUGUAAUGCAAUUAUUGUUGGGAGGAAUCUUUAUUGAAGCAUUCCGAUUAUGAGAAAACGAGUCCGCGAUAAAGUGAAAAUUUUUCACGAUUAUUUCACUCCCGAAACUAUCUUAGUUCAACCAGCCUCGUAUGCUAAUGUCAAUAGUGAGGUGACGAUGCAAGAUUGAGAACAGAAGAUGAAAUUUGAAUGUUAUCCCUAAGUUGGUGGAACCAUAGUCCAUAAUGUCAAUUAUUAAUAGACUUAUGUUGGAAGUGGUUCAGGAAGACGAUGCAUCUUGGAGAACAAACUCGUGUCGAUAGUAUACGGUCUGAUCAGCAUAUCAUUUUGAUCAUAUCAUUUAUGUUUGGAUGAAGUGUUGGAUACUAGUUAGUUGACGGUAGUUAAAUGACAUUUGAUGUGGUGUGGAUGGGGGCUAGAAAUUGUUUCCGGGUUCAAGCUCGCUUGAGUAGCAAAUGUACCGCGGUUGGUACUCAAUAUUUGUGGUGUGAGGAGCAAUCUGAGACCAUUUAUCACAUAUUUCGUUACUAGCUCAUGUGUGAUACAAUCCGAGCUUGUGAUGGUUUUAAGGGAAUCAGAUUCCUUGCUGUUACAGCAGGGUGAUGUAAAUGAUCCAGGCCAUUCAAUUUUAAAUUGAUGGCUGAGAUUAUUUUACUGUGUGAAACUGUGAUUAAAUCUGGACCGACGGAUCUCAUAUUUACGGCUGAGAUGUGCUACAGCGUGCAACUGCGUGUAAAUUUACAGCAGCAAAUCCUAAUCCCAGUUUUAAGGAGGUCAUGUUCUAUCUUUUUGAGGUUUUUUCAUCAGAGAAUGAGGAAGUGUUGCUUGUGUUUAUAUGGAGUAUUUGGAAGAGCAGAAGUGCGACAACGUGGGAAAUCAAACGGAUAGACCAGCUGAAUUUGUUCAUUGCAGCAGAAUGUUUGUUGGAGGAGUUGCUACAAGCUUGUGAUACAUGUUUGCAUUGGACUAGUUCUAGUAAGAUUGUGAUUCGAAAAACCCACCUCAUUCUAGAGUUGUUGAUCGCACUGAGCUUGGCAACAUUCUUAAUAAGUAGAUUUAUCUUUACUUCUCAUUUUAACAAUCUUAUGUGAAGUAAUUUUCACCUUUAUUAUGAUAUUCCAGCAUGUAUUAUGUUUUAAUUUUCAAUGAGAUGGAUUAGCCAUUUAUCGUGUGUCUGUCAAAUGGACCCUUUAUUUUAUUUUUUACGAUUAAAAUGGACCUACUUGAUACACCACAUUCAAUUCAAUUGUGUAAGAAAGAAAUAAAUAAAGGAAUGAAACUCGAGUACACUACCGCGAGGAACACGUUACACGCAGUAAGAGGGGAACCAACCAAAGUACUAACAAAUUUUCAUUUCCUGAGUCUAUUAACUCUAUUGUUUAUUAGUAUUUACACAUCACACCAUGCACAAAGGAAAUAAUAUACACCAUUCUCUGUACGACAUUGCAAUUACAAAUAACUUAAAAAUAAGCACAAUCACUUGCAAAACAUAGGACAUUUAUAUCUUUAAAACAAUGAAGCAAAAGAAAUGACAAUCUCCUGCUUCUACUUAGCAUUAAAAUGACAACAAUUAUGUUUGGAGCUCAACCAAGCCGGUACACAUAAAUAAAAACUCAGCUUCCCAAAAAAAAAAAAACUCAGUUUAAAAAGUUUAGUAAUCAUCAUAUACAUCUUGAUAUUUAGCUUUUUAAUUAAACUUUAUUUUAGAAUUUUAAGAUUUUAAUUAAACAUUUUUCCAACCAUAAUUUAUUUGGUUGAACAGAGAAUUUUAAAGUUGUACCAUUACCGAUACAAGCGACGAGGUGGAAAUUAAGGUGUCCAGUCUUUUCGUUUUUUUUUUUUUUGUAUAAAAAUAUUAAAGUUGUAAAGUUGAGACGUUUAAAGUAAUUUAAAGGAGUGUUAUAUAUGUUUUCGUUCCGUAUAAAUAUUUCGAUUUUUGUUUUAGCUUUUUAAAAAAAUUUCUGAGUUUUAGUCCUUCAAACGUUUUCUAUCACCAUUUUUUUUUUUUUUUUAAGUCAAUUUAUAUGUAUUAUUUGAAAUUUUAUUUGUAUUCAUGUGUAGUACAUUAUAAAAUUCUCUCUUGCAAGAAUUUAAUAUUUUUUAACAAUUGAUGAAUUAAAUUUAAAUUUUUACAUUUUGUUUUUAUGCUUAAAAAUUCAUACUUAGAUCAUAUUUUAUUAGAAAUUAUAAUUUAUGUCAGAAGAGACACUCAUAAUCUUAUAAACAUUCCUUAAAAAAUAUAAAGGAUGCAUAUACCUAAAAUAUGAGCAUAAUACUUUAUGAGAACUAAAAUUCAAAGAAAAAUGUAAGAAAGAUUAAAACGAAACAUUUAAAUAUUUAUAAAGAACGAAAACAUAUUUAACCCUUUCAAGAAUUAGACAUACCUUUGGACAACAUUGGAAAAUAUGAGAGAAAGAGGGUGUAUUAAUAAAUAUGUGUAGUGCGAAUAGAAGAAGUUUAGAGCAAACCUAUCUUAGUUUGGGCUGACGAGAAUCUUCGGCCUGUAUUUUGCAUACUAGGUGGGUGGAUUGCUGUGUCCGAAAUCCUGUCGACAGCUUCGUCUUCGUGUGUGCCUCUCUCUCUCUCUCUGGUGAGUUCUCUUCUCUCUCCUUUUUCAAUCUUAUUACGAUCUUCAAACCCUAGCAUCCUAAUACCGUUUUUAUUGUUCAUAAUGUUGAUUUCUUUGAUUUAAUUGCAAUUUUGUGAAGAAAAAAAAUGAUUAAUUAGGGUCAGAUUCGAAUUGAAUUUUUCUCUUUGAAUAGUGAAAUUUAAUUUUUAAUUACAAAACAUUAAAUACUUGACCCCAUUCACGAUUUAUAUCUAGCUUCAAAUGUUUGUCAGAUCAAGUUCUAGACAACUAUCAUGAUCGAAUCUGGUGAUGAAGAAGUCUUAGAAAUGUUUUACUCUCACGUGUUUAUAGGGAAACAAUUUUUGUGUUAGUUUUCUAUUUAGGUUUUGGGUUGUAUGUGCUGCGUCUUCUGUAAAUUUAGUAGUCUAGAAGAAUAAGAAGCUACUCACGACACCUAGACAUAUGAUUGAUUACAUUGAAUUAUGUCAUUUUCAAACUUAUUAUUGGCGUCGACGUGUCCGGGUCAUGUCUGAGUCUGCUUGAUAGCUUAAGGUUAUGUGCAGUUCUUAAGAAAAUGAUUGAGUGAACCAAUUUCUCUUAUAAACUAAGCUCAUUCUUAGCAGGCUAGAUACAAUAUAUAAGUGUAUAUGAGUGGAAAAAUUUAAUCAAUGCUUCAUUGGCAUUCUAAAAUGGCAAGUAACAUGCCACAAACAAAUAUUCCAAUCAUGACAUUUAAUAUGAGAUGGAAAGAGUAUACAGACAUUAUACUGCAUGCUUUUGAGAAUGUGUAGAGCUAAUAUUUAUCGCCCAGUUUCAUUUCAAUGAGAAUGCAACUUGUAGCAUGUUUUAUUUGUUUGGUGGGCUAACAAGAUCUGCUAAGGGUUUGUUGAGCUGAUUGGUAAAUGAAUUCACAGUGACAAUGGCUCCCUUGUGUUUUCUACCUUUUUUUGAUCCAAGAGAAUGUUUGAAAAAAUGGAAUGUCACUUCUCCUGUCUUUCCCUUUGCUUUAUGUUUCCUUUCAUUCUCUUGUGUUCAACACACUGUCAGAUCAGAUUCGUUAUUUAGAUUGUUCAGUCUAUCUUGAACUCUAUUCAUUUUUUGUAUAUUUGUUUGUAACUUGCAGUAAUUACAACCUUCAAGACAAAGAAGAAAAUGUCUGGUCCUAGGAUUGCUCACGCUACCUUGAAGGGUCCAAGUGUCGUUAAGGAGAUAAUAAUUGGAAUCACACUUGGUUUAGUUGCUGGUGGUGUAUGGAAGAUGCAUCAUUGGAAUGAACAGAGAAAAACCAGGACCUUUUACGAUUUACUCGAAAAGGGUGAGAUUAGUGUUGUUGUAGAUGAAGAGUAAAAUGAUGUUGCGAUGCUUUCCUUCUGUAGACUGAACUCUAUUCAAGCCUUUUGUUUGUUGCUAUAUUCAAUUGGCUCGUGUAAAUGAGCCGAGCUACUUAUACAUUGCAAAUAAUAAGUUCUUGCUCUGAUUUUGGAUUAUGUUGUCUUGUAGAAAUUUCAUGAAGCAAUGUUAUAUUACAUGUUUGUGUUAUUUCAGCAGUAUUGAUAUUGGUAGCUUGUUUUUUUUGCAAUUACACUAGUCGUCUCUGUGUGUCUGAAUGAUGGGAAUAUAUAUAAUAAUUACUAUUAAGACUGUUAGGAUGAGUGUGUAUUAUUAGGAUGAGUGUGUAUUAUUAGGAUGGGCUUGUUGCAGUAUUAGAAUUAAUGUGUAUUGGGUCAGCAUGUUAUAUCACCACAUGACAAAUAUUAAGAGACUGUUGCUGACAUAUAAUCUUUGGUAACCUUUUCAUCUAAUCCAUAAAUUUCAAAUUAUACAACUUUACAAGUGUAGAGUUUAGUACUAGGAGGGAAGAAUACUGCUGAGCACUGCCUGGAACAUUUGAAUAUGCAUAUGUUCGCCUGGGGUGGUGGGAUACUAGGACGGAAAAAUACUGAUAAACACUGCCUGAAAUAUUUGAACAUGCAUAUGUUCGCCCGGGAUGGUGGGAUGUCUCGCCAGGAUUAGUCGGUCCUUAGGCUGGAUACCUCACUUAGGAUGUAAAAAAAUCCUUCCCAAUUGUGGUGUAUCCUCCUUUCUUUUGGGUCAUGCUAACCAUUGUUUGUGCAAAAAGAAAAGGCAAUCGGCUGAUAGGGAUGGAAAAUAAAUAGCAGAAGGUUACCCAAAUUGUUACGAUAUUUGACCAGCUACUUCUGGGACAAUAUUUCAAUGCUUUGUUUUGGUGUUGGGGAAUAUUAAGGAUAUGAUAAAGCUAUUCCUACCCCUUCAACAAACGGUUAGGAUUUUAGGACAGUUGGGCUAUGAAAUGUUAUUAGAUUUUCCUUGAAUCAGUGAUCAAGAGUUUAUUCUUACUAUUUCCAUUUUUCUCAAGUCCAACCACCCUACCCUGACAUUGAAACAAAGUGGGAGUUUAACCACCCUUGCUACUCCCUCAUUCAAGUCUCAACUCCCAAAGUCUUCGAAUGUUUCUUUCUAUCUUCAAAAAUUCUCUAAGGUGUUGUUUGGGAGUUUGGAAGGGAGGGGCUGACUUUGAGGGGUCGGAAAUAUAAGAAAAAUGAAGAAGUCUUUCACAUUUUUUGAAAGAGUAUUUUUUUUAAAAAUGAUAAAUUACUGCUUAUGAUUAAUAUAUUUUUUAAUCUUAAUUAUAUGAUACCAGCCUAAAUUGAAUUUGAAUAAUUAAUAUAAACCAUCCAAAAUCAUCUUUUAAGCCAAUUGAGUUUCCCCCAAAUUACGAAGGUUUUGUAGUCCGAAGAAAAAUAAACCCCCUAAUUCUUCCUCUUUUAAAGUCUUCUAUUUCUUCCAUUUGAUCAUGUUUUUUUCCAAAGCACUUCCCUCAUUUUCCCGUCAACCUUCCCGCCAUAGCCUAGGGUGCUCCUUCACUCGUAUUUAUUGUGACCCCUCUCACUUAAGUUUGAUUUACUGUUUUGUGAAUGGGAUAUUUUUGCUACCUCUAUGGCAGGAAAGGUCAGCCUUAUGUCUGAUAACCCUUCAGUUUGCUUAUUUAUCAACCAAUUUAUAACCUACAUAUUAUUUAGUAGCCUUUUCUUGUUAGGAAUACAAUGAAGUACAAAAAUUGUUUCCCAUUAGUUUAUGUUUUUACAAAAAUUGUUGCCAACUUGGGGACAUGACUUUGUUCUCUACAUUUACGUAUAAUUUAACAAGGUUACAGGAGAUUGAGUUGAGGCUUUCAAUACGUGGUUCUUAAUUUGAAUGUGUAGAAAGCUUAUGAAAGGAUUGUCUGUCCUAGAAGAACCAGUGAGUAGAUAAGAACUCUCGUUUGGUUAUUUGAUGACCCUUUUCGGUUAUGUAAUUCAAGUGAGUUUUGUGGAUUAAUUCUCAAGCCGUGAGUGGUAAACUCCUGCGGCAUGCUUCUUAACAUUAGUACAGUCUCAGGCCAAUAACUUUUGCCUUGUUGCCCAAUGUUUACAGAUUGAAGUUAACGAAUAGAUACGCAACAAUUUGAGAUGAUAUAUUUUGUUUGUAUUGUAUUAUUCUAUGACAAAUAUCAGAACAUCUGGUUGGCUAAAAUAAGAGACCGUAUUAAUAGACGGCUGAUAUUUUCACUUCCAAACAAACAUUUUUCUUUAAGACUACCAAAAUAUCAAGAUUUUAUUAUGACUAUUAAACUAAUGAUACAAAAUAUACAAGAAUAUUUGCAUGACUAAAUUCAAGUGAGCUAGAAAGGUUUCUAACAAAAAUGAAAUUUCUCUUGAAAUAAUUAGAAAGUAAUAAAAAUAAUAUCUUAAGAUGGGUCCAACGUGGAAGAUAACAAGAGGUUGUGAAAAGAUAAGAAGUAUGCGUCCAGAAAUAUUCACCAACAUUGGUUAUAUAUCCCGCCAUUACAUUCCCUAACCCCAUUAAAUUAAACCUCAUCUUUAUCACACCAACAAAAAAAAAAAAAAACAAUAGCUGCAGUUAUGGCAGCAACAAUGGCUGGUGUGAGUCUUUCAAGCCCUAGAGUAAUUUUCAAGGGACCAGAGUCUCUUCAAAAGUCUCAGGCCAUCAGGUCCGGACCGGUGUUCAUGCUCAACCAAAGAUGGACCGGUGCAGUCAGUUCCGGUAGGAUGGUAAGCAUUCGACCAGUGCAAGCAUCACCGGACAUAACCGGGAAGGUGGAAGAGAGCAUAAAGAGUGCGGAAGAGGCGUGUGCAGGAGACGCCACUAGCGGUGAAUGUGUGGCGGCGUGGGAUGAGGUGGAGGAAUUGAGUGCAGCGGCAAGCCAUGCAAG
rnacentral:lncRNA from 1 species